UGUGUGUGUGCGUGCGUGUGUGGCAUGGUCGCGUGUGUAGUGUGUCUGGCCAUGGUACGACCGUGUGUGUUUUGGCUAGGUGGUUAGCUACAAGGGUGGCCGUGCAUGUAGCUGACUGGCGGGUUGUUAGUGCGUGCGUUGGUCAGUUGGCGAUGGAGCCGGAGGGUGACCGCGUCCAGGACUGUUUGGUGGCCGCGUCGUCUGUGUACGGGCGCGACGAGAGCGCGAGCCAGGUACGGCGUGGGAUGCGGGGCGUGGGCGAGUGCGUGCGUACAAGCACACGUAUAAAGCCCAGGUGGCCUCUGUGUAUCGCUGGCUAUGGCCGGGCUGAGUUUGUGCUCACGGGAAAAAGGUGUUCGUGCGCCUGGAAACUUGCCGUGUCCUUGUUCUUCCUUCUCCUUCCUCCUUCUUCUUCUGUUGAUCUAGUUCAGAGAAAGAGAGAGAGGUGCAGCGUGAGAGAGAGGUAAAGCUAGGGCAUAGCCACGGCAACAACAAUUGGUAUACAGAGCCACAGGUUUGGGGGGCGGCCGUGGCGUGUGGCCGUGUCCGCGGUGCGCACGGCGAGCGUGACGGAGAUGGAGGCUGCGUCCGCGGCGAGCGCGGCUGACAUGGACGUGUCGGCUGCGAUGGGCGGCCAUGCACGGUGAUGCCGUGCGCGCAACGAGCAGCGGCAAUCGCGGAGACGAGGAGGUCGCGGAGGAUCUGCGUGGUGGCGCAGAGGCCGCGAAGGCUCGGCGCGACGAUCGUGGAGCCGCUGCGCUGCGGUUGACGGCGCAGCGGUGCUAGGGCAAUAAGUGCGGCGGCGAGCCGGGCGUGACCAGUGCGUGUUAUGGGUGCGCACUGGACGCGUCGGGCACGUCGGGACUGCGGGAGUGGACCGUGUCGAGGCGCUGGACCUGGUUGCGCAGAUCGUGUACGUGCACGGAGGGAGCGCGGGCCAGGAGCGCGGGGACAUGGGGAGUGCGCGCGAAGGGCACGGCGGCACGGUGGCAGGCGUGGCAGCGACGUCAGGGCGGUGGCGGCUACAAUGACGACGACGUCGACGGCGCGGCUGAGCGCGCACUGCUGGCGUGGCGAAGGCAGCGGAGGACUGACCGCGUCGGGGCGCUGGACUCAGGCCGUGGCGACUGCGUGCGUGCGCGUCGUGUACACGAGUUUGGGAGCGUGGGACGUGCGGUGCUGCGUGGUUGAGGCGGUGCAACGGCCAUGGCGCGACGUCAACGACGAGCCUGACAUAUGCAAGGUCAUGGCUUGGGGCGUGAAUGUUAGCAGCAAGUUAUGCCCAUGUGUGUGUGCGUGCGUGUGUGGCAUGGUCGCCUGUGUAGUGUGUCUGGCCAUGGUACGACCGUGUGUGAUUUGGCUAGGUGGUUAGCUACAAGAGUGGCCGUGCAUAUAGCUGACCGGCGGGUUGUUAGUGCGUGCGUUGGUCAGUUGGCGAUGGAGCCGGAGGGUGACCGCGUCCAGGGCUGUUUGGUGGCCGCGUCGUCUGCGUACGGGCGUGACGGGAGCUAGCGCGAGCCAGGUACGACAUGGGAUGCGGGGCGUGGGCGAGUCCGUGCGUACAAGCACACGUAUAAAGUCCAAGUGGCCUCUGUGUAUCGCUGGCUAUGGUCGGGCUGAGUUUGUGCUCAGGGAAAAAGGUGUUCGUGCGCCUGGAAACUUGCCGUGUCCUUGUUCUUCCUUCUCCUUCCUCCUUCUGUUGAUCUAGUUCAGAGAAAGAGAGAGAGGUGCAGCGUGAGAGAGAGGUAAAGCUAGGGCAUAACCACGGCAACAACACUCAUGCCCGAAUUAAUUAUGGGUUAGUCAUGUACGAGGACGAUCGACCUAGCUAAAAAAACUUACGUACUGUCGACACGCGCUAUGUGUUCUGAGGAAUUUCUCACUGACAAAAAUCUCCCGGUCGAGCAGCAAACUUGAGCACAGGGGUUCAUCCUACGCUACGAUGCAUUCUUCAUCGAGCAGUGUGCAUUGGAAUUUAUUCAAAUCCGGCAACUGACUCACACAUGCGUGAUGAGACCUUGUUGCAGAUUAAGUUGAGACUCCUCUUUGGUUACUAAUGAUCGUGGUUGGUUGUGUGCUAAUCUGAAGCCUUUGUUUAAACAGAUUGAUUGUCUGAAAACUUAUCUGUAUACGGUUUAAACUAAACCAGAAUAACUCUCUAUACAUAUAUAUUGGUCUCUACCUUCUGGUCUCAACAAAGAGCCGCUCAAUUUUCUCAGGAGCCUAUAUAUUUAAUUGGCUACAGUUUGAUGGUGCAAUAAAGCUAAAUAAGAAACCUUGAUAAGCCUAGAUCAGUGCUAUGUCUAUGUCGAUCAGUGACUUGAUUAGUUUGAAUAUUUGGUACAUGCUUAGCCAAAACCUAGGACUCCUAACGUCAGAGGACACUUUACACGAUUGGGACAUAUGGUUUAAUUACUUAGCGGAUGAUACUGCAUGCAUCAUUAUCUCUUGGAUGUUUAAUAAGGUACAGGUCGAAGAAGCUUAUUUCAACAGUACGUGCAAAAAUAUCUCCCGAGAUAAGCUUAGGGUAUCAAUCACUGACCUAUAUGCUUUGUCUGACUUAGCCCAGAGUGGUAUUAGCAGUAGUACUUGAUGAGUUAUCGUCGUGGAAGACUAGAAUGUUCCACGAGUAAUAUAUACAAUCGAUGAAUGCAACCGGGCACACACGUACAUCUCCUACAGUAAUCGAUCAGCUUUUCUUCACAGUAAUCAAUUGUUUGGUUGAUUUUACCGAGGACACCGGAUCAUCAUCACCAUCUGGUGAGUAAACGUUAACAAUGGCUUAAUCAACUGUAGCUUUUCAGUUUUUUUAACAGCGACUAACUCGAUGUGCAUUAGUUAGGAGCCAUGGGUUAGGUUAGGUUAGAUAGCUUUCCACCUCUGGCCGGCCAGCAGCUCGUUGCAGAUGGCCAUCAAUAUAAUCACGUCCCUUGCAUAAGGUUAAUCCUUGAUUAUAAUUAUUUGGAUGACGCCCCCCUCCCGCCCCCUCCCCUUCCUCUCGGGCAAAGCGCGUACGCCGCCAUUUAAUCCACAUCCUCCUACCCACCCCCACAUCUCACUGAGCUCUCCCCGCCCCCAAUCCACAGCAGAGAAGAAGCAUGACCGGAGCGCGACGCCGCGGGGUGCGGAUUCGCCGGCUUGUGCCGGUGGCGUGGGUUGCGGAGCCGCGGGCGCUUCCACCGCCAGCUGCAGCGCCGCUGCCCGAGAUCGAUCCGCACUCGCCGGAGGCUCGCCGCGAGAUGAGGCGGGUGGUGAUGGAGUGCUUCCCCGACCGCGACAUGUGGGGGGAGAUCCACAUGCACAUCCUCCAUGCAAACUUCGUCGAGCGCGCGCACUUCAUCGGAGACGAUGGUUGCGAGGAUGUGGAGCUCCUCUUCUGGGCGAUUCAGGAGGCGGAAUCGUCAGAUCCACGGCAGGCCGCCCGCUGGGAGAACUUCAGGAUGGCGAAUCCCUCGAGGCUCAACAUCAGGCCGCCUUCAUGGGAGGGGAUAGCCAGGAUCCCGCCGGAGUUCAUCCCUGCGGGGACCAUCUGGCCCCCGCGUCGCCAGUAGAUCGUGUUCCCCAACCGGUUCGGGCACAGCGACGAGCCAUUGAUCCUCCUCCAUGGCUAGGUGAGUUUGGUUUACAUUUUCGUGCUAAUUCAACUCUCAAGGCUAGGCUAUGGGAUUUUCGACUGCGCAGCCGGGGGAUGCUUAUGGGUGAUUGUUCGUUUGAACAAAUGGUUUCAGUUCCUAAUGCGUUAAUUCCGGAUGUGGAGUUAGAUUCGAGGGUUCUCCCUCUUGACUUCCAGUACAACAAGGGAUCUGAUGUUGCUUCUGCGGCGGGCGAGACCUCGUCGGAGAAUUUGUCCGGCGACGGGCUUGGCCAGGUUUUAAAUCCUAACCCCGUUCCAGGAGGGCUCUGUGCCUUUCCCGUGGGGUGAAUCCAGCUCUGCCUGGGCCCACGGUCGAAAUGCGUGUCGUUGCGGAGAAAGCGGGAACCACGAGGGGUUUGCGUAAAGCCAAAAACCUAGAAAACAUUGAGGAGCACUUUGGCCAGCUCUGGCUCAUUCCCUCCCCCCCUCGCCGCCGCCCCCCAGAAACCCUACCCCUCGACCUCAAGACCACCAAAAAUCCGGAUUCCUUUGCUGGAUCCGGAGAGAACUGGUUGAGAACAAAGCCUUUUCGGCUGCGGAUUGUUUUCCUGCAACUCGUCGGCCAUUCGACCCACCCCCCAGACAAAUCAAAGUUGCUCGUGAGGGGAUUGGCCCUGGUUCUAUCUCCUUCGCGGAGGCUGUUAAGCGUGGGGUGAAGAUGGCAGAUCGUCGUGCUGGAGGGAGCAACCACCCUGCUGCUCCGGCCAAGGGAGUAGGGCAGAAGCCUGCUGCGCCUGCUGGGCGAAAACCAGCUGCGCCUGCAACAGAGGAGCAGGCUCCUGCUCCCAAGCCUACCAGAUCCACAGCUUCUACUGCUGGAUCUGCUCAGGUAUAGUCAUCCCAGUCUGUCGAGGUUGUGAUGGAACAAGUCCUGGACCCUAGGUACAAGGACAUGAUCUGCUUCGAUUGUGGUGGACCGGGGCACUACGUUGGGAAUUGUGUGAAGCCUAAGGCCUGUUUUAUCUGUCAGCAAAAUCAUAAUGUCAAUAAUUGUGCAGCUUGGUCUAAGGUUCAGCCUACUGUUGCCUUUUUUGGUAGUGGAGCUCAAGGUCUUGGUUUUUCCCAUGUGGAUGUCCCUGUUGCAAAUGAAUCCAAGUGGCUGAACUUCCAAAACUGUGCAGUGGUUAACAUUCUAAAAGGAGAAGUGAAUGGUACUAAGCUAAGGGAAUUGCUUUCUGCUACUUUUUGCAAAUCUAAAAGUUGGCCCUAGCAAAUCAGAGGGCUAUCUAGUAAGACUUUCUUGGUUAGGUUCCCUCCCUGGAAAAAAGUGGAAGAUCUCAUUGAGCUGCCUGGGUUUUCCCUGCCACAGGAUGUCAAUGUGACUCUUACUGAAUGGAAAGGUGGAUGUGAACCAUUUGGUGAAUUGAUUGAAGCUUGGGUGCUGAUUGAAGGGAUUCCUCCCAAGUGGUGUACUUGGAAAGUGUUUGCUCAAAUUGCCUCACUGUUUGGAGCUCUUACAGAUGUGGAUUGGAAUGGUAUGUUUAGAACUUUUUUUGAGAAUGUCAGAGUCAAGAUUGCUUGCAGAGACCCUACCAAAAUUCCUUUUGAAAGACUGAUUGAGAUGAAGAAGAAAUUGUUUUUACUUGGCUUUACAGUGGAAGGUUUUGAACAAACUGGUGGAGUUGAUUCUGUUAUUGAUGUAGAUGGAGAUGAGGAGGACUUUGAGGAGGAUGAGAAGGCUGAGGAGAACCAGACAGGACAUGAAGGGACCCAAGGUGGCCAUAUUUCUGAUGGGUCAGGAGGGGGUGACCUAGCCAUUGAUGAACUGGACAAGGCCAAUUUCUCAUCCAAACAAAACUCUUCAAAAAAAUCUGAUGUUCAAGGGAGGAUGGAUGCACACAUGGGAGAUGACAUAGAUGCUGACCAGGAGAACUUUAUUCUGGAAUAUGCUGUGACAAAAGAUAACUCCAAAGGUUCAUCUUCUGAUGGACAUGGGCAUGCUUCUGGAUAUAUGUGUAGACUGACAGAUCAAGACCUACACUGUGAGGACAGAGAGGGAGAUGCCUACAAAACUCCUGCUCCCAAAGGAAAAACUAUUAACGCCAACCCUGAGAGUAAUACUGAGAAUAUGAAUUACUGUGAGGAUCUAUUGAGAUCAGUGGACAUGCAUGACUCUGAAGAUGAGGGGAUAGAAGGUGAUAUGGGGGUUCUCCCUCCUGAGGUUGUUCAAAUUCUCCAGAGUGAAACUUGGAAGAGAUCCUUGCUGGAAUCACUUGCUCAAGCUAAAAAUGGAGAGGCUGUUCAGGAAAACAAGUCAAGGUGGGGCCCUGUUGUUGCAACAAGACCUACUACCAGAGGCCAUGGCAACACUAACAUUAUGGAAAAAGCUGCAGCUUAUAAGAGGAAGAAGAAUCUGGAAAUCCCACCCACAUUCAAAGGUAAAUCUUUCUCUAAUAUGGAUAAAAAUAUUCUUGCUAAUCAGAUGAGUCAAAUGAAUUUGGUGAUUGGGGGGGAUGACAAUCAAAAGAAACUUACUAUUGAUGAGAUGAUAGAGGUAGAGAAAGAGAGGUGUUUGGUUUUUGCCAACAACAAUCCUGAAAUUGUGUUGCCUGAUAACCUUGAGUUUGACCCCAGUGAUUUAGUUAGUACACCUAAUGGUAUGCCCCCUAUGGAACCAGUGGGCACUGCUGAUGCUUCCAGGGGGACACCUAUGAUGCUAACUAAGAGUAAGCCUUGUGGCUUGUCCCAUCCUUUUAAAAUUAAUUAAUGAUAGGUCUUAUUUGGAACAUUAGGGCCGGGUUUGGGCCAACAUGGUAAGACUCAAUGCCUGUGUGAUACUAUUGCCAAGUCUAAUCCUGACUUUAUUGGUUUUCAAGAGACCAAGAGAGAAAUCAUUUCUGAGGGUUUCCUCAAGUCUAUAGAUAAAUUUGAUAAUUUUGUUUGGCAUUUCUUGCCAGCUGAUAAUACUACGGGUGGGAUCCUUGUGGGUUUCAGAAAAAACUGUUUUGAAGUGGUUGGUUUUAUUAAUCAAAAGUUUUCGAUUGUUUCUACCAUUAAAAAUAAGUCUGAUGGUUUCAUCUGGCGGUUGGUGUUGGUUUAUGGGUCUGCUUACCCUGAAUUUAAGAUAGACUUUAUUACUGAACUACAUGACACCUUGUCUAAUGCUUCUUACCCAGUUAUGGUCUGUGGAGAUUUUAACUUGGUUAGGAAUGAGAAGGAGAAGAGUAGUGGUUUGGUUAAUCAACAGACUGUUUUCUUGUUUAAUGAUUGGAUCAAUAGGUGGGCAUUGAUGGAGAUUUCUAUAUCCAAUAGGGUGUUUACUUGGUCUAACAACCAGGUCUCCCCUGUUUUUUCUGUGUUAGAUAGAGUGUUUGUUUCUGAGAACUGGGAUACAUACUUUCCUUUUUCUACCUUAGUUGCUCUCCCCAGGGUGGGGAGUGACCAUACUCCCUUGGUCCUGGAUACUGGUGCCAGAGCCCCAACCACCCCCAAACCAUUUAGGUUUGAGAAAUGGUGGCUCUCACAACCAGACUUCCAUCAAAUGGUGGUGGAAGCCUGGAAUUCUGUUUCCUCAGCUAAAUCCUCUGCUGAGAAUUGGUUAUGUAAAACUAAGAAUCUUAGGAAAAAGAUUAAAGGGUGGAACAUUAAUAGGGAGGCUGCUCUUAAGAAAAAGAAGAAGGAACUCCUUCUGGAGUUUGAUAUAUUGGAUGUCAUGUCUGAAACCCAUCAACUAUCUACUGCUGAUUAUGACAGGUUGAGAGAGAUUAAAAAAGAGCUAGAUGAUUUGUGGAAGAAAGAGGAGACUGCCCUCUGGUAGAGAUCUAGAGAUAGAAAAAUCCUAGAGGGUGAUAGAAAUAAUGCUUAUUUUCAUGCACUGGCUAAUCACAGACACAGAAAGAACCAUCUUGCUGAGCUAAAUAGUCCUAAUGGUGUGGUCACCUCGACCAGAGAGAUGCUUGAGGUGGCUACCUCUGUUUAUAAAGAGUUAUUUGCCUUUGAACCCAAACCUGAUAUCCAUUUGGAUACUAACUUCUGGUCUGAGGAUGAAAUGGUGUGUGCUGAUGAGAGAGAUUAUCUGGAGAGACCUUUUUCUGAGGGUGAAAUUAAACAAGCUGUGAUGAGUUCAUACGCUAGUGGUGCCCCUGGCCCUGAUGGCCUAUCCUUUUUGUUCUACCAAAACUUUUGGGAUUUGAUUAAGGAAGAUUUUAUGUGGAUGGUUAGAGAUUUUGAAAGAGGUAUCCUGGAUAUAUAUAAACUCAAUCAUGCCAUUAUUACUCUUAUCCCCAAAAUUCCUAUGGCUAAGGACAUGAAGAAUUUCAGGCCUAUUAGCCUUAGUAAUUGUGCUAUUAAGAUCUUUUCUAAGGCUAUGACCACUAGGGCCUCCCCCCUUUGUGACAAACUAAUUUCUUCUAAUCAAACUGCGUUUAUCAAGGGGAGGUUCAUUUUAGAAAGUGUGGUUAUGGCUCGUGAAGUCAUUCAUGAAGUUCAUAGAUCUGGGGCUCCUGGUUUGGUUCUUAAGUUAGAUUAUGAGAAAGCUUAUGAUAGAGUGAGUUGGGAUUUUCUAAAAGAGAUGCUUCUAUCUAGAGGAUUUGGUAAUAAAUGGGUGGAUUGGGUGAUCUCCACCAUUCAUCAAAGCACAUUCCAGGUUAGGAUCAAUGAUACUAAUGGCCCCCAGUUCUCUGGGGGGAAGGGAUUAAAGCAGGGUGACCCUCACUCACCCCUCCUUUUUAACCUGGUGGCUGAUGUGUUUCCAAAAAUGCUUCAAAAAGCUACAAGUAUUGGUUUAAUUCGUGGGCUUCUACCACAGGCCUUUCCGGGUGGUGUGGUCAGCCUGCAAUAUGCUGAUGACACCAUCUUAUUUUUAGAGACUUCGUUGGAUUAUGCUAAAAAUUUGAAGUGGAUUCUUUCAUGCUUUGAACAUUUGUCAGGGUUGAAAAUUAAUUUCCAUAAAAGUGAUUUACAUUCUAUUAAUAUCUCUGAACAGCUGUCUAAUGAAUUUGCCCAAGUUUUUUGCUGCCAGAUGGGGGAUUUCCCUUUCAAAUAUUUAGGUGUACCCCUUCACUUUAAAAAGUUGAGGAGGGAGGACAUUCAACCCAUUAUUGAUAGGAUUAUUAAGAACAUCUCGGGCUGGUUGGGGAGAUUUCUAUCUUACAGAGGGAAAUUGAUUUUGCUUACCACAUGCAUUGCUAGUAUUCCUGCUUAUCUGAUGUCUAUUGUGAAAUUUCACAAAUGGGCAAUUGAUAUGAUUACUUCUCAAAUGUCUCAUUUCUUUUGGGGCAACAUGGGGGAUUCUCAUAAAUACCACCUUGCUAAUUGGGGGCUGAUCUCUAGGAAAAAAGAGUUUGGUGGCUUGGGGGUACCAAUCUUAGAGAAUUUAACAUGGCUCUCUUGGCAUCAUGGGGAAAAAUAUUUUAUGACGAAAGGGACAGUGAUUGGAAGAAAGUGCUGAAGUAUAAAUAUAAUACCACUUGUCCUAAUUUUUUUAAUACUAGGGUGGUUUUUGGUUCUCCAUUUAUGAAGAGUUUACCUUGGGCCCUUGCAGCUGCUAAGAACUUCUAUAGAUGGGUUCCUGGGGAUGGGAAUAGCAUUGCCUUCUGGCAUGACAUCUGGGUAGGAGAUUGCUCUUUGAAAACUGCAUUUUGGGAUCUUUACAGUAUUUGCCAACAACAGGAGGCUACCCUGGCCCAGGUCUGGGUGGAUGGUGAGCUUCGGUUAACAUUUAGGAGAUGUGUCACUGAGAAUACAUUAGUUAGAUGGGAGGAGCUCAAUGAGAUUGUUAAGACUAUUUGCUUGUCCGACUCGCCAGAUCAACCUCUCUGGAUGUUAGAUUCUUCUAACAAGUACUCUGUCAAAUCCUUUUACAAGCUAAUUAAUUUUGGAGGGAUUCCUUCUAUCAUUAAAGAUGACAUAUGGAAGAUCAAAGUACCUCCAAAUAUACAUGUCUUUAUCUGGCUGAUUUAUUAUAAUAAGUCUUACCAGAGAUAAUUUAGCUAAGCGUAGGCAUGUUGAGGACAUAUCAUGUGUCUUUUGCUGUGAGCCUGAAUCUAUCCAGCAUCUGUUUUUUGAUUGCGUUGUUGCUGAAUAUGUCUGGAGCUUAAUUGCUGAUAUCUUUGCGAUAAAUGUUCCUAACUCUUUUGAUCAAUUAACUUCCUUCUGGAAGAGAAGGAAACAUUGUGAAGCCUUGAAUAUUGUUUCUGCUGCUGCCUUGUGGAGCUUAUGGCGUCUUCGGAAUGAUUUUGUUUUCCAGGGGCGAAGAUGGCGAAGUAUGAGGUGUGUCCUGGACCUAUUUGGGGCGACGAUCAAGAAGUGGAAAGUGUUGUGUUCCGAGGCUCAGGGUGCGCUACUUCUCCGAUGCUUAAGGCUUUUGGACCACCGAAGAGGGGAGUUGCUUAGGAUUGCGUGGAGAUCUUAGUGCUCUUUCUCAGUUUGGAGCUGUAGUCGCUGUUACUUGUGUUGAACUAUCCUUGAGCUUGUAAUGGGGCUAAACCCUCUCUAUCUGCGGCAGCUACUCUCUGUCGUCGAGCGCUGUUUAACAGUCCGUGACUGGUUGUUUUGCCUUGGCUUUUUAUAAAAGUUGGGGUGGGGGGAAACCCCUUUUUCGUCAAAAAAUUAUAAUUAUUUGUUGGUAGCUUAUCAAGCUGGGCGCUUGGUGCAGAAGGCUUAUCUAGAGGGAAUGAAUGUUCAAGUGGGAAGUGGAAUGGUUGUUUUCUUCCCAUGAAAACUUUAUUAAUUAGUCAACUGAGGCGGGCCUUCUCCCUAUACUAAUUCACAUCAUUUUACCAAAGAAGGGAACUGGAGUUAAAGUGUACUCUCCGUCUCAAAAUAAGUGUCUUAACUUUGUACUAACUUUUUGGGACGGAGGGAGUAUUUUCCAUGCUUAAUGUCUAUACGAGCCCCCUUGUACAUACUCCCAAUCCCUGCCUCAAAGGUUACCAAACGUGGUGUUCUCAUGUCUUCAUCUCAUUUAUUUGGUGAAGAUCAUGCAUGAAUCAAUCUCGCGAACCCGAGUGGCAAGGUUGUGCUUCAACACAAGGUUGUUGGCCACAAUGUCAAAGCAAGGCAACUGGCGGCGGCAUACUGAAUGCCGCUCGCCUUCUCAUCAACUAAGAGAGUGAGGGCUUCAGUUGGGCCAAGAUCUCUUAACUCCAGAUUGACCUGCCGAUUUUUAGCCUGAUAAGCAUGACAUGCAUGCCUCAUAUGUAGGGUUUUGUAGUCAAUUGACUUGAAUCUCAGAACUUGAAUAAUUCAUCAUUGAUUGCCUCAUGGUUUAAUCGAACAAUAACCUAACAUUUGUGGCUUUGGGGGGGAGGGGGGGGGGGAUAACCAUGGGUUAUUUGAUAUUUACUAUAUUUUUAUGAUUGUUUUUAUAUCAAAAUGAAGCCGAGUUUAGGCUCACCUAAAAAAAGAUAAAUGAAAGAUAUAUAUUAAUGUACCUUUUGACGGUAAAGAUCAAUCAGGUGUGGCUACAAUAAUUACCUUAAUAACUGUUAUUGGUUUGAAAGUUUUAAAUAUUGUGACGAUCCCCUCAAAACAGAGAAACAGUAUUGUGAUGAUCCACUAAUGACGAGAACAAGCAAACAAAUCGUUGCUACUUGCCGGACAGAGCCAUCUGGACAAGCAAGGUCUUUUUCUUAAGAAAAUUUAUUUAGUUACGGAGCUAGCGAGGUGACCGUAAAAUCAGGCACCUCAGACUACUUACUGUGUAGAUGCCCCAAACAUUAUACAAAAAUAUAUAGACAAGUGGCUCGUUACCUUCCCAUGGGCCACUUUCUAGAACAUACUGCUCCCUGCGUUUCUAAGCAGAAGUCUUUUAGAGAUUUUAAUACAGACUACAUACGAAUACAUAUAGACAUAUUUUAGAGUGUAGAUUCAUUCAUUUUGCUUUAUAUAUACUCCAUACAGAAAUCUCUAAAAAAACUUAUAUUUAAAAACAAAAAGUACUAAAAGUACGUAUUCUCUCAUGACUCAUGACCCAUACUGUGAUAUAAACCCGUGGCUAAACUAGAGGUUGCUGGUCGACCAAUGUUUACAUGGCGUAAAACUCCAGUAAAUAAUUGCAUGUCAGAGCACGCGCACUCGGACAUCUCAAACCCUUUAUAUGUCCGGGUGAACGGUCCAGUCAAUGUCCGGUCACAAAAAUAUGACCCAGCCGAGCUACUCAAGCUGUCCCUAUAUUUCUGGGCUGAUCAAUACCCCUCAUUUUUUUAUUUUUUUGGGUAACCGGCACCCCUCAUAUCCAGACUAAAUUUGUGGUGAAUAUGAGGAGGACUGGACACACUCGGACGCACCCGCCAUGUCCAGUCUGAGAAGCAGGACCGACAAUAAAUUGCACCAAUUCUUCCUAACCUUGUCGAACGAGCCAUUUGCCUCUCCUCUCUUCUCCGUCGCAACUCUAGCUCCACCGCCAUUGUCACCCCUCAACGCCACCACCACCGCCGCCACAAACCUCCUCACGGGCUGUCAUGUCGCACCGGAUGCCGGCGCGGUACGUCUAGCUAUUCUCAUACUGCACCUUGCCUUUUAUGUGUUCAAAAAUUUGACCGACCAGUUUUAUAAUUCUUUUUUACAAAAAUGAUAGAUUCGGGUUGUUCAUCGGGAUGAGGAUUGUAGAAACACGGAGCUUGAUUGAAAUCAGGGAGGAAGUUCUCUUUAAAAAAAACAGAACUUCCUCGAAAUAAGAUUUCACUCUACUUUAUAUAUAAAGCAACAAUCAAACAAACGACCAAAUGAUACAAAAUAGUGAGGAAGGUCCCAUACAACAUUGAUCCCAAGAUAAUCAGAUCGCGUAGGACACAAGCGACUACGCUACCUAAAGAGAUCAUAAGAAGACCGUGUCAUGCCAGCCGACCUUGCUUCUAGGCCGCGCUUGUGCGCCGAGGCCCUUUUAGCGUCGUCCCUUGAAGAUUGCUCGUCUUUUCCUUCAGAGUGCUGCAUCCUUCGUUGCACUCCUGUUGAGCAGGAUCUCCUUGCUGCUAUGCUCUCACCGGGGCCGGUGGGCAUCGAUCCGCAUCAUAGUGAUCCUAUGCUUGAUGAAGCAUUGACGCCCACCCCUCAGGUUUUGCAUGCCACCAUCGGUCCUGUGGGCUACUAUGUUCAGGGAGAUGACGUGUGGUAGAUCCAUGGUAUUUCGACGGUAGGGAGUGAGGAAUCCGUUGAUCCUAUGUGCUUGGAGGCUACNNNNNNNNNNNNNNNNNNNNNNNNNNNNNNNNNNNNNNNNNNNNNNNNNNNNNNNNNNNNNNNNNUUUAUGACUGUUUUUAUAUCGAAAUGAAGCCGAGUUUAGGCUCACCUAAAAAGAAGAUAAAUGAAAGAUAUUAAUGUACCUUUUGACAGUAAAGAUCAAUCAGGUGUGGCUACAAUAAUUACCUUAAUAACUGUUAUUAGUUUGAAAGUUUUAAGUAUUGUGAUGAUCCACCUAGUAGAAAAGAGGGUUUGGUCCAGGCCGGGUUAGCCCAUUAGUCCCGGUUCAGUCCAGAACCGGGACACAUGGGGGAAUUAGUCCCGGUUCAUGAGCCCACGGGGCCGGCCGGGCCACGUGGGCCAUUUGUCCCGGUUCGUCCGGUCCUUUUAGUCCCGGUUGGUGCCACGAACCGGGACUAAAGGGUGCAAUGCCCAUUAGUACCGGUUCGUGGCACCAACCGGUACUAAAGGUUAGACCUUUAGUCCCGAUUCGAGCCACCAACCGGUACUAAUGGGGUUUGAGGCAUUAGUACCGGUUCAUGGCACGAACCGGUACUAAAGGUCCCAUUUUCAAACUCUAACCCCCCCCCCAUCGCCUUUUCAGUUUAAAAAAAAAGAAAAUGAUGAAAAUGUCAAAAAAAAUAAAAGAAAAUAAGUUUCUCAUGUGAUAUGUGGUCUAGUUGUUGGGAAAAUUUACAAAUAUGAAUUUCGACUUUAUUUGUAAAAUCUCUCUAGAAUUUAGUAAAAUGGGCAUAACUUUUGCAUACGAACUUGGAUUAAAAAGUUUUUUAUAUGAAAAAUCAUCUACUCGAAAAAUCAUCUNNNNNNNNNNNNNNNNNNNNNNNNNNNNNNNNNNNNNNNNNNNNNNNNNNNNNNNNNNNNNNNGUUGUUGGGAAAAUUUACAAAUAUGAAUUUCGACUUUAUUUGCAAAAUCUCUCUCGAAUUUAGUAAAAUGGACAUAACUUUUGCAUACGAACUCGGAUUAAAAAGUUUUUUAUAUGAAAAAUCAUCUACUCCACAUUUAACAACGGGAACCCCGUUAAACAUUUUCAAAAUCCUCAAAAACCUAACAGAAAAAAAGUUACAGGGCUUUUAAGAUCUGGAGGCAAAAAAAUUCAUCAAAUUUCAGUUUUUUUUACUUUUUGUUAAAUCUGGUCAAACUAUGGUCAAACUAAUUAUUAAAGAAGUAUUAGUGUUACUAAAUAAUUAUUCAAGAAUAUUAGUGUUACUAAAUAAUUAUUUCAGUUUUUUUGAAUUUUGGUCAAAUCUGGUCAAACUGUGGUCAAACUAUGGUCAAACUACUUAUUCAAGAAAUAUUAGUGUUAGUAAAUAGUUAUUGUUUUUUAGAACAUUAGUUUCAAACUUGAACAGUGAAAUGUGUGACUUCAUGCUCAAGCUAAAUUUCUGAGGGUUAAUAGGAUUGACAUCUUACUAUUGUCAGGAAAACAACAAGUGCAGACUUGGAAUCGAGGGAGAAUAGAACCUGGAAGUUAAGCGUGCUCAGGUUGGAGUAGUGAGAGGAUGGGUGACCGUCUGGAAAGUUAGAUGAUUUGGAAUGAUGAGGGUGAUUAGAAAUUAGAGGUUAAAUUGAGCAGUGAUCAGGGGUGAUUAGAGAUUAGAGCCAUCUGGAUAAGCAAGGUCUUUUUCUUAAGACAAUUUAUUUAGUUACCGAGCUAGCGAGGUGACUGUAAAAUCAGGCACCUCAGACUACUUACUGUAGAUGCCCCAAACAUUAUACAAAAAUAUAUAGACAAGUGGCCCGUUACCUUCCCAUGGGCCACUUUCUAGAACAUACUGCUCCCUGCGUUUCUAAGUAGAAGUCUUUUAGAGAUUUUAAUACGGACUACAUACGACUACAUAUAGACAUAUUUUAGGGUGUAGAUUCGUUCAUUUUGCUUCGUAUAUAUUCCAUACAGAAAUCUUUAAAAAGACUUAUAUUUAGAAACGAGAAAGUACUAAAAGUAUGUAUUCUCUCAUGAGUCAUGACCCAUACUGUAAUAUAAACCCGUGGCUAAACUAGAGGUCGCUGGUCGACCAAUGUUUACAUGGCUUAAAACUCCAGUAAAUAACCGCAUGUCAGAGCACGCGCAAUCGGACAUCUCAAACCCUUUAUAUGUCUGGGUGAACGGUCCAGUCAAUGUCCGGUCACGAAAAUAUGACCCAGCCGAGCUACUCAAGCUGGCCCUGUAUUUCCGGGCUGAUCAAUACCCUUUAUUUUUUUUAUUUUUUUUUAUCGGCACCCCUCAUAUCCAGACUAAAUUUGUGGUGAAUAUGAGGAGGACUGGACACGCUCGGACGCGCCCGCCAUGUCCAGUCUGACAAGCAGGACCGACAAUAAAUUGCACCAAUUCUUCCUAACCUUGUCGAACGAGCCAUUUGCCUUUCCUCUUCUCCGUCGCAACUCUAGCUCCACCGCCGUUGUCACCCAUAAACGCCACCACCGCCGCCGCCACAAACCUCCUCACGGGCUAUCAUGUCGCACUGGAUGCCGGCGCGGUACGUCUAGCUAUUCUCAUACUGCACCUUGCCUUCUAUGUGUUCAAAAAUUUGACCGACCAGUUUUAUGAUUCUUUUUUACAACAAUGAUAGAUUCAGGUUGUUAAUCGGGAUGAGGAUUGUAGAAACACGGAGCUUGAUUGAAAUCAGGGAGGAAGUUCUCUUUUUCAAAUAAAAAAAUAGAACUACUUCGAAAUAAGAUUUCACUCUACGUUAUAUAUAAAGCAACAAUCGAACAAACGACCGAAUGAUACAAAAUAGUGAGGAAGGUCCCAUACAACGUUGAUCCCAAGAUUAUCAGACCGCGUAGGACACAAGGGACUACGCUACCUAAAGAGAUCAUAAGAAGAUCUGAGUACAAUGCCACACUACACCGUGUCAUGCCAGCCAACCUUGCUUCUAGGCCGCGAUUGUGCGCCGAGGCCCUUUUAGCGCCGUCCCUUGAAGAUUGCUCAGUUUGUCCUUCAGAGUGUUGCAUCUUUGGUUGCACUCCUGUUGAGCAGAAUCUCCUUGCUGCUAUGCUCUCACCGGGGCCGGUGGGCAUCGAUCCGCAUCAUAGUGAUCCUAUGCUUGAUGAAGCAUUGACGCCCACCCCUCAGGUUUUGCAUGCCGCCAUCGGUCCUGUGGGCUACUAUGUUCAGGGAGAUGAUGUGUGAUAGAUCCAUGGUAUUCCGACGGUAGGGAGUGAGGAAUCCGUUGAUCCUAUGUGCUUGGAGGCUAUGUUCUGCUCGCCCCCACCCCACCGGCUGCUCCUCGUCAUUCGUUAUGCAGUCCCUUACACGUCCGAUGCUUAGUCUAGAUGAGCCGCUUGGUUUCAACGUGUCCAACGUUCUGGUUGAUCCUCUGGUUGAGGUGUGCAAUGUUGUGGCGCAGGUGACGCGGGCUAAAACACACUAUUACCUCUAGACGAUUUUCCUAGCAAAGUUAUUUGUCCGCUCUUGCAUCCUCUGCUUGGGAUGCCGACACCUUCGCACAAAGGGAAGGAUGACGGGUGAUGGGUGUCUAGAAAAAGAAGAACAAGGCGUGGAACAUUCCGAUGUAUAAGCGCGCGAAGCAUAGGUUGUUGGAGGCUUUUAGUGAGCUAUCGGAGAUCAGCAAAGCGGAGGGCCCUACGCAAAAGAUGCAAGUAUACCUGGACAUGUAUAAAAGGCCGCUCUCACUACAAGUGAUCGAGGCAUUGAGCAGUUUGGCGAGCAUCGCGGGAAGUUGAUGUUGGACGUUCCAUGAUGUUAUCCACAUGAUAAUAUUAGUACAUAAUGCUUUGAGGCUAACACGGAAGAGUCAUUCGAUAUGGACGGAUUCUCUUUGAUGAGUGAUGAUCAGUUUGUUAUGGUUAAGUGCUUUUUGGGCCUAGGUGCUCCUGGCUUUGACGGUGUCCCUUGAUGCUGCAUUUGUCCUGUCCCUACCCCUAACCCAAGCUCUAGUGCCGUUUUUGGUUAUUUAUUUAUUUUCCUUUUGAAUUUUCAUUCGUUUUCUCUAAUUAAUCAAGAAUAUUAGUUUUUUGGGUCCGGUUCAUAUAAAUUCGACUAACUCCCGUCUUUUUAAUGUAAUGAAACCAACCACCUGCUCACGAGGUUUCUCAAAAAACUAGAAAGUGCCAUUGAUUUUCCAACACCAUCUUCUUGUGCAAUUUAAGAAUGGAGGUGAAAUCCCAACCGCUACGCCGUCCCUCAAGAUAGUACCACUGCUCUGAAAUAACAAUAAAUAGCACGGUUAAAAUUAAGAUACUAUGGUACUUAAAAUAUCACGAGCAGGACGAAGAAAAAUCCUCUGUUCAUCAGUUGAGCGCGCCAUGAAACUUUGACAUAAAUUUCUUCAGGCUGGUUGUAAUGGUAGUAUCGUAGCUAGUAUCAUGCAUGCCAACUGAAUUGCUUGAGGACAAGCAAAUGUUUAAGUUUGAGGGAGUUGAUUCGUCUCCGUCGUAUCUACUUUUCCAAACACUUUUGUCCUUGUUUUGGACUCUAACUUGCCUGAUUUGAAUGGAACUAAUCCGGACUGACGUUGUUUUCAGCAGAACUGUCAUGGUGUUAUUUUUGUGCAAAAAUAAAAGUUCUCGAAAUGACUUGAAAGUCCACGGAGCAACUUUUUGGAAUUAAUAAAAAAUAAUGGCGAAAGAAUCAACGUCAGGGGGCCCACACCCUGUCCACGUGGGUGGGGGGCGCGCCCCCUGCCUCGUGGGCCCCCUGUGGCUCCACCAACCUCAACUCCAACUCCAUAUAUUCACGUUCGGGGAGAAAAAAAUCAGAUAGAAGAAUUCAUCACGUUUUACGAUACGGAGCCGUCGCCAAACCCUAAACUCUCUCAGGAGGGCUGAUCUGGAGUCCGUUUGGGGCUCCGGAGAGGGGAAUCCGUCGCCGUCGUCAUCAUCAACCAUCCUCCAUCACCAAUUUCAUGAUGCUCACCGCCGUGCGUGAGUAAUUCCAUCGUAGGCUUGCUGAAUGGUGAUGGAUUGGAUGGGAUUUACCAUGUAAUCAAGUUAGUUUGUUAGGGUUUGAUCCCUAGUAUCCAUUAUGUUUUGAGAUUGAUGUUGGUAUGACUUUGCUAUGCUUAAUGCUUGUCAUAUGGCCCGAGUUCCAUGAUUUCAUAUCUGAACCAAUUAUGUUUUCAUGAAUAUAUGUGAAUUCUUAAUCCUAUCUUACAAGCCUAUAGUCACCUAUUAUGUGUUAUGAUCCGACAAUCCCAAAGUGACAAUAAUCGGGACCACUCACAGUGAUGACCGUAGUUUGAUGAGUUCAUGUAUUCACUAAGUGUGAAUGCUUUGGUCCCUCUAUUAAAAGGAGGCCUUAAUAUCCCUUAGCUAGUUUCCAAUAGGACCCCGCUGCCACGAGAGGGUAAGACAAAAGAUGUCAUGCAAGUUCUGUUCCAUAAGCACGUAUGACUAUAUUCGGAAUACAUGUCUGCAUUACAUUGAUGAACUGGACCCUAUGUUAUAACUAUUACAUGAGGAAUCGCAUCCGACAUAAUUAUCCAUCACCGAUUCAAUGCCUACGAGCUUUUCACAUACUGCUCUUUGCUUAGUUACUUUACUGUUGCUGCUGUUACAAUUACUACAAAACUGCUACUGUUACUUUUGCCACUGUUACUGUUACUUCCAUACUACUUUGCUAUCAAAUACUUUGUUGCAGAUACUAAGUAAUCCAGAUGUGGUUGAAUUGACAACUCAACUGCUAGUACGUGAGAAUAUUCUUUGGCUCCCCAUGUGUCGAAUCAAUAAAUUUGGGAAAAAUACUCUACCCUCGAAAACUGUUGUGAUCGUUUAUACUUGUGGGUUAUCAGAGACCCCGUCAUUUAACGUUCCUUCUCCAAUUCCGAAGGGGACCCCUGCGCCUCACCCUGGAUCAAAGGGCGCCGGACCGUCGGAAAUUGGAGCAACUCACCCUAGAGCAACGAGCAGUAUAUAUUCUGGAGCACCUUGGGGGAUUCUCAGCAUGACCAACUCACUGUGCAAAGAUCGCCAGGAGAAGAGCCCUACCACAUCUCACUGGAUCAUACACGAAGAAACAAAGCUGCUGAAGGACGAGGACGCGGAUGGAACAAAUAGCAGAGUUGAUAAGCGACCGUAGCUGAGAUAAGAUCAAUGCUCAAUGAAUUAAUGUCCAGAUUGCCCACACCGUGUUUCUACUAACUGGGAGAGGAACCCUAUCCCCUCCCCUACCAUGGCAAUAACGCCGACUCACUGGUAAGCACACACACACACACACACACGGCUAGUCUGCAGACAAUUACAAGCAGCUAAUCUUGUGAAAAUUUGCAUCCCGGCGCUACCUCCAACUGCCAUGUCGCUGCUUGCCGGAAAACCACAUCGAAACGCUAGUGCACACCCCCAAACUCACCCAAGACGGACCUUCAGCAAGGUGACGGCGCGGAUGCCGCGCCGCUGCCGCCAAGCCCAUAACUGGCUAAGGUUUUCACUCGGGUAUGAGAAGUGAGGGAGCGGGGAUCGAACCUCAACGGCUCCUCCGAGAAGGGGAAAUACGCCAGCAGGCGUCGCCUCCGUCGUGACCGGAAAGCCGGCCAAAGAUUUCCGUCGGACCGAUCUCGCACCUCCGAUGUCCCCACCUUCCAUGGAUUUGGCGACCAGCGACCGCCACAGACCACAUCCAGCGGGGAAAAGGCGAAAGAAGGGGGAGGAAGGACCUCCAGAUCUGACUCGCAGCCAGGGGCACCAGGCAACCCGCCGCGACCUGCGCCCGACGCCUCCACCGCUCGCCGCCUGCACAACCAAGGGGGAGGAGGAGCACCAGCGAGCGCCGCUUGCCACAGAGCCGGCGUCGGCGCACCGCCCAAGGCCGCCGCCUCGGCUUCCGAAGCCCUCCGCGAGAAGACGAAACAGCAUGGCCUCGCUGCCGCGUUCCUUGGCAGUCGCGCAGCCUUCGUCGGCAACCCCUCUGGCGGCGGUGAGGAGUGAAAGGGAGGCGGAGGGGGUUCGGCGGCUAGGGUUGGGUCGCCGCCCACGUCGCCUCGAGCGGAGCGAAGCGGGGGCCAUUGGGAAGGGGGGGGGGGUCCACAAAUCUUCGCACGUGCAAGACUUAUAAACUGAGAUGGAGAAAGUACUAUUACUUAUUAGUACUCCCUCCGUUCCAAAAUAGAUGACCCAACUUUGUACUAAAGUUAGUACAAAAUUGGGUCGUCUAUUUUGGAACGGAGGAAGUACUUCACAAGCAGGGAAAUAAGAAGAAAAAUCCUCGGUUCAUCAUUUGCGCGCGUCAAGAAGUUCCACAGAAAUCUCGUCGGAAUCGGAGAAUUUCUGCCGUGCUGCAAGUUGCUGGCCUGAUCCGGCCGGCUGGGGGCACGCACGGGUGCCGCGUGACGGCAGCAAGCGGCGGCGAGACGCGACUCAUCUCUUGCGAAGCUUAUCCGAAACCAAAACAGGGGCGAGACACAUCCACAAUCCAGAAACGUAAACAGAAACAGAAGCAGAAAGUGGUUGCGGCAGAUCAUCCAUGAUCCAUGAAUGGAUAAGCCACCCGGCAACAGAUCAGAUGCAUGCAUGUGUGUCUCCAAUUUGUCACUCAUUUAGUAUUGAUGUAUAUCCAGAAGACCAAAACCAAGGGGAGUUGUACACAGCGGGAAGAGAGGACAAGAGCUCACUCUAUGUACAAGUGGAGCUGAGAGGACGAACUCAGAACUCACUCUAUGUGCAGCUGAGCGGGGAGGAAGAAGAGGCUCACUCUAUGUACAGUAUCUACUGGCUAGCUAAUUGAAAUUUUGGGAACAUUUCUCGAAAGAAAAUAAAGACCUGAUCGACGUGAUCGACAUGACGCAGUACGUGGAGCGCAGCGCAUACCCAUGGGGAGCUGGCACGGGUAGGACCUGAUCGACGUGACGCGCCAGCAGCCGGCAGCGACCCGACGGACCACAGCCGCCGGCCGUGGGUUCGCCUCCGCUUUGCUUGAAACGCGGCCGACCUCUGAACAUUCGACACAGCAUAGCAUCAGCAUCAGUCGCCGUAAUGGCUGCGGAGUCCGCGGGAAGGAAAGGAUCACGUAGUGGAGCCGGCUAGUGUUUUGUUUUUGUCUCCGGCCACACCUCGUCGUUUGGAUUCGACCGGAACAGCUACCGUGCAUAUCAGAUGGCCGGGAAAAUAUCACAUGAUACCACCCUUUAGGAGUUUAGGUGAUACGAUGAUAUCAUUUCAGAAAAUUCGAUUUUAAAUGUCUCAAAAAAUUCCGAAAUAAAUUGUGGAUGUUGACAUCACAUGAAUGUACAAUCCCUAAAAAUUUCAGGUUCAAAUUCGAAAUAUACAUUGAGAAACAAAAAAGACAAAUCCAGAAUGUCAAAAAAGACAAAAGUCAAAACGUCACUAUGCACAUCCAGAUUUGUCUUUUUUGUUUCUCAAUAUGUAUUUAGAAUUUGGAUCUGAAAUUUUUAAGGGUUGUACAUCCAUGUGAUGUGAACAUCUAUAUUUUUUUCAGAAUUUUUUGAAACAUUUUAAAUUGAAUUUUUCGAAUGGUAUCAUGGGAGCAUUUAGAAGGUGGUAUCACCUAAUACUCUCCCUCAGAUGGCCUACUGAUUCUUAUAUCGUGGCGCCCUUUUUUCUGUUGUUGAAGAAAGCGGAGCGGGCCAGACGAACUACUCGUGUACGAUCUAGCUUAAUUUCCGCCGACCGUCCGUGGAUGGUUUCAUGUCUAAUCUUGCGUACGGACCUUUAAAAUCUUUUUUCUGCAUAUUCAUAUAAACUUGAACCUCUAAUGAGAAAUACACAAUAUAGACACACACGCUCACAUAUGAGCUUCAUGUGAUACAUGGGUUGUCAAACCUAGAGGCUUGAUCUCUAGUGAGACGGGGUAAGAGUAAGACCGAGAGUGGCAUUUUGGCACAUGCGAGCGCGCGCUCCUGAUUUUUAAAAUGUGUUUCAAACAUAUUUUGAAAUGUAAAAAAAAUUUAAACAAAAAUUUGGCGCGUACAUCUUGAUAUUGUACAUGCUCACAAAGUUGUUCCGCGAAAAACCGACAACUUAUGUGUCGCGUGUGAAAAAGACAAAAUCCGAUGUUCAAAAAUGUUUUUCACAAGACAUCCUUUUGUCUUUUUUACAAAAACCACAAAAAAUGUCGGUUUUCCCCGAAACUUGAUGCGCGCACAUAUAGUGUCGAGACGUAUGCGCUAAAUUUUUGUUUGAAAUUUUUUCAUACUUUGAAAUAUUUUUUCGCACGCAGGAGCAUGCGCUCCCGGGAGCAUCAAUGGAUUUCCGGGGUAAGACUACCCUUCUAGCCUUUAAAAAAGAGGUGUUGGUUCCCGUAUGACUGUAGAGUUCGUGCUUAUAAUAUGAUACAUAUUUUUUUAUGAAAAGGAGAACGACCCCCGGCCUCUGCAUCUGGACGAUGCAUACGGUCACUUUAUUAAUUAUUGACACAAGACCGUACAGAGUAAUACAACAAUAAGUCUAAAGCCACCAAACUAAGCAACAACUGUCGCUAUCCCUAUCCAGUUGAUGUAGGGGCGCUGAAAGUCUGGGCCUCAUACCAAACAGACCACGCAGCCAAACCUAACCAUCUAAAGAAUUGAGGUCCCACCCAGGACGCCUGCCGGGUAUGGGCACCCACCAGUCCGGCGUGCUUCUCAACCAGGACCCCUGCCGGGUAUGAGGCCGCCGCAACCACCUACCACGAACCCAUCUUCAGAGUUGUACUGCUGCAUCCACCUUGGCCGGUCCAACUGCCGCCGACGCGACAAUGACGCCAGGUGAUUGUGUGCAUAUAUAUAAUUCUUUCCGAUUUUGAAGAAAUAAUAAUGGAUAGUACACUAGUAGAAAAACACCUAAUAGUCCCGGUUCGUAAGGGCCUUUAGUCCCGGUUCAUGAACCAGGACUAAUGGGUUGUUACUAAUACCUCCACCCAUUAGUCCCGGUUCAAACACAAACCGGGACCAAUGUGCCUACACGUGGCCUAUGCGCCGAGCCCAGUUAGGGGGGCCUUUGGUCCCGGUUGGUGGCACCAACCGGGACCAAAAGGUGUCCACACGUGCAUUUCAGUGGCUGGGGUUUUUGUUUUUUUUUGAAAGGGGGGGGGGGUUGGGGGUGUUGAUGGGUUAAUUUAAGUGUUUCAUAUAUUGUGUUAGCUACCUAAUUAGUAGAGAGAAGUGUUCUCUCUUAUGUCCGUGCUUGGUUGACGCUACGUACUAUAUAGAUAAGUGAUCGAGAGAAUCAUUGAGUACAGAAGUUCGUCAUGCAUACCGAGAGAAGUGAUCGAUCGACCUUUCCUUCUCGGAGAGAUUGGUCGAACAACAAGUUUUCGUAUCAUGUAUCCGACGCUACUGGCUAGAUACAUGUACAAUAUGUAAGAUCUCUUAAUUAAAAUCCCCUAGCAAUUGAAAUCAACUUCCACAUAGCAAUUGAAAUCAACUUCCACGUGGUCAAGAAAGUAUCCCGCCAAUUCCUCUUGAAUUGCUUUCAUGCGAUCUGGUUCUAGGAGUUCAUUCCGCAUCUACCACGUCUAAUUUGAAGAAGGGGGUUAAUUAAUACAUAUAUAUGAAUGAAACUCAACAAAAAUGAUGGUGUAAUAAAAUGAAAUUGUGAAUAUUAUUGCUUACGCACUUCAUAUUGUCUUUGAGAGUAGCCCCGCUUGUUUUUCAAAGUCGCGUUGUGGAUGAACUCGCACACGUAGUAUCCACAGAAAUCAUUCCCUUGUUCCUGCCACAAUCACUUUACGAGAAAUAGAGGUCAAUCAAACUGAUAAUGAAGCAUUAUAAAUGGCAUUGAUGAAAGUAAAGCUAUAGAAUCAACAGGAGAUGCGUGCAACUAGCUAGCCAGUAGUACUUACUUUCGGGUAUGUAUAUCGCAGCUCCUUCGGCAGUCCUGGAGCUUCUGCGGUGAACUGUUUCCAAACCCUGCAAGACAAAGAAAAUAAUUAUUAUUAUUUGAGAUAUCAGGAAAUGAACAAAAAGUUGCCGAUAUGGUGCGAUAAUGAUCGAUUGAACUUACUUGUUGAGCAAUUCAGUCAUGUCCGCAUAGGUUUUGGGUCUUUCCGUCUCGAGUCUAAGACGGUUACUAGUCCACGCUCAAGCUUAAUCUCCAAAAGAACAUAGUGGUACCUGCGCAUGCAUGCAUAACUCAUCAAUUACAUUACUAUAACCUCGCUCGAGUAAUAAGGGAAACCGAAUAUGAACACGACAGUAACACUCACUUGCCGUUGUAAGGAAAGAGUAUGCUAUCUUUGUUUUGAUUUUUGAUCAACAAUCGUAGCAAGUUGUCCUCGGCCUCUUCGACGUCCUUUUCAACCAGAAAUUCAUCUAUGAUAUUUGUGUUAAUGAACCCAAUAUCAUAAAUUUCUUGUUUUUUGCACUCGACGAUCUUCAAUCUGCAUAAUAUAUUGAGGAUAAUUAAUUAUAAAUACAUGAAAUGAAAAAGCCAAGCUAUAUAUAGAGACUUAAUGACAGAAAUAGUACUUACAGACAAUAGCAAAAGACCAUUAGUUUAUCGAGGGCCUUUUGAUUGAAGAACGCGAAGAACUCAUCAAAUGGAACAGUCAACAGAUCACUUGCAACGAGCUCGUGCUCCUCUUUAAUAUUAAGAUACAAAGCAUUCGUCCCCCCAGACUCUCUGCAGGUUUCCAUGUACCAAUUAUGGAAUCUUCGCAUCAUUUUUGUCAGAGAUUUUUCAUCUUUGACGAGAGGCUUCCCGUACUCGUAUCUGUGUUCGUCCACCUCCAAGAAAUCAGGAAGAUGAUCGUCAGGCAGGUAAGCUGCAAGAUUGCCAUAACCGGCCACCGUCCCCGGAGCAUUAGACACAUUGAGCGGGGGGCAUGAUUGAUGUGCUUGUUCGCCGAGCUGGGCAAUUUUUUCCCCUUUGCUCCUUCUUUUAACCUUUUAUCGCUGACAGUAGUUCCCGACCGCUGGGCUUGGAGAUAUGUCUGUUCAGUAAUGCGCUGAUAGUGGGUUCUCGGCGGAGACUUUGGUGGUUUCUUCAGGGCAUUGAUAGUGCGCUUUGCUUUCACCGGAUCUACCUUCUCCUCCGGAGGUGGAUGUCUCUUUGCUUUAACCCCUUCAAAGAACUCCUUCACGUGGGUCCGCACAAUCGUAUCAUUUUCCUCCUCAGUCCUCUCGUACGGUAACUUCUCUAGAGGCUUGAGAGGUGGACCGUAUCUAUAUUGCCUCCCGCCUCUGGUUGUGCUGCUAGACGCCGGAGCAGACGGAGCGGCUGCGGCGUCUGUCUUCUUUCGUGCUUUCUUACGAGGCGGAGGAGAAGGAGUACGACACGCCGGAGCAGCCGGGGCGGCGGCGGGUCUCUUCCGCCCUUGUUGGCGAGGCGGAGAAGGAAGAGGCUGUUGGCUUCUCGGUAGCGCCAGCGCAGGCGGAGAAGGAGGCAGAGUGCCGCCACGCGCCGGAGAAGGAGGCGGAGUGCCCUGAUCGUCACUCGCCGGAGGAGGAGGCGGUGGAGGAGGCGGAGUGCCCUGACUUGCUAGAGGAGGAGGAGGAGGCGGAGGCGUCUAGUUCGGAAGGAUGAUGAGCUCCUUCUGCCAUAGGCAUGGAGUCUUCAGAGCAGAACCCAGCCUAGUCUCCCCUUCACCGGUAGGGUGGUCAAGCAGGAGGUCCUCAAAUCUCUCCGUUAUUUCAACCACCAUCACCUUAGCAUAUCCUUCUGGAAUCGGCCGGCAGUUAUAAGUUGCUCCGGAUCCAGUAGGAUAAACAGAGCCAACAGCCGCCUUGACCUUCAAAUUCAUUCAUCGCGCCAUAAUGUGGCAAUGUUGAGACUCCGUGAUAGCAUCCACGGGAUAGCUGGCAGGAGCCGUCAAGACAUGCUCCGGCUGAAGCAGCUUGGUGGAAGCCACGCUGCUUCUCCGCUGAGAUGGCGGGGUAGCUUCGGGGGAAGCUUCAGUAGGUCGUUUCCUGCGAUCUGCUGCUUCUCGUUCCUCUUCUCGUUCCUCUAGCCCCAUUACCCUUUCGUGCAGCGCCUGCAGUUGGCCUUGCUCCAGUUUCUUCCUCCUCUCGUGGGUUUUGUAACCCCCUGCGUCCGGAAAACCAGCCUUCCACGGAACGGAGCCUGGCGUGCCUCGUGUCCGUCCAGGGUGCUCAGGAUUCCCGAGGGCCAUUGUGAGCUCGUCCUUCUCCCUGUCUGGAACUAACGUCCCUUGCUGCGCUGCAUUGAUAUAGUGUCGAAGGUUCUUGAGGGGUGUUUGCUGUUGCCCGUCCGUCCAACGGCACUCCCCUGAUACAGGGUCCAAGGUUUCGCCAGCCCCGAAGAACCAAGUCCGACAACGGUCUGGCCAUCUCAUUGUCUCUGGUUUGAUCCCUUUUUCAAGCAGAUCAUUCUCCUCCUUGGACCACUUAGGACGGGCUUUAAGGUAGCCAACUGACCCCGUGCGAUGGUGAAGCUUCUUCUUCGCAGCAUUUUGCUUGUUCGUCGCCGACAUCUUCUUACUCUUUUCCGAUGUCUUGUGGGCCACAAAUGCGGGCCAGUGAUCUUUGAUCUUCUCAUAUUUGCCGAUGAAUUAUGGUGUCUUUUUUUCGACAAAAUGGUUCAACUCUUUCCUCCACCUCCUGAAUAGGGUUGCCAUCUUCUUAAGAGCACAAGACUUGAUUAAUUGCUCUUUGACUGGCUUCUCCGGAUCCUCCUCUGGCGGUAGGGUGAAAUUUGCCAUCAGCUGAGUCCAAAGAUCUUCUUUCUGCAUAUCAUUGACAUAAGACACCUCAGGUUCGUCCUUAGGCUUAUACCAUUGUUGGAUGCUGAUCGGGAUCUUGUCCCUAACAAGAACCCCGCACUGAGCAGAAAAUGCGUUCUUUGUCCGGAUGGGUUCAAUCAGUUCGCCGUCGGACGCGAUUUCUAUGAUCUCAAACCUUUCAUCCGAGCUCAACUUUUUCUUCGGGCGUCGUCUCCUUACCGAAGUUGUGCUCGAUCCGGAGGGCUAUAAAUUAAAAGGAAGAAAGACGAGAGUAAUUAGUAUGUGUACAUAUACCAAGACAAUGAAUGCAUCAAUUAACUAGUCAGAACGGGCUUAACUAAUAUAUAUAUACCUGGCCGGACUCGGUUCGGUCAUCGGAGCAGUCAGCACGGUCUCCUUCUUGUACCUCCAUUGGGUCAUCACCGGAGCCAUCAUGAACAUAGCCCUCUUCUUGUACCGGCAUUAAUGGGCCGGAGCCAUCAUGAACAUGGCCCUCUUCUUCACCCAGUCCUUCCUGACCAACGACGUUGUCGAAAAAUGACGCAAUGACAUCAGUUCCUUCUGCAAUUAUCUCCCCCAACAUCGCUUCUGUUGCUUCGUCUCGGUAGUGCUCCAUAGUUUCUGCAAAUAUUUACAACAUGUCAAUUAUUAUUCAAACAUGGUACAGAUGGAUAUAUAUUAGUGGCAAACGUAGAACUAGCUAGCUAAUCACAAUAAGGAAUCAUGUUAGUGGCAUCGAUGCUGCUUCUCUAGGGUUUGGGAUCGCCUCGACACAACGCUUCAAGGGUUUGGGGUGGCCUCGACGACAACGCUCUUUUAACUUGGUAAAUUUGGGUGGCCUCGAGAGUUUUGGUCGAGCGAGAGGGCCGAGGGGGGUGCUGCCGUUGUAUAGGGUUAUCACUGUCGAGAGGGGGUAUAUAUAUCGAUCGCCCCUCAUGUCGAAGUUAUCUCGAGGGGGCGGCGAGGGCGAAGGCGAGCAGCCUGACAGCAACAGACCCGAUAAAACAUAAGAAAACGAAGAAGAAAUAAAAAGAGGAGAAGAAGAAAGGAAUAGAGGAGAAGAUCGAAGAAAAAAAAGAGGAAAAGAAGAAAGGAAUAGAGGAGAAGAAGAAAAAAAUAGAAUUUUUUUAUUUUUUCUUCUUCUCCUCUAUUCCUUUCUUCUUCUCCUCUUCCUUUUCUUCUUUUUUGUUCUUAUUUAUUUCUCCUCUAUUCCUUUCUUUCUUCUUCUCCUCUUCUUUUUCUUCUUCUCCCUCGAGAAAGGAAAAUAAUUAAGGAAAAGGAAGAAAAGAGGAAGAAGGAAGAAGAAGAAGAAGAAGAAGAAGAAAGGAAUGGAGGACAAGAAGAAAAAAUAGAAAUUUUUUUCUAUUUUUUCUUCUUCUCCUCUAUUCCUUUCUUCUUCUCCGCUUCUUUUUGUUCUUUUUUCUUCUUCUUAUUUAUAUCUCCUCUUCUUUUCCUCUCCUCUUCUUCUCCUUUUCUUCCUCUUCUUAUUUUCCUUUUUCCUCUCAUUCUUUUUCUUCUUCUUCUUCCUUCUUCCUUCUUCCUCUUCUCUUCCUUUUCCUUAUUUUACUUUUUCCUCUACACUAACCUAAUUAAAAUGCACUAACCUAAAAUCGAUAUCUACUAACAACCUAAAUAAAAAAUUAAUACAUAUAUGAAAAAACAUAUAUAAACAAAAAAAUGCUAUGAACAUUAUAUUCAUACAUACAUAGCCACAUCCAUUCAUCAUAUAGCUACCACAUACAUAUAUACAUUAAUUAUAUAUAUGAAAAAAAUGCAAUGAAAAAAUACACUUGUAUGUAUGAAAAAAAGCACUGAACACAGAGCCUCGACGGCGGCGGCUCACAAUUGGGCGGCCGGCGAGGGCGACGGCGGCGGCUCACAACGGGGGCGGCCGGCGAGGGCGACGGCGGCGGUGGCAAGGGUGUCGGCGACGACCACGGCAGGCCGGGGCAGGGGCGUGGCCUGCGAGGGCGNNNNNNNNNNNNNNNNNNNNNNNNNNNNNNNNNNNNNNNNNNNNNNNNNNNNNNNNNNNNNNNNNNNNNNNNNNNNNNNNNNNNNNNNNNNNNNNNNNNNNNNNNNNNNNNNNNNNNNNNNNNNNNNNNNNNNNNNNNNNNNNNNNNNNNNNNNNNNNNNNNNNNNNNNNNNNNNNNNNNNNNNNNNNNNNNNNNNNNNNNNNNNNNNNNNNNNNNNNNNNNNNNNNNNNNNNNNNNNNNNNNNNNNNNNNNNNNNNNNNNNNNNNNNNNNNNNNNNNNNNNNNNNNNNNNNNNNNNNNNNNNNNNNNNNNNNNNNNNNNNNNNNNNNNNNNNNNNNNNNNNNNNNNNNNNNNNNNNNNNNNNNNNNNNNNNNNNNNNNNNNNNNNNNNNNNNNNNNNNNNNNNNNNNNNNNNNNNNNNNNNNNNNNNNGCAACUGGCGAUGUGUUCGUCAAAUUUUCCUAAGUGUUGUAUAUAUAGCAAGAGCAUUGGUCCCGGUUCGUGAAACCAACCGGGACCAAUGCCCCCUUUAGUCCCGGUUGGUGCCACCAACCGGGACCAAAGGCCUCUUUUCAGCAGCACAAAGGGCGGGAAGCGGCGGCCUUUGGUCCUGGUUGGUGGCACCAACCGGGACCAAUGCCUCCCCCUUCAGUCCCGGUUGGUGCCACCAAUCGGGACCAAAGGACCCUGUGUUGCCCGCGUCGGGGCCAAAGUUUAGUCCCACCUCGCUAGUUGAGAGGGGCACGCAGUGGUUUAUAAGCCCCACUGCCGCACCCCUCUCGAGCUCCUCUCCACCGUAGGCUUGCGGGCCUAUUUGCUACUGCUUUGCCUGAUGGGCCUUCUGGGCCUACUGCGGGCCUGAAUCCUGGCCCAUUGUAGGGUUUCUAGUCGUAUUCAGGCCGUGGGGGCCGAGUAGGAGGCAUUUUUUUCUUUCUUGCUUUAUUUAUUUUAUUUUGUUUCUACUUACAACAAAAUACUUAUUGUUGCUAUUUUUAAAUAUUUUGCAUUAUUUAUUUUCUUUUGUUUUUUUCUUUAUUUUUUAAUUCUUUUUGCUUUUAGUUUUAGAAAAAAUAUAAACUUUCUGUUAUUGCCAUUAGUUUUCAAAUUUGAAAACACUUUUUUUGUUUUUUAUUUUCUUUCUUGCUUUAUUUAUUUUAUUUUGUUUGUACUUACAACAAAAUACUUAUUGUUGUUAUUUUUAAUUGUUUUUUGUUUUGUUUUCUGCAUUAUUUAUUUUCUUUUGUUUUUUGCUUUAUUUUUUAAUUCUUUUUGCUUUUAGUUUGAGAAAAAUUAUAAACUUUCUAUUAGUGCCAUUAGUUUUCAAAUUUGAAAAACCUUUUUUUGUUUUUUUGUUUUCUUUCUUGCUUUAUUUAUUCUAUUUUGUUUCUACUUACAACAAAAUACUUAUUGUUGCUAUUUUUAAUUAUUACGAGGGCCGAACCAUAAGACAUUAAAGCAUUUCAAAUGAACUAUGAGAAAGUUGAAAGUUGGCAUGGUAUCAUAAAUUCACCCACGUAGCAUGUGCAUGUACAAAAUGGACAAUGGUAUCAUACUCGUGUGUUACAAAGUUGGCAUGGUAUCAUCAUAAUAGUUGCGGGAGAAAAUCUUCACUUUUUCUUCGCUUGUGUCAUUUGCUUAUUGCGCCGUAACCAUGGAUAAUCUUCAUCGUUUAUCAGGAUGCUGGGGUCAACCUUGACUUUGAAGGGAGGAAUUUCAUGAAACUUUUCAUAAUCUUCAGACAUGUCUGUCUUGCCCUCCACUCCCACGAUGUCCCUUUUUCCUAAAAGAACUAUGUGGCGCUUUGACUCAUCGUAUGAUGUAUUCGCUUCCUUAUCUUUUCUUUUUCUCGGUCUGGUAGACAUGUACUUCACAUAGAUAACCUGUGCCAAAUCAUUGGCUAGGAUGAACGGUUCGUCAGUGUACCCAAGAUUUUUCAGAUCCACUGUUGUCAUUCCGUACUAUGGGUCUACCUGUACCACGCCUCCUGACAGAUUGAUCCAUUUGCACUUAAACAAAGGGACCUUAAAAUCAUGUCCAUAGUCAAGUUCCCAUGUGUCCACUAUGUAACCAUAAUAUGUGUCCUUUCCCUCUCGGUUGUUGCAUCAAAGCGGACACCGCUGUUUUGGUUGGUGCUCUUUUGAUCUUGGUUAAUCAUGUAAAAUGUAUUCCCAUGUAUCUCAUAUCCUUUCCAAAUCGUAACAGUCGAGGAUGGUCCCCUGGAUAACAAGUACAGCUCAUCACAAACAGUGUUGUCACCUCUGAGACGUGCUUCCAACCAACUGCUGAAAAUCCUGAUGUGUUCACAUGUAAACCAGUCGUCGCACUGCUCCGGGUGUUUGGAGCGCAGACUGUUCUUGUGUUCAUCGACAUACGAGGUCACCAAGGUAGAGUUCUGUAGAACUGUGUAGCGUGCUUGAGACCAAGAAUAUCCGUCCCUGCAUAUUAUUGAGUCCCUUCCAAGCGUGCAUUUUCCAGUCAGUCUCCCCUCAUACCGCGAUUGAGGGAGACCUAUCUUCUUAAGGCCAGGAAUGAAGUCAACACAAAACCCGAUGACAUCCUCUGUUUGAUGGUCCAUGGAGAUGCUUCCUUCUGGCCUAGCGCGGUUACGGACAUAUUUCUUUAGGACUCCCAUGAACCUCUCAAAGGGGUACAUAUUGUGUAGAAAUACGGGGCCCAGAAUGACAAUCUCAUCAACUAGAUGAACUAGGACGUGCGUCAUGAUAUUGAAGAAGGAUGGUGGGAACACCAGCUCGAAACUGACAAGACAUUGCACCACACCACUCCUUAGCCUUGGUAUGAUUUCUGGAUCGAUCACCUUCUGAGAGAUUGCAUUGAGGAAUGCACAGAGCUUCACAAUGGCUAAUCGGACGUUUUCCGGUAGAAGCCCCUUCAAUGCAACCGGAAGUAGUUGCGUCAUAAUCACGUGGCAGUCAUGAGACUUUAGGUUCUGAAACUUUUUCUCCAACAUAUUUAUUAUUCCUUUUAUAUUCGACGAGAAGCCAGUCGGGACCUUCAUACUAAGCAGACAUUCAAAGAAGAUUUCCUUCUCUUCUUUGGUAAGAGCAUAGCUGGGGGACCUUCAUACUGCUUUGGAGGCAUGCCGUCUUUUUCGUGCAAAUGUUGCAGGUCCUCCCGUGCCUUAGCUGUAUCUUUUGUCUUCCCAUACACGCCCAAGAAGCCUAGUAGGUUCACGCAAAGGUUCUUCGUCACGUGCAUCACGUCGAUCGAAGAGAGGACCUCUAGGUCUUUCCAGUAGGGUAGGUCCCAAAAUAUAGAUUUCUUCUUCCACAUGGGUGUGUGUCCCCCAGCGUCACUCGGAACAGCUAGUCCGCCGGGACCCUUUCCAAAGAUUACGUGUAAAUCAUUGACCAUAGCAAGUACGUGAUCACCGGUACGCAUGGCGGGCUUCCUCCGGUGAUCUGCUUCGCCUUUGAAAUGCUUGCCUUUCUUUCGACAUUGAUGGUUGGUCGGAAGAAAUCGACGAUGGCCCAGCUACACAUUCUUCCUGCAGCUUCCCAGGUAUAUACUAUCGGUGUCAAGUAAACAGUGCGUGCAUGCGUGGUAUCCCUUGUUUGUCUGUCCUGAAAGGUUACUGAGAGCGGGCCAAUCGUUGAUGGUCACAAACAACAACGCCUUUAGGUGAAAUUCCUCCUGUUUGUGCUCAUCCCACGUACAUACACCGUUUCCAUUUCACAGCUGUAAUUUUUUUUCACUAAUGGCCUUAGGUACACAUCAAUGUCGUUGCUGGGUUGCUUAGGGACUUGGAUGAGAACUGGCAUCAUAAUGAACUUCCGCUUCAUGCACAUCCAAGGAGGAAGGUUAUACAUACAUAGAGUCACGGGCCAGGUGCCGUGAUUGCUGCUCUGCUCCCCGAAAGGAUUAAUGCCAUCCGCACUUAAAGCAAACCAUACGUUCCUUGGGUCACUUGCAAACUCAUCACAGUACUUUCUUUUGAUUUUUCUCCACUACGAUCCGUCAGCGGGUGCUCUCAACUUCCCGUCUUUCUUACGGUCCUCACUGUGCCAUCGCAUCAACUUGGCAUGCUCUCCGUUUCUAAACAGACGUUUCAACCAUGGUAUUAUAGGAGCAUACCACAUCACCUUCGCAGGAACCAUCUUCCUCGGGGGCUCGCCAUCAACAUCACCAGGGUCAUCUCGUCUGAUCUUAUACCAUAAUGCACCACAUACCGGGCAUGCGUUAAGAUCCUUGUACGCACCGCGGUAGAGGAUGCAGUCAUUAGGGCAUGCAAGUAUCUUCUGCACCUCCAAUCCUAGAGGGCAUACGACCUUCUUUGCUACGUAUGUACUGUCGGGCAAUUCGUUAUCCUUUGGAAGCUUCUUCUUCAAUAUUUUCAGUACCUUCUCAAAUCCUUUGUCAGGCACAGCAUUCUCUGUCUUCCACUGCAGCAAUUCCAGUACGGUACCGAGCUUUGUGUUGCCAUCUUCACAAUUGGGGUACAACCCUUUUUUGUGGUUCUCUAACAUGCGAUCGAACUUCAGCUUCUCCUUUUGACUUUUGCAUUGCGUCCUUGCAUCGACAAUGACCCGGCGGAGAUCAUCAUCAUCGGGCACAUCGUCUGGUUUCUAUUGAUCUUCAGCAGCUUCGCCUGUUGCAGCAUCAUCGUUCAGAUCGUCUGGUUCCUCUUGAUCUUCAGUAGCAUCACCGUAUUCAGGGGGCACAUAGUUGUCAUCGUACUUUUCUUAUUCGCCAUCUUCCAUCAUAACCCCUAUCUCUCCGUGCCUCGUCCAAACAUUAUAGUGUGGCAUGAAACCCUUGUAAAGCAGGUGGGUGUGAAGGAUUUUCCGGUCAGAGUAAGACUUCGUAUUCCCACAUAUAGGGCAUGGACAACACAUAAAACCAUUCUGCUUGUUUGCCUCAGCCACUUCGAGAAAUUCAUGCAUGCCCUUAAUAUACUCGGAGGUUUGUCUUGAACCGUACAUCCAUUGCCGGUUCAUCUGCUUGCAUUAUAUAUAAUUAAGUGUGUCAAAAAUCAUUACAAAACAUCAUGAAUAGAUAAUUAAGUGACCAAAUUAAUAGAAGUUCAUCAUCACAUUAAAACCAAAGUACAUACAUAGUUCUCAUCUAACAACAUAAAGCUCUGCAGAGCAUCUAAAUUAAUUAAACCAUACACUGAAACUAUGUAAAAUAUUUCAAUGCGAAAACAAAUGCGAUCAUAAUCGCAACCAAUGUAACAACUGAUCCAACGACAUAAUGAUACCAAGCCUGGGUAUGAAUGGCAUAUUUUCUAAUCUUUCUAAUCUUCAAGCGCAUUGUAUCCAUCUUUAUCUUGUGAUCAUCCACGACAUCCGCAACAUGCAACUCCAAUAUCAUCUUCUCCUCCUCAAUUUUUCUAAUUUUUUUCUUCAAGAAAUUGUUUUCUUCUUCAACUAAAUUUAACCUCUCGACAAUAGGGUCGGUUGGAAUUUGCGGUUCAACAACCUCCUAGAUAAAUAAAAUCUGUGUCACGUUGGUCGGCAUAAUUGUCAUAAACAAUAAAUGAACCAAUAGUUAUGAAAAGAUAAUAUAUACCACAUCCGAAUCAUAGACAUGACGAGGGCCGACGUGGGCGGAUACCAAAACCAUUGCACUAUAUAAGAUGCAAUAAUAAAAGUAAGAAAAUUAUACAAGUAUCUAUAUAAACAUACAAGUAAUAAUUUUUUUCCUUUCAGAAAGAAGAUAAGAACAAGAGGCUCACCACGGUGGUGCCGGCGACGAGAUCGGCGCGGGCGAUCGAUGACGGUGAAGACGGGGACGGGACGUGACAGACCGCUAAACCUAGACAAAUAUUGAGGAAAAUGGAGCUUGGAGGUCGAGCUUGGAGAGGAAAAAGCUUAAGUAGUGUGCCUGGGGCAUUCUAUCGAACACCUCAUGUGCAUAGGAGGUGAGCUAGAGCACCACAAAGCUCUUUCCUCGCCGGCCACAAAAAACAGAGCAGUGAGAGUGCUCUGCUCGCGGACGAGGGGUAUAUAUAAGCAAUUAAUUGGUCCCGGUUCGUGGCUUGAACUGGGACUAAAGGGAAGCCUUUGGUCCCGGUUCAGUCCACCAAUCGGGACCAAUGGUGGUGGGCCAGGACCAAGGCACAUUGGUCCCGGUUCGUCCCACCAACCGGUACCAAAAGGUCCAGACGAACCGUGACCAAUGGCCCACGUGGGCCGGCCGACCCCCGGGGCUCAUGAACCGGGUCCAAUGGCCCCAUUGCUCCCGGUUCUGGAUUGAACCGGGACUAAUGGGCUGACCCGGCCUGGACCAAUGCCCCCUUUUCUACUAGUGAUAUAUAGCACCAAUUGCUUUAUACAUUCCCUGGUUCAAUGUGGAACAAAUAAUAGCGAGAAUCAGCCUAGCUUUUCUUUUCUUUCUUAUAAAGGAGGAACGAGCUUGCUUAGUGCAUGUAGGUCUGGGAUUCGACCUGAAAUGCAAUUCGAACAUAUGGAUAAAGCAUUUCGUUGAUGCCGCAAUUAUUGCAAGAAUCUUGUCGAUACGUUUCGAAAGACGUAGAUCUUGUUAGUCCUUUUCAUCCAAAGCAUCCCCCGAGUACGUGUCAAAACAGGAGAAGCCUGGCCCGGCCCAAUCUCGAUGUAACGUGAUCUCAAGAGAUUGACGUAUUGAAAUUAGAAUUCACCCUAUCCCCGCCUGCUCUCUCACAAGUGAAGCAACACAACACGAUCUAUGACUGUUAUACCCUAUAUCCUUAAGCAGCACGGAGAAGCUAGGUUUGGCAACGACGGGUGCUCGUGCAUGGAGGGUAUGUAAGACAAUAAGUUUUGGGGAACCAGCACAACCAUCUAGGGGUGGCUUAUCUCAUUAUAUAUAAUGGUUGUGUUACAAUAUGUACCAUAUACGUACAUAGGUACAGAAGCUAUACAUAGUCUAACACCCUCCCUCAAUCUUAGCCACUUUCUAAAGAACUGAGAAGGGUAAGAUUGCGCCUACAAGCCUCAAACUGUGGCAGCGGUAAAGGCUUAGUGAAGAUGUCUGCAAGUUGAUCCUUGGAUGAGAUAAACUUGAUCUGGAGUUGCUUCUGUGAUACACGUUCCCGUACAAAGUGAUAGUCAACUUCAAUGUGUUUCAUUCGGGCAUGAAAUACUGGAUUUGCAGAAAGGUAUGUAGCACCGAUGUUAUCACACCAAAGAAUAGGAGGCUGUGGUUGAGACAAACCCAACUCCUGAAGCAAAGACUGCACCCAAAUAAUCUCUGCAGUAGCAUUAGCCAUAGCCUUGUACUCAGCUUCAGUACUGCUACGUGACACAGUAGCCUGUUUCCGAGCACUCCAGGCGAUCAAAUUAGAGCCAAAGAAUACUGCAUAACCCCCCGUGGAUCGCCUGUCAUCUGGGCUACCAGCCCAAUCUGCAUCAGAGAAGGCCGAAAGGACCCGAGAGGAAGUCGGCCGAAUAUGCAUACCAAAUGUCAGGGUGAACUGAACAUAACGAAGAAUGCGUUUAACAGCAGCCCAAUGAGUAUCUCUGGGAGCCUGAAGAUACUGGCAAACCCUGUUAACAGCAUAAGAGAUAUCUGGUCUCGUGAUCGUCAAGUACUGAAGUCCACCAACAAUGCUCCUGUACUCUGUGGCAUCCGCAGGGGACAAAAGCUCACCAUCAACAGCUGUUAUCUUGUCGAUAGACGACAUGGGUGUGGUGGUCGGUUUGCACUUCAGCAUGCCAGCUCUUUGUAACAACUCCAUGGAGUACUUCUUCUGCGUAAGGACAAGACCAGUAGCACGAGAAGUGACCUCAACUCCAAGAAAGUAGUGAAGCUUCCCAAGAUCUUUGACCGCAAAAUCAGCACCAAGAGAGCAGACAAGAGCAUCAGCAGCAUACUGAGAAGAGCUGACAAGGAUAAUAUCAUCGACAUAUACCAAAAGAUACAUAGUGACUUCUGGCUUCUGUAGAAGAAAUAAUGAAGUGUCAGCAGUAGACGGCACAAAACGAUGAGCACGAAGGGCAGAGGCAAGGCGGGCAUGCCAGGCAUGAGGAGCUUGCUUCAAACCAUAUAGUGCUUUGGAAAGACGAUAGAUAUAGUCAGGACGAUCAGGAUCAGAGAAACCAGGCGGCUAUUUCAUAUAAACCUCUUCCUCCAAAAAUCCAUGUAGAAAAGCAUUCUGCACAUCAAGUUGACGAAGUGACCAACCACGAGAAACAGCAAUGGAGAGAAGAAGCCGAAUAGUGGUAGGCUUGACGACAGGACUGAAGGUGUCCUCAUAGUCAAGACCAUGACGCUGCCGAAAACCGCGAGCAACAAGUCGCGCUUUGUAACGCUCAAUAGAUCCAUCCGAAUGCUUCUUCACUUUGAAUACCCAUUUUGAGUCAAUAACAUUUACCCGUGGUGGUGGAGGAACGAGAGUCCAUGUCUUGUUACGAAGAAGAGCAUGAAACUCCUGCUCCAUAGCCUCUCGCCAAUGUGGAAUGCGCAGGGCAGCCUGAUAUGAGCGAGGCUCAGAAGAUGGAUCCGCAACAGCAGCAGCCAAACAAGCAGCCAACCAAGCAACCGUACCAUCCUUACGUUCCUUAGGUUUGAAAAUGCCACUGCGACUGCGUGUAUGUGGUCGGGACACAGGAACCACCGAGGUCGACGGAGCAGCCUGCAACGGGUUGGAGGACGGCGACGUUGACGAGUCAGCCGGUGACGAGGAGCCAGUCACGGUAGCCUCGGACUCGGUUGGGGAAGAAGGCCGACCCACAGGCGAAACCGGCAGAGCAGACGAAGCAGCUGGCGACUCCGGCAUCACAGACCGGGCCGAUGGCGAGCUCGGCAUAGUGGGCCGUGGCGCGGCCGAUGUCGCGGGCCGAUCCGCUGAUGAAGGCGACGUGAGGACCCGAGCCGCGGGCGAAGACGGCGUGACGGGCCGAGCCGCAGGCGAAGACGGCGUGACGGGCCGAGCCGCGGGCGACUCGGCGGCCGCUGGCGAAACGGACCGAGCAGUGGAGAUGCUCGGCGCGACGGGCUCGUCGGGUGACCAUGCAUGGGCACGCGAAUCGAUGCCAUGCAACAUAGGGCGAUCGACGUGCCCACCAGAAGACGACGAUGAUGAUGGUGAAUCCUCCAACAGCUCCAAACGAGCUCCACGUCCGGUUCCUGCACCAUGGUUAGGUAACAGCAAAGGAGAGUAUGCAACAUCAUCAAAUUGGUCAGAAGCAACAGAGGAUGAAUGCAGGGAUGGUGGUUCGACAGUGGACACAGGAAGGUUGGCAAAGGGAAAAACAUGCUCAUCAAACACGACGUCCCGAGAUAUAUAGACACGAUUAGUGGGAACAUGAAGACAUUUGUAACCUUUAUGAAGAGAGCUAUAGCCAAGAAAAACACACUUCUUAGAACGAAACUCAAGCUUGCGCUUGUUAUAUGGACGAAGAUGCGGCCAGCAAGCACACCCAAAUACCUUGAGAAAGGUAUAAUCAGGUUGUUCAUUAAGGAGAAUCUCAAUGGGAGUCUUCAUGUUUAAAACACGAGUAGGAGUACAGUUGAUGAGAAAGCAUGCAGUGGUGAAAGCAUCACUCCAAAACCGAAACGGAACAGAUGCAUGGGCCAAAAGAGUAAGACCAGCUUCAACAAUAUGACGAUGCUUACGUUCGACUGAACCAUUCUGCUGAUGUGUAUGUGGACAUGCUAAACGAUGAGCUAUCCCAAGCGACUGAAAGAAAGAGUUGAGGUUGCGAUACUCGCCCCCCCAGUCUGACUGGACAUGAACAAUUUUGUGCUUGAGAAGACGUUCAACAUGUUUUUGAAACUGAACAAAAAUAUCAAACACAUCAGAUUUGCGUUUAAUAAGGUAAAGCCAGGUAAAGCGACUAUAAGCAUCAACGAAACUGAUAUAGUAAUUAUGACCACUGACAGAAGUCUGAGCAGGACCCCAUACAUCUGAAAACACAAGUUCUAAAGGAUGUUUCACCUCACGACUGGACUCCGAAAAAGGAAGUUGAUGACUCUUCCCCUGCUGACAAGCAUCACACACUGCUACAUCUUUAUUACUAGACAAACUAGAAAGCUCAUGACGACGCAAAAUAUGACGAACAAUAGGUGUGGCCGGGUGACCAAGACGAGCAUGCCACUGUGACGGAGAGACCCGAACUCCACUGAAAACACGAGCGACACCAGGAUGCUCCAGACGGUAGAGGCCCUGGCACAACCGCCCACUAAAAAGAAUGUCCCUCGUGCCCCGAUCCUUAAUAAAAAGAUCAAAAGGGUAAAAUUCACAAAGCACAUUAUUAUCACGUGUGAGUUUAGGAACUGAAAGAAGAUUACGGGUCACAGAUGGAACUCGAAGAACAUUGCAAAGCUGAAGACUCCUAUUGGCAUGUCUAGUGAGAAGAGAUGCUUGACCAAUAUGAGAGAUGUGCAUACCUGCUCCAUUGGCGGUGUGGAUCUUGUCGGAGCCAUGAUAGGGUUCACGAGUGUGAAGCUUCCCCAUCUCGCUGGUUAGAUGCUCUGUCGCCCCAGAGUCCAUGUACCAGUGUGGAUCGAUGGAGUAGGACUGAGUGUGUCCCUGUUGCUUCUGCGGCACGGGACGAUCAGCCAUGGCAACCUGACGGGCAUUGUUGCGUGUAUCUUUGCCGUCAUUGCCAAGACCAAGGAAGCUUCGCUGGAAGCGCUUAUGACACUUGGAGGCCCAGUGCCCAUCGCGGCCACAAAGCUGACACACACGUGGACCGCCAGCCCCAAGGGAGACCGGGGUGAUGAAGAAGAGCGGCCACCCUUGGUGGCGGCGUUGGCCGAGAGGGAGCCAGUGCCCCUCGUGCGGCGAGUCUCGACCCGUUGCUCAGUGAGAAGGAGCCGAGAGAAAACCUCGUGUGCCAGCAUGGGUGUCGAGUUGCCCCGCUCGUUGAUGAUCUCGACUAAGGCAUCAUACUCCUCAUCAAGACCAUUGACAAUAAAUGAGUUGAACUCGGAGUCGGUGAGGGGCUGUCCAAUGGAGGCCAAUGUGUCGGCGAGGCCCUUGACCUUGUUGUAGAACUCAGUGGCAGUGGAGUCAAGCUUCUGACACUCUCCAAGCUGACGACGGAGUGCAGAGACACGAGCCUGGGACUGCGCUGCAAAGGUGCGCUCAAGGAUGGUCCAGGCCUCAUGAGACGUCUUCGCGAAGACAACAAGGCCGGCAACUGCCGGCGAGAGCGACCCCUGGAUGGAGGAGAGGUUCGCCUGGUCCUGCCCCGUCCAGACGCGAUGGGCCGGAUUGUAGACCGGACCGUGCACGCUGUCUACCAGCGCGGGUGGGCAGGGAAGCGAUCCGUCGACGUAGCCUAGCAGGUAGUGACUCCCCAAGAGCGGGAGAACCUGCGCACGCCAGAAGAUGUAGUUGUCGGCGGAGAGCUUGAUGGUGAUGAGAUGACCGAAGUGAAACGGUGGCGGCGAAGACGAUCCCAUCGAGGAGGCUGCCUGGGGUGCAAACACCAUGGAGGCAGCCGGAGGCACCGAAGCCGAUGCGGGAGGAGGCGGGACCGCAGCCAGGGCGGGCGCCGCAAAGCUCGCGGCCGGUGCGGACGCCGCAAGGCCCGCGGCCGGGGCGGACGCCGCCAACCCCGCCAGCGGGGCAGUGUGAUCCGCUUGCGGCAGGAGCGGCGGGACGACGCCUGCGGAGUCCACAGCGGACGGCGGCGCCGCGGUGUGGACCACGAGGUCACGCCCAAGCGAGGGCGCCGGCGGCGUGGAGAAGACGGAGCCGAUGCUCCUUGUCCCGAUCGGAGCCGGAACAGAGACGACAUUGAGCGGGAGGUUGAGCAGAGCCGCAAGAGAGGCCGGGAGGAAGCCCGCAGCAGUGGAACCGGUGGUGGCGGCGCUCGACAUGGCGGCGGCGCGAUCGGUGGCGCGGCGGCGGCGGUGAAGGCGGCGGCGGCUGCGGCGGCGGUGCGGGUAUUAGGGUUUAGAAGCGGAAGCGAUCGUAACCUAGCGUGAUACCAUGUAAGACAAUAAGUUUUGGGGAACCAGCACAACCCUCUAGGUACAUCGGUACAGAAGCUAUACAUAGUCUAACAGUAGACAUCGACGUGCGUUGCGAAACCAAGCCACCGGCCAGAAAGUUUCGAAGGUGUGGUCAUUCGGUUGGCCGUUGAAUUACCCUCGGUCCCGGCAAGAGCUGGACGCAGCGGCGCGCGUCGGAACUCAGGAUUGGUCUGCGAGGCAGUAAUUCCGUCCUGGUCAGCUCCUCCUGUGCUAGCUUGCUACACGCGCCGAAAGAGAUGUGACGUCGCGUACGUGUAUCACUUUGCAUGUCCGGCAACCAGUGAGCGCCAUGCACGUAGCCACGUACCCUACCCUAGCGAGCACCAUAUUUUCUUCGGUCGUAUUGUAUCGUACAAUAAUCCAUGACCUCUCGUUCCCUUGUAGUACGUGGAAACGUGUGGUCGGUAACUCGGUAUGGCACGCACGUUAGUCCAUGGAUCGGAAUGCGACGAUAGAUCGAGCGGCUAGCUGCAUGUGCUAGCAUAAUCCGUGGCGUCUCUCCAAGGAUACAGUACGUCCAUCUGUCAGGGGAUUCGAUGCAUGCAGCAUGCAUGCGUACUUUUGUUGGGUGGUGCAAAGACUUUGACACUAAUGUCCGGCUGCAAUUUUUUGCUUACUGAGAUUUUUUUAGUAACUUUAAUUGGCCGGCAAUUGAUCGCGGGCAACCCAUGCUGCCGUAGAUAUGGACCUCAUAAUUCACCAGUUCAUUCUUUUUUACAGCCAUAACAUUCACCUUGGUUGGUCUCUUUGGGAAGAAAUAUUUUAGGAGACGGUCGAGUACUUUCGACGACGACCGGGCUGUCAAAGCUGGCCGAGGCGUAACGGGCACCUACUUUAUUUAUUGUACGCCCGUAAGAUGCCGGCCACUGCCAGCCAUGGAUUGUUGAAAGAAGUCUGUACUUUCUACGAGUGCACGUACGCUGACGGAAUCUACCACAUGUCGAUCGGUUUGAGCCUAAUCCCGACCACACGUACGUUCCCGCUAAUUAACCACGCCCGUGCAGUAUAAUACUCCUAUAUACUAGACGAAUGCAUGUACGACGACGAGCUAAACAAUGGUUUUCGAACAAUUGUAUAGUUUCUCCAUGUUGAACAACGAAAACGACAGGAUUAAAAUCAAAUGAUCGCCAGCUAGCUCUGUCUUUCGGUUAUAUAGUCGUACUUUAGUUCAAAACCGUGAUACUUAUUUUAGAUCGGAGAGAGUAGUGAAUUUUUAAUCAGACCCAACGACACAGAUCUACGGCGUAACAACGACACAGAUCUACGGCGUAACAGACCCAACGACACGGCACGGCGUACCUCCCUGCGUCUCGCCGGGAUUUGGAUCUCGAACCAAGGAGAAUAUCUCAGAGAGAGAGGACUUGGAGAAGGGGAAAAGAGCAGGCAGGAAAGCUUGAAUAAGAAACAAUAGUUGUGAUUACAAUUCGAUGCCUCCCACACACGCCAGCCACACGCUUAUAAGCCUAAUCCACCCACGCCACACGGGCUGAGCCACACAGGCCCAAUAACACACGGGCGGGCCUGGCCCAGGUCGUUGCACUCCCCUCCUCUUAAGGAACAGCUCGUCCUCGACUGUUCAUCAACCGGCCGUUGUCGUUGCAGUCACAGCUGAAGACCAUUCCCAAGUCGCCAUUGUAAUUGGGAGUCCACGCCAUGCAAUCUUCCAUUGCGUGCGUGUGUGUCCACCCACACGAACCAACCUUGUUUGAAGAAUUUGAGCCGGUUUGGACAGUUUAUCCCCCAGCAGAAAUAGAGAAUCCAUAGUGUCUGAAGUAGGGGUUGGCGGGUCUGCCGGUUUGAGCAGCGAAACGUGCACCACAGGGUGAAUCUUGCUAGUCUCUGGCAGGGCCAAACGAUAUGCAACCUCGCCGACACGUUCAGUGAUCUGAUACGGACCAAAAUACUUAAAACCCAACUUGUGGUUGGAACGUCUGACAACAGUUUGUUGCACAUAAGGCUGCAGCUUCAGAAAUGCCCAGUCGCCAACUUGAAACUGUCGAUCCGAUCGAUUAGUGUCUUCCUGAUGUUUCAUCCUGUGUUGAGCUCGCAACAGGUGUUCUCGGAUCAAUCCUUGCAUCAGGUUCCUUUCAGCCAACCAUCCAGACAGAUCAGAGGACAGAGUACUCUCAAGAUUGGCAAUGCCCAAGUGUCGAGGUUGAUACCCAUACAGUACCUGAAAUGGGGUUGUUCCAAGUGCAGAGUGGUAGUUUGUAUUGUACCAGUACUCAGCCUGAGAUAACCAAUAAGCCCACUUUUUGGGAGUUGAAUGUACCAAGCAUCUGAGAAAAGUUUCUAAGCAUUGAUUCAGUUUCUCCGUUUGACCAUCAGUCUGGGGAUGAUUAGCAGAACUCAUAUUCAUCUUGGUGUCAGUGAGUUUGCACAAUUCUUGCCAGAUAUUGCUGGUAAAUAUAGGAUCUCUGUCAGUAACCAGGACCUGGGGAAGACCAUGAAGCUUAUAGAUGUUAUCCACAUAUAUCUGUGCGACUUGUAGAGCAGUAAAGGGAUGACAUAAGGGAAUGAAGUGCCCAUAUUUGCUGAACUUGUCGAUAACCACCAGGAUUAUGUCAAAGUUUUUGCUCUUGGGGAGACCUCCAAUAAAAUUCAUGCUGACCAUAUUCCAGGCUUCUUUAGGAAUGGGCAAUGGACUUAAUAGUCCUGGUUUCUUAAUAUGCUCAGACUUUGCUUGUUUACACACCACACAAGCUUGUACAUAGGCUUGGAUAUCCUGUUUCAAUGCUGGCCAAGCAAACAAUCCCUUGAUGCGUUGGUAAGUGUCCUGGAAUCCAGAAUGACCUCCAACUCCACUGUCAUGCAAAGAAAGCAUAAUAGCUUGGUGAGCUUCUUUAUUGUGGCCCAACCAAAUCCUGUCUUUGUACCUUUAUCACUCCUUGAUGUAGAGUAUAACCUUUGUCAUUGGAACCAGUCAGGGCCAGUUCUUGCAGUAAUUCCCUAUCUACCUCGUACUGCUGGUAUCCUUCUGUCACAACAGCUAACCAUUUGGGUGUGCAAAAGGAGAUAGCAGACAACUCCAUUGGGGCAGGAGAUCUGGAUAAGGCAUCUGCAGCUGCAUUAUCCAUGCCUUUCCUAUAGAUGAUGUUGUAUUGCAGACCUAGCAGUUUAAGAAAUGCUUUCUGUUGCAUGGUACCACUGAGUUUUUGCUCUUGAAGAUGUGUCAAGCUUUGAUGAUGUGUGGAAAUAGUGAAAGGAGCAUGCUGCAGAUAAGAUUUCCAUUUUUCCACAGCAAGGAGCACAGCCAAGCACUCUUUUUCAUAUGUGGACAGGGCUUGGGCGUUGAGUCCCAGGGCUUUGCUAAGGUAAGCAAGUGGAUGACCUUCUUGCACCAGUACACCCCCAAUGCCUUGAUUACUGGCAUCAGUUUCAAUUGUGAAAUGCUUCUUGAAAUCUGGGAGUGCCAAAACUGGUGCUUGAGCUAAUGCUGUCUUAAGAUGUUGAAAAGCAGCUUCAUUGGUUGGUGUCCACGAAAACACAAUAUCUUUCUUCAGUAAAUCAGAUAAACUCCUACUAAUAAUUCCAUAUUUUUUGAUGAAUUUUCUGUAGUACCCUGUGAGACCCAGAAAUCCUCUCAUAUCUCUAACACAGGUAGGCCUGGGCCACUGCUGCACAACUCUGAUCUUAGUAGGAUCAGUUUGCACUCCUUUGCCACUGAUAAUAUGUCCCAAGUAUUCCAGCUCUGUUUGAGCAAAAGAACAUUUGCUAAAUUUCACAAACAGCUGAUUUUCUUGAAGUAUAGUGAAAACCUGAUUGAGGUGCUCAAGAUGUGUUUUCAAGUCUGGGCUGUAGAUUAAGAUGUCAUCCAUGAAGAUAAGCACACAAUGUCUCAACAAAUGGGCAAACAGGGCAUUCAUAGCCGCUUGGAAAGUUGCAGGGGCAUUGAUUAAACCAAAGGGCAUGACCUUAAACUCAUAUAGGCCAUGAUGAGUUUUAAAAGCUGUUUUAUGUUCCUCUCAUUCAACCACUCGUAUUUGAUGAUAUCCUGAUCGAAGAUCCAGCUUAGUGAAAAAUGUAGCACCAGCCAACUCAUCAAGUAACUCAUCCACUACUGGCAUUGGAUAUUUAUGGGGCACUGUGACAGAGUUUAACAUUCUGUAGUCCACACAAAAACGCCAAGUUCCAUCUUUCUUCCUGACCAACAACACUGGAGAAGCAAAAGGACUAGUGCUCUCCUGGAUGACUCCUUGCUGUAACAUCUGAGUUACUUGUUGUUCAAUUUCAGUCUUCUGCAUUGGAUUGUAUCUGUAUGGUUUCACAUUGAUAGGUUUAGCUCCAGGUAGAAGAGGGAUUUGGUGAUCAAAGGACCUGUGGGGAGGGAGCUUGUCAGGUUCUGUGAAGACUUGUUUGUGCUUGGCCAAAAUUUCUUGCACUGCAGGAGGGAUGAAUUGAUCAGUAUCAGGGGCUUCCACAAUAUGAUUUAGUUGAAUCACUUGCUCCACUGCACCAGUGUUAAGUAACCCUUGCAAAUGCUUGCUAGUUAUGCCUGUGCAGGAAAUGACGUUCUCUCUUAUUCCUCUUAGAGUGAUCCUAACUCCUUGAUAUUUGAAUCUCAUGACCUUCUUUCUCCAGUCCACCCACAUAGGGCUCAUAGUUUCUAGCCACUACAUGCCCAAGAUGAUGUCAUAAGUGCCCAGGGGUAGCACUUUUAGAGAUGUAUUGAAGGUGUUUCCUUGACAAAACCAUUGCAAGUUAGGAACCUGUUUAUUGCAAUGUAACAAUCCUCCAUCAGCCACAGUAACUUUAGCCGCUGGUAUUUCUUCCACUGGGCACUGUAGGUGUUUCACUAGCUCUGCACAGAUGAAAUUUGUGGAACUACCUGAGUCAACUAAGAUCAACACUUGUCUCUUACCAACCACGCCCUGUAAUUGGAUACUAUCCUUUGAAGCAGUGCCCUGGGCUGCAUGGACUGACAGUUUCAUGAAUGCUUCUUCUGCUGUUGCUUUAUCGACCACGGGCUGUUCGGCUGGCUGUUCAGUUUCAGGUUCACUUUCAAAAAUUUCAGACAUCUGUAGAGCCUCGAUCAGUUCUUCCAGUACGUGAAGUUGGACUGUUGUGGGGCACUUGUGUCCUGGACCAUAUUUCUCCCCGCACUUGAAACAUUCUCCACGCGCUCGGCGUUGUGCCCUGAGGUUAUCCACUCGAUCUGGAGCUCUUUGAUGUGUUUCCGGGGGUUUAUCUUGUGCUGGUGUUGUUCCCAUAAUGCCCUGAUGCACAUAAUUUUUGGCAUUGGCUCUGUUUUCCCAUCUUUUGCUGUAUUUGGAGGUAUCUUCAGCCAACAAUGCUUCUUGUGUCUGUGCCAAGGAGUAAGCUAGAUCCACUGAAUUAGGUUGUUGCAGCUUGAUCGGCGCCCGGAUAGCAGGUUUCAGGCCCUCAAUGAACCUGUUGAUGAAAAAGGUUUCAUCGUAGGAGUGGUUAUACACAAGCAUCUUGUGCAUGUGCUCUUCAAACGCAUGAGCAUAAUCAUCGACAGACUCAGUUUGCUUGAGAGAGAAGAACACAUCAAUUGCUCGAGAAUACUUGUUCCUGUUGAAUUUAGCGAACACGGCCACACACAGAGCGGCCCAGCUAUCAAUAGUGUGCAUUACUUCAUAUGUCUGCAACCAGAGGGCUGCAUUUCCUGCCAAGUGCAUAGUAGCGAAAUCGACCCAUAAUUCUGAUUGAACAUUGUACAUCCGGAAGUAUUUUUCACACUGUUUUUUCCACCACUUGGGGUUAUCUCCCUCAAAUCUGGGGAAAUCAGAGCGAGGAAUGCGUGCGGAGAAUUUCCCAGGGGCAGAGUGAAACUGCGACUGCGGUGAUCUCUCAUAAUCGUCAUUGUCAUCAGAUAACUCGUCAGGGAAACGAGCGUGGGAUCUAGACUGCUCACCUCGAUUCCUCUGCUGGAAUGACACGCGCAGACCUCGAGUGUCCUAUCCUGAAUGGUGCUGAUCAGAGCUCUGUCGCUCUGUUUGUGGCGGCUCUGUCCGCCGGCCUUGAGCUGUUGUCGUGCCUGUCGGCUGCUCCAAAUUGUCGACGCGGUGUACGAUCCCGUCUAGGAACUUUCGCAUCUCGGCCAUAGCCGCAUCGAGGGAGUUGUGCGCGACGAGCACCCGCCCCAGCGUCGACUCGGUGCGGGCCAGCGAGCUCGUGGUCGUCGUGGCCAGCGCAUCGAAGGCCUUGGCCGAGGAGGAAGCGUACUUGUCGAGGGACUCCUGCAGCCCAUCCAGACGUUCCGCCGUCUUCGCGCCCGCCUCCGACACCGCCUUGCUCUGCACAAUCGUUGCCUGGACGAGCUGCUGCAGCUCGGCGAUGGUGAGCUCCGCGGCGUCCAUACGCGACGAGAGAUUGGGCUUGGUCGAACGCGCCGUUGGGAAGGUCCUGGAUCUACUCAACCCAGCGCAGGUACACCGGAGGUGUUUUGCGCGAGAUCACCCGAGGGGAUCUGCACCUUUUGCUAGGAAUUACAAGCCGAUCGAAGGAUUGAUUGUGAGCUCUGGAUGAAAAAUUUCAGAUCAGAGGAAGCGGAUCGAUACACGGCUCUGAGUACCAAAUGCUACGAUUCCGUAGCACCUCCCUGCGUCUUGCCGGGAUUUGGAUCUCGAACCAAGGAGAAUAUCUCAGAGAGAGAGAGGACUUGGAGAAGGGGAAACGAGCAGGGAGGAAAGCUUGAAUAAGAAACAAUAGUUGUGAUUACAAUUCGAUGCCUCCCACACACGCCAGCCACACGCUUAUAAGCCUAAUCCACCCACGCCACACGGGCUGAGCCACACAGGCCCAAUAACACACGGGCGGGCCUGGCCCAGGUCGUUGCAAAAAUUAAGCAUCCAUCAUGGUUCUUGUCACGAGGAUUACGGCCGAGCGUGUGUGGAUUAGCAGGCAAAUUGUUUGGCGACGGACAGAAUUGAGCGAGCUAGCGACAGGUCAGAUCAAAUUUCCACAUGCAUCCGUCAGCUAGGGAGGUCCGCCUCCCCCUCCGCGGAUAUCAGAUUUUAUUUUUACAUUUUUUUGAAAAGAAACGUGUUUCCCCCGUCCCAACGUUUAUUGAAAAGCAAAGGCGAAACCAACACAUCCAAGACAUUGCACAGCGCUCGGCAACAACCAAAGUUGCUGUUACAGAAGAAGGGUUUUAAGCUACCCUAUUACAGCACAGGAAAAGCCCAGCCAAGAGGCUGACUAACAAAAUAUAGGCAAAUUCAAGCUAGUUCAGGAUGCAUCCCAGGCUAUUCUAAGCAAUUCCCCUCUUCGUCGAUCCAAAAGCCUUAAACACCGGAGAAGUAACGUAUCCGGGGAGUCCGAGCACAAAAUUUUUCAUUGCCUUAGUAGUCCUCCCACCAGGUCCAUGAUGCAGUGAAUAUUUCGCCAUUUUCACCCUUGGAAAAGAAAUUCAUUGCCCAAAAUCCAUAAGCCCCACAAGGUAGCAGAUGUGACAAGAUUAACAUCCUCUUUUUUCUUUCUUUGUUUUCAUAAAACAAACAAGGAUAUGAAAGAUAUAGGUAAGGUGAUACACAUCCCUUCAGAAAUUAUUUUCCAGAUUUGGACAGCUACCACCAAUUCAAAAAAUAGGUGUUUAAUCGAUUCUUUCUCACUGCAAAACACACAAGUAGGGUCUUCCACAAGUCUCCUCUUAGCUAGAUUAUCUCUAGUCAGGCAUUUAUUAUAGUAAGCUAGCCAGAGGAAGACAUGAAUAUUGGAUGGAACUUUGGUUUUCCAAAUAGCAGUUAAUCAUUUUAUAAAAAGAUUUCACUGUGUAAAUCCCAGAUGGUUCAAGAUACCAUCUAGGAAUUUCUAGGGUAGCACCGGGUGUAAAUUUUCUGACUACAUCACACAGAUCCAACCACUUGUACAUGGUGACACCAUCCACACAUCUUCUAAAAGUUAGCUGUAGAGUAUUGCCAUCCCACACCUGGGCAAUGGUGGCAUCUUGUUGUUGACAGAUGUCAAAAAGCUCCCAAAAUCUGGUUUUUAGGGAACAUUCCCCAAUCCAAGUAUCAUGCCAGAAGGCAAUGCUCUCACCAUUCCCAGGCACCCAGCUAACAAAGGUUCUAGCAGCUUCUAGAGACCAGGUUAAGCUUUUCCAAAAAGGAGAGCCCAGCCCAGACUUGCCCCAAUAGAUAUUGGGCUUAUCAGUGGCAUACUUGAGAAAUAAUGAUUUUUUUUCAAGUCACUAUCUCUCCCAUCAUGAAACCUUCUCCCCCAUGAGGCCAGAAGGGUCAUGUUGUAUUCUCUGAGAUUGGGUACCACCAUUCCCCCAAAUUCCUUUCUCUUAGUAAUUAAGCCGCUAUUGGCAAGGUGAUAUUUAUGAGUAUCUCCCAUGUUACCCCCAAAAAAGUGAGACAUCUGUGAAGUAAUGGCAUCAAUGGCCCAUUUAGGAAACAUCAUAAUGGACAUCAAAUAAGCAGGAAUGCUAGCAAUGCAUGUGGUCACCAGGAUCAGCUUGCCUCUAUAGGAUAAAUGUUUUCCCAAUCAUCCAGCUAUAUUUUUGAUGAUCAUGUCUAUAAUAUGUUGGAUGUCCUCCCUCCUCAACUUUUUAAAGUGAAGAGGUACUUCAAGGUAUUUGAAAGGAAAAUCCCCAAACUGGUAGCAAAAAAUCUUUGCAAGCUCAUUGUACAUAUGUAGAGGAAUGUUUAUAGUAGUAGAUCACUUUUACUAAAGUUAAUUUUAAGACCAGAGAGGUUUUCAAAACAUGUCAACACCCACUUCAAAUUUCUGACAUAAACCAUAGAGUUUUGUAGGAAUAAGAUGGUGUCAUCAACAUACUGUAGGCUGAUGACACCACCAGGGAUCACUUGUGGAAGAAGACCAACAAUUAAACCACCUCUAGCAGCUUUGAAAGCAUCUUAGAAAACUCAUCAGCAACUUAGUUAAAAAGCAAAGAAUAAUGAGGAUCACCCUGCUUCAAUCCUUUGCCAGCCACAAAAUAUGAGCCAUUAGUUUCAUUAAUCCUGACCCGAAAGGUUCCUUGAUGUAGAGUACUAAACACCAAAUUAACCCAUUUAAUACCAAAACCCCUAGAAAGGAGCAUUCCUUUUAAUACCAAAGCCUUCUCAUAAUCCACCUUAACGACCAAACCAUCACCUCCUGAUCUAUGAACUUCCUGAAUGACUUCAUGAGCCACCACAACACUCUCCAGUAUGAACCUCCCGUUGAUGAAGGCAGUUUGAUUGGAAGAAAUUAGUUUAUCACACAAGGGUGAAACUCUAGUAGUCAUAGCCUUAGAAAAGAUCUUGACAACACAGUUACUAAGGCUAAUAGGUCUGAAAUUCUUCAUCUCCCUGGCUAGACGAAUUUUUGGGAUGAGUGUAAUAAGGGCAAAAUUAAGCCUAUGCAUGUCGAGUCUACCAUCUUCAAAAUCUUUGACCAUCCACAUAAAGUCUUUUUUGAUGAGAUCCCAAAAGGAUUGGUAAAAUAGAAAAGAUAAUCCAUCAGGACCAGGGGCCCCAUUGGCAUACUUACUCAGGAUAGCUUGCUUGAUCUCCUCCUCAGAAAAGGAUUUUUCUAGAUUAAUCCUGUCAGCUUAAGAGACUACCUCCUCCCCUUCCCAAAAGUUAGGUUCAAGAUGAAUAUCAGGUUUAGGAUCAAAGGCAAAAAGAUUUUUAUAAAAAUCAGUGACCACUUUCAGCAUGUCAGUUGUGGAUGUCACUAUCCCACUAGGGCCUUCCAAUUCAGAAAGGUGGUUUUUUCUAUGUCUAUGAUUAGCCAAGGCCUGAAAAUAGGCAUUAUUUCUGUCACCUUCAAGGAUCUUUCUAUCUCUAGAUAUCUGCCACAAAGCAGUUUCCUCUUUUUUCAGAUCUCAUCCAACUCUUUUUUGAUGUCUCCCAUCCUAGCAAAAUCACCAGGGGAUAAAUUGUGAGUCUCAGAAGAGACAUCUAGCAUAUCAAGGUCCAUAAGAAGGGCUUUCUUCUUUUUCUUAAUGGCAACUUCUAAAUUAAUACUCCAACCUUUAUUUUUUCCUAAGAACUCUAAUUUCAGCAUCCAAUUCUCAACAGAGGAGGUCCCAGAGGACACAAAGUUCCAGGCAUCCACUACAACCUGUCUAAAACCAGGUUGAGAGAGCCACCAUUUCUCAAACCUACCUAAACAUCUUAGGACCAACAUGUCUCCUGGCCCCUGUGUCCAGCACCAAGGGGGCAUGAUCACUACCAACCCUGGGGAGGGCAACAAGGGAGGACAUGGGAAAAUGAGCAUCCCAAUCCAAAGAAGUGAAAAUCCGAUCCAAGACAGCAAAACCUGGAUUCUCUUGAUUAUUGGACCAGGUAUAUUUUCUGUUGGAAACAAAAAUUUCCAUAAGAUUCCAACUAUUUAUCCAAUCAUUGAACAACAAAGCACUUUGUUGAUCAACAAGGCCAGUACUCUUCUCAUUGUUCCCUCUAAUCAAAUUGAAAUCACCACAAAUUAGAACAGGAUAGGAGUUGGAAACAAAACCAUCAUGUAACUUAGAAAUGCAAUCUAGUUUGAACUCAGGGUAAGAAGACCCAUAUACAAUCACCAAAUGCCAUAAAAAUCCAUAACUUUUGUUCUUAACAGUAGCUUUAAUUGAGAAUCUAUUAUUAGUAAACCCAAUCACAUCAAACUUAUCUUUUUUGAGACCAACGAAAAUACCACCAGCAGAACCCACGGCAGGAAAUAUUUCCAACUAAAAAUAUUCUUAGGAUCCAAGGAUCUAAGGAAACCGUCAGAGAUGAUUUCCUUCUUUGUUUCUUGGAAACCAAUAAAAUUAUGUUAGUGUAAGUGCAUCUAGUGCCACCGCUAGUUUAUUUUAGAGUAUUGACAUCAACUUGGUUGAGGAACUAAUGUGUUUGUGAGAAUUGCAGGAUAACACGGGUAGUAGUCCCAUAUUAACUCGGUUUACCUAGCAGAGAUGACUCCUAAAAAUGUGUGAAGACAUUGAAGACAAUGGUGGUCUGUGGAGAUAUUCACAUUGAAGACUAUGGCAUGAGAAGACAUCACAUGAAGACUAUGGAGUGCGAAGACAUGGUUGUUUCGUAGUUUCCUUUUCUUCCUUGUUGAGUCAUAGGAACCACCGUACUGUUAAGUGGGGUCCAAGUGAACAAAGUCAGAGUGACUGAGGUGAUGCUCAACCAAAUCCUAUGUCUUCAAGCGAAGACAAUGAGAGCAAAUCUUAUCUAGAGCUGGAUGAGUCAGCUUUACUUGUAGCCCAAAUUAAGCUGCCGCGUGUGUUCGAAACCUGACCGUUGGACACGUGUCCGUUCCUUAGUGACCCAGGGGCAUUUUGGAAAAAUCAGGCCGGGUUGCCUCCUGGCUAUAAAUAGCCCACCCCCUACACCAUAAAUUGGUGGCUGCUUAGAGUUAGUGCACGGCUUUUGUCAUUUGAGAGCAACCCACCUCCGAAGCCUUUGAGAGAGUAAUCCAAGCGAGGACAAAGCCUAAAACACCCAGAGCCAAAGAGUGUUAACGCAUCACUGAAGUCUUUCUGUCCGCGUGAUCUGAAGACUUAUUACACUUGAGGACUGUGAAUCCUCCAGCCGGUUAGGCGUCGCGUUCUGAGCAUCCAAGAGUCAUUGUGGAUUGCCAGUGAACGAAGUCUGUGAAGGUUUGUAAGUCUCUCUUGAAGACAUACCAGAGUGAUUGGACGAGGACUAAGUGUUCUUAGAUCAAGGGGAAUAAUGUGAAGAUGCGGUCUUCUGAGUUGAAUCUCAGCCUCCCUAACCAGAUGUGUAGUUGUCACAGCAACUGGAACUGGUCCAACAAAUCCCUGUCUUCUCCGAGCAACUGGUUCCAUCGUUUACCUCUCUUUACUUACAGUUUGUCUUCGUGAACUCAUUGCCCAUUUGUCUAAUCUGAUUGACUUCACUGAGUGAAGACUGUUUACUGUUUGGCUUCAUACUAUCUUCCAUCCUGAUCCUUACUACCUAACUGCUAAUAGUCUUCGUGCUUUCACUUCAUUGCUUACUUGACUAUGGCUUGUCUAUUGUAGUCUACCUUCCGCUGCAUAUCAAUAGGUGCAUUUCUAUUGUUUGUCUUCAAAGCAUUCAUGUUUUGAAGACUUUCAAAAAAUUGCCUAUUCACCCCCUCUAGUCGAAUACUAGAACUUUCAAUUGGUAUCAGAGCAAGGUUCUCCCUUGUUCUGAGUGAUUCGGUUUAACCACCUUGAGUUUAGCUAUGUCGACUGCAGGGAUAAUCAAAGUCUCUGUUGCGUGUCCUGUCUUUGAUGGUCAAGAUUAUCCCAAAUGGAAAGUAAUGAUGAAGAAGCGCCUCCUUGCCAUGAACAGUGAACUGUGGACCGUCACAGAGAUUGGUCUCACCGAUUUAUGCAAGAUGGCGAAUGUUGACGACAUUCUAAAGUACACUCGUCUAGGUAUCACGGCUAAGGAUAUCAUAUGCUCAUGUAUAUCCAAUGACGAAUUCAGGUGCAUCAUGCAUCUUUGCAAUAUGAAGAUUAUCUGGGACCGGAUUUAUGAUGUCUAUGAGGGUCAUCGAACCCAUCAAGACCCAUGGUUCUGCGAGUUCAUAUAAUCUCUUAAAACGAUGUCUUUCGAACCCGAGCCAUCUGAUCAAAACUACUGCCUCAUGGCACGUAGUGUCAAGGUAACCUCUGGUGAUUCCAAACCUAGCUAUAAGACACUUGCUAAAAUUGCAACUGAACUACAGAAUGCUAUGGAACAUAUUCAAAAGUUGUUAGACAAAAGCGAUGACCUGUUGGACGCAGAAAUGACCAGAACUCAGUCCUUAAUUGAAGACAUUAAAAUAAAGGAAAUAUGCCCUAGAGGCAAUAAUAAAGUUACUAUUUAUUUCCUUAAUUCAUGAUAAAUGUUUAUUAUUCAUUCUAGAAUUGUAUUAACCGGUAACUUAGUAUAUAUGUGAAUACAUAGACAAAACAUAUAGUCCCUAGUAUGCCUCUACUUGACUAUCUCGUUAAAAAAAGAUGGUUAUGUUUCCUAACCAUAGACAUGUGUUGUCAUUUGAUGAAUGAGAUCACAUCAUUAGGAGAAUGAGGUGAUGGACAUGACCCAUCCGUUAGCUUAGCAUUAUGAUCGUGUUAGUUUCAUUGCUACUGCUUUCUUCAUAACUUAUAGAAGUUCCUCAGACUAUGAGAUUAUGCAACUCCCGAAUACCGGAGGGACACUUUGUGUGUUACCAAACGUCACAACGUAAAAGGGUGAUUAUAAAGGUGCUCUACAGGUGUCUCCGAAGGUGUUUGUUGGGUUGGCAUAGAUCGAGAUUAGGAUUUGUCACUCCGUGUUUCGGAGAGGUAUCUCUGGGCCCUCUCGGUAAUACUCAUCACUAUAAGCCUUGCAAGCAUUGUGACUAAUGAGUUAGUUGUGGGAUGAAGUAUUCAGGAACGAGUAAAGAGACUUGCCGGUAACGAGAUUGAACUAGGUAUUGAGAUACCGACGAUCGAAUCUCGGGCAAGUAAAAUACCGAUGACAAAAGGAACACCGUAUGUUGUUAUGCAGUUUGACCGAUAAAGAUCUUCGUAGAAUAUGUAGGAACCAAUAUGAGCAUCCAGGUUCCACUAUUGGUUAUUGACCGGAGACGUAUCUCGGUCAUGUAUACAUAGUUCUCGAACCGUAGGGUCCUCAUGCUUAAAGUUCGAUGACGAUUGGUAUUAUGAGUUUAUGUGAUAUGUUGUACCGAAGAUUUUUCGGAGUCCCGGAUGUGAUCACGGACAUGACGAGGAGUCUCGAAAUGGCCGAGACAUAAAUAUUGAUAUAUUGCACUACUAUAUUCGAACAUCAGAAGUGUUCUGGAGAAGUUUCAGAUAAAACCAGAGUGCCGGAGGGUUACGGGACCCCCCCGGGGGGGAACUAAUGGGCCUCGAUGGGCCCUAGUGGAGAGAGAGAGGGGCCGGCCAGGGCAGGACGCGCCCCCCUGAGUCCGAAUAGGACAAGGAAGGGGGAGGGCGCCCCCUUGCCUUCCCUCUCUCCCUCUCCUUCCUCCCCCCUCCCUUCCCCAAGUUGGAAACCUACUAGGAAUAGGAUUCCUAGUAGGAAUCCUACUUGGGGCGCACCCUACAGGGGCUGGCCGGCCUCCCCCUUGCUCCUUUAUAUACAGGGGCAGAGGGGCACCCUAGGACUCACAAGUUGACAAUUGUUUUAGCCGUGUGCGGUGUCCCCCUCCAUAGUUACGCACCUCGGUCAUAUCGUCAUAGUGCUUAGGCAAAGCCCUGCGCUGGUAACUUCAUCAUCACCGUCACCAUGCUGUCGUGCUGCCGAAACACUCCCUCGGCCUCAACUGGAUCAAGAGUACGAGGGACGUCUCCGAGUUGUACGUGUGCUGAACGCGGAGGUGUCGUACGUUCGGUGCUUGGAUCGGUUGGAUCGGGAAGACGUUCGACUACAUCCACUACAAAAAAAUACACUGCCGUGAUGAUACGUGUUUGUCAUAGUAGGUCGCGUUUUCUGUCAUGCAUGUACAUCCAUGACGAUUUUAUGACAGAAUCAAGAUAGUCAUACCUGUGCUAUCGUAGAAAUCUUCCAUGACAUUACCAAAAUUAUCAUCACGGAAGUGUCCACUUCCAUGACAAUAAAUCGUGCAUCAUAGAAGUGCUUUCGUCAAGGGUGACCGACACAUGGCAUCCACCGUAAUGGAACACCGUUAAGAUAUCGGGUCCAGUUUUGGAUCCGAUAACCCGUUAACUGCCCUAACAAAUGGGGAUUUUCCACAUGUAAAAUCAUCAUUGGCCGGAGGAAACACGUGUUGCCUCACCGUUGGGACAGAUGUCAUCCACUCAUUAGACAGGAGGCGCCUAUGAUAGGUCGACACAUGGCAUGGCCCAACAGUGGCCCAUUCCGGUGAAAAAGGCCGGCCUGGUAAAAAUUAGCAGGCCAGCCCAUAUAAGGCCUACUUGUGCCAGGUCCAUUUAAGCCCACGUCCCAUACGAGAUGUGCCAAUUCGGCCCAUCAAUGACCCGUUAAAGAUUUGACACCAUUGCAGCCCAUCGUCAGUUCAAGCCUGUUAACAACCCGCUAUAUAUUUGGGCUCAAUAUUGGCCCGAUGAGAUUUCGGCCUGUUAACGGCCCAUUUAAUGGAUGGGCCAAUUUUCAGGAUGUACAUCUUUCGGCCUUUUAGCGACCCAUUUAAAUGUUGGGCUAAUUUCUGGCCCGGUGUGUCUUUCAGCCUGUUGACGGCCCAUAAUCAGUUGGGCCAUUUGUAGUCCGACCUCAAUUUUGGCCUUUUAGCGACCCAUUUAAGUGUUGGGCCAAUUUUCGGCCCGGUGUGUCUUUCAACCUAUUGACGGCCCAUAAAUCAGUUGGGCCAUUUGUAGUCGGACAUGAGUUUUGGCCUUUUAGCGACCCAUUAAAGUGUUUGGCCAAUCCCCGGCUCUGUGUGCCUUUCAGCCUGUUAACGGGCCAUAAAUGAGUUGGGCCAUUUGUAGUCGGACCUGAGUUCUGGCCUUUUAAUGGCCCAUGCCCUUCAUGGUCCAAUACCAACCUGGCUUCUCUUUCGGCCUUCUAAAGGCCCACAACAUAGUUGGGCCAUUUACAAUACGACCCGACUUUCAGCCUCUUAGCGGACCAUGCUCUUCAUGCUCCAGUACAAGCCCGCUGUCUCUUUCAGCCUGCUAAAGGCCCACAGUAUGGUUGGGCCAUAUGUAGCCCGAACUUAGUAACGGCCUGUUAAUGGCCCGUGAAAUCAAAUGGGCCCACCUGUUGCCCACUUCGAUGUCGUCCUGUUAACGACUUGGGAGGUAAGAGGGCCGACCAUUAACUUUUGGCCUGGUAAUGACCCAUUAACUUAAUGGGCCCACUAAAGUUCGUACAUGUCUUUAGGCCAAAUUAGAUAAUUUAAGCACAUUACAACGAGCAAUUAUGCACAGGACCAAAACCGAUCAAGCAAAGGUACGACAUACAGGGAAAAACGUUGCACAACUAGCAUAUAUUACAGGAACUUACAUCCACUGGGCAACCAAAGAUUGAUGCCAGUGCAAAUAAAUGAACAAAACCUAACGAUCUACAACGUCACAAUCUGCAACCUCAGCACGGAUGAUGCCCAUAAGCAUGUGGGCAAGUUCUUGCUGCUUUGCUAUACUGUCUCUGAAAACAUUGAUCAGUUGUUGUUACGCACGAAUCUGCACCUCUGAUUCCUCCACCAUUUCCAUCAUUGCUUCUGCCAUUAAUUGGUUCACAAACAUACAUUUUUCCGUUGCAUUCGAGACAGAGGAUACUGAACAGAUUCAGAUGGCGAUUUUGGCAUGCUUGUAUUAUUGAUAGUGGAGAGUGCCUCGACUACUGCAUCAUAACAUAAAUUAGGAGAGGAACCAAACAGAUUAAUCAUGAGUUAUUGCCAUAUUACCUGGCCUAGAUUUAUUGGAAAUAAACAAUGGGGUUGCCUUGCUAUUUUUAGAGUUUUUCUUCUUAUCUUCAGCAUCCUGCACCAAAUUAACACACUAGCAUUGGUAUCAUUGGCCAUGUCAGAUAAUAGGAAAGCAACAAUGGCGCCUUUAACAUUUUGCUACAACUAAUUUUAGAUCAGAUAAAGGUUGGAUUCACGCCGAUUAACAAAAUAUAUGCUGAUGUAUACAACAGGUACUUACAUCAGCAUUGGAGCACAGAGAAUUCCGGCAAGAUAAUUUCCUCGAAUAUAAUCGCAAUGAAGUCUUCUAUCAUUUAACCUUAUUUUCUAAAAGAGAGAUGGGUAAGAAGCAUGUAGAAAAUAUGAUCAGAAUGCUAUAAAAUUUCAUGAUGCAAGGAUACGCACACGCUUCUUAGAAUGAAGUUGACAUUCUUUUGCUGGACUGGAGCAGACUAUAGUUCUUUGGCCACUGGAAUCUCCUUAUUAUCAGUGGGAGUUGGGUUUCUCUGUGCUGGAGCAGUAUCUAUGAAAAAUGGAGUUGGUUUAUUAUCACCUGGCAUUUGGAUCUUUUGCAAAGACCUGGUUUGUAACCCUUCAGAUUCUAACAUAGCCGUCUUCCCCUUGCAUGCCUUAUAUAGAAGAAUGGUGCUUCAAUUAUAAAACAUGCUACAGCAGUGAUGGAAUAGGUGCUAAAGAAUAAAAAGACAUGACAUAUUGACAUGUAUUCCAUCCAUCCGGAAAUAAAUGGAUGGGUCUACGCAUAUUUCAGUUCUAGAUACAUCCAGUUUUAUCCAUUUCUGCGACAUGUAAUCCGUACAGAGGGAGUAUGAUGUAAUAUCUAGGGAUACGACUGGACAACACAGUAAAAAAAUACUGAAAACCCACUACAGAACCAUAGUAUUCAAACCCACUGAUAUGAGAUAGUACACUCAUGUAGCUCAGGAUGCAAAAAUACCAGGCAGUUUCCUUACAAAUAUCAACAUUGUGGCCUUUAAUCAUACAUUUUGCUACAAGUAAAUUUAGAUCAGAUACAGGUUGGAUUCACACCGAUUAACAAAAUAUAUGUUGAUGUAAAAAUAUAGUGAUAUACAACAGGUACUUACAUCUGCAUUGGAGCACAGAGAAUUCCUAGAAGAAUCUUUCCUCACAGACGAUACCAGUGUAGAAAUUCAUCUAUCUGCUAAGCUUAUUUUCUAAAAGAGAGAUGGAUAAGAAACAUGUAGAAAAUAUGAUCAACAUGCUAUAAAAUUUCAUGAUGAAAGGAUAUGCACACGCUUCUUACAAUGGAGUUGACAUAUUUUUGCUGGACUGGAGCAGACUAGUUCUUUGGCCACUGGAAUUUGGUUAUUAUGAGUAGGAGUUGGGUUUCUCUGUGCUGGAGCAAUAUCUAUAAAAACUGGAGUUGGUUUAUUAUCUCCUGGCGUUUGGAUCUUUAGCAAAGGUCUUGUUUGUAACCCUUCAGAUUCUAACAUAGCCGUCUUCCCCUUGCAUGCCUUGUAUAGAAGAAUGGUGCUUCAAUUAUAAAACAUGCAACAGCAGAGAGAUGGAAUAGGUACUGAAGAAUAAAAAGGCAUGACAUAUUUACAUGUAUUCCCUCCAUCCAGAAAAAAUGGAUGGGUCUAGGCAUAUUUCAGUUCUAGAUACAUCCUUUUUAUCCAUUUCGGCAACAUGUAAUCCGGACAUAGGGAGUAUGGUGUAAGAGCUAGGGAUACGACAGGACAACACAGUAAAAAACACUAGUUGAAUGUAAAACUGUAUGCUAGCGGAAUACAUAUAGAAAAACUAAGGCAACAUACACAUGUAUGAUUGGGAAACUAAGAUGGCAUUGCAAUAGAGCACUAGAACAUCACUUGAAUGUAAAAAAACAUGGUAUGGUAGACAGAUGAAGUACAUACUGAUGAAUAACAAUGCAUAAGAUAUUCAGAAGCAUGACGUCCAAAUUAAGCAGAUGGCAUUGCGAUAGAGUACAAUGACAGUACUUGAAUUUGAAAACAUGUUAUCAUGAAUGGAAUAGGUACUGAAAAACAGGAAGGCAUGACAUAUUUACAUGCAUCAUCAACAUGCUAAGCACAUGGCAUUGCAACAGAGUAGAUACACUCCAGGACAUUAUAUGCAUGUUGUACCCAUAUCACGGGCCAAGUUAGAGCAAGGACCUUGUGGGGUGAAGAGGAUUCAUCAUCUUUCUGCAAGUCUUCUGAAGAAUUGCCUUUACAUGUUCCAUCAUAUUGGGUAUCAUUGACAUCAAGUUUAUUGGCCUUUACAUUGCUCUGUGAGGUUCUUGUGGAGAUAUCAGUGUGUGCAAUUAUAUCUGACAUGCAUGGAAGACAACUAGUAUUUAGAUUUAUGUAAUGUGUGCCUAUAGGAGACGACAUAAAUAGUAGGACUGGGGUUAACUAGCAGCAACAGGUCUCAAAAACUAAAGGGAGAACACAGAUGAAAGCUGCAGAAUAUGUAUCGUUUGUACUCGAGAUUAACUAGAUGGCACAAAAAAGUAUUAAAGAACAACAUAGGUAAUACUAGAAGUGGUAUAAUACUAUAAUCACCAGCCUGUGGGAUAUCAUUGGCUGAUGGAUGAUAACUAUGGAAUAGUGUUACCUAAAGAACAAGUAUCUUAGCUGAACUAUGGAACAACGUUAACUCCUGAACAAGACCCGUAAGAGAUUAGCAUGAAUAUACAGUGAAAUGUGAUAAUCUAUUUUCCAUGAUUAGAUGAAUAACAAAGCCAUAAAUUUUGCGCACAAUAAGAUGACGGUACAACCUAUCUGGCCGCCAUCCAUAGGAGUGAGCAUCAUGUGCUGACUUGUCGAUGGCCGUGCAGUUAUUGUGGUUGUCCAUGUCGGGCACGCGCAUUCGAUGCAGGGAACUGUUGAGUGGGGACUAUAGCUCCCUUCUGGUGUAUGCUUCCCUUGUUGGAGCAGCUACGGUGAGUCGGAAGACGGUGUGGUUGAAGAUGGAGAUAACGCAUAAUGUUAAGAACGACACAUCUCUUUGAUCUGAAGAAAUACACUAAGAGAUCAACAGCAAGGUACGAGAGUGGUCACACGUCUGUUAGACUAUAGACUAAAUUGGGGUCACAUGAUUUAAGUUUAUUUUAUUUUGGUACUGUCCGAUCUACGCCAGAUGGCUUGAUGGCCGUCUUGUGGCUCUCGGCUAACACUGUUCGGAAUCUUCCUCGAAGAGCCAGCGACCAAUGGUAGAGCAGCCUGCCUCCACUGUCCAUGGCCCCAGCCAAAACCCUGCUUCCCGCCCCACCGCACUGCCGUGGUUGCCCCGCCUCCGAGCUAAUCCACAAAGACUCCCCGUCAUCGAGAUCUAACAGCGGCAGUACCUUCAACCCACGCAACCCUAAGAUAGCCAUCUAAGCGCUACUUCCGCGGCGAACUUGCGGCCCCACACCCUUACAUUAGACGCUAGCCAACCAGCAGCCUAGGACCUCCGCCGCAUCGAGGGGUGCUGCUUCCCAUUGGGAAUCGAUUGGCCCAGAAUAAAAAUUCAGACAACUGACGCCUAAAUAAAGUGAUUUGAGAUGAGGGUGCGACCUAUCUGGCGGCAUGGUGAAGUAGGUAGCUCCAGCUGCCGAGUCAGUGAGGCCGGCGCUGUUGCGGUGGCCACCGGCGGAAGGGAAGCAGCGAUGUCAUGACGGUCGACGGCUAUGGGGAAGCAGCACUGGGACUCUGGACGGAUCCAAAGUUGGAGCCGCUCCGGUGCCGUGAACAAUGGCGCGGGUGAAUCGGCUCCGGUAUGGUUCAUGCGGCCGUCGUCGAGGCAGCUCCAGCAGCACGGAGUAAGAGGCACAUGGCCCAGUGCACGACGGCAAAUGGACAGCAUCUUCGGCAUUAGGGAGGAGGGCUGCUGUGAAAUUGAUGCGGUGGGGGUGCCAUGAAGGAGGGGCUGAGGUUUCGCGGCUCAGGAGAAGGGAGCUUCCGGGGAGAAGGUGAUUUGGCGCCCAUGAGGUAUGAAUGGGGGUGGUGAAUCGGGAGGGGAGUGGAACCAUGUCUUACGGACGCAUUUGUCUGAAAUAUGGGGGCGAGUUACAGUUCUACCCUUGCCUUUAGGCUUCUCGGCUUGGGUCUGUGUACUGAGGGUCGGGGAUAGUAGAGUAACUUUUUUUCUCCGCAAAUAGAGGGCGGGAGCGAUUUCGGGUGAGGAGGGCGUGUUUUGAAAUAUAGUGGGCGAGAGCGAUUUCGGGUGAGGAGAGCCUGUUUUGAAAUAGUGGGCGCGAGCUAUUUCUGGCGAGGAGAGCGUGUUUUGCCGACCAUGGUUUAUGAGUUAUUCGGCACAUGUCAUUUCGGCCAAGGAGAAGGCGCUCCUGGAUGAAGUUACAAACCUACCCUCGAUGUACAAUGGGCCAAUUGAUGCGUGUCCCACAUAGGACGGUAAUUUCGCAUCUCCCAAUUAUUUGCUCGGGCGAAUUCCACCGAGUAGAGGAUGUUUAACGGUUCGUUCAAAUUUUGGGAGAACGAGUAUCCACGUCUACCUUACCAAGUCGGUUCGAAUCAAAUUUUGAAAUAUUAGCUUGCCACUUCUUUUUGAGAUGGAGAGAUGAUGCUCGGGAGUAAUGUGUACAUGCUUGUUGCUAGCGACUUACUAUGUGAAAAAUAGUUGACCCACUCAAAAACUGGAAUCAAACCCAAAAUGAAAUAUCUCGAUUCAAUGAAAUAGCUCGUUCACCAGGUCAAAAUAGUGAACUAAAUCCAAAAUUGAACACCUCAAUCGAGUAGCAUGUUGUACAGUAUUAUAGUACUCCAUGAACAUGUUGAAAGUCAAAUUAAUAAAAUUGUUUGAUAUACGCAUAUAUCCGUUCAUGUGUGGAUUGCACACAACAUGUUCUCCAAUUUAAACAGGGCUUAUUCCAUCUGUGCCCCCAAUUCCUUAGUUGUGCUCAGUUUUCCCCACGCUUCAAACUUUUGCUCACUUUUCCCCACUCCCGUAGCUGAAACUCUCACAAAUGUUCUGUCGGAGUAAUGGGCCACGGGUAGGCUAACCCGUGUCCCAGGACCUUUCAAGACAUCGGGGCAGGCCGCGCCCCUCAGGCCGAGUCCCAGACGGCGACCCCAAGACAAGCCGAGUCCCAGACGGCGACUCCAAGAUAAGCCGACUCCAAGAUGGCGACCUCAAGAGAGGCCGACUCUGGAGAGUCGGCCCAUGACUCCUCCCUCAUCAUGAAGUACGAUGCGGGGUACGGUCACGGCAUGGCCGUUCCCCCCUGCUUAUGAAGGGCCGGCAUGGCUACAGUGAGCCGUAUCGCUGGAAGAUCUCCGGCGAGGCGCGACACUGUUGCCAUGCCUGCCCGGACCUCAGCCACAGUGCGCUGUACAUUGUGCCCACGACGCCGGCCUGUACGAUCCGAAGGCGGCGGGACCACCUGUCAGUGGGUGGGCCGAAGGCGGCCUGGGCGCCCCGAAGACGGACCUUUGGGAGUCGGCCGACUCCUCCCCAGGGCCCCACGAGCCAUUAACCAGAUAUGAUGGGGAAUGGCGGCAGUGAUCGCCCGAUAGACGGCAGCACUGUUGCCACGACCCGAUGACCGAGCCUGCGUCAUCAGGAGUGCCGCUACAGUAUCAAGCCUGUCCACGGGACCCGGCAGUCGGCGGGCCCUAGAAGCCGGCGGGAAGGACGGUGGCCUGAGAGGCAGACGGCUGGGACCCGCGCCUAGCCGGAUUACUAUUGUACCCCCGGGGGGGUAGGCCUAUAUAAACCCCCCGGGGCACCCAUGCAAAGGGUUUGGACCUGAAUAGAGAUAGACCAGAUAGCACGGGGAGGAGAGAGCUAGCCUUGCCCUCCCCUGCCUCCUGAAAUAGCUCCAGGAGCACCAUUGUAGUCACCUUGCAUUAGUGAUCAUGCGGAGACCCCGCAGAGCAGCUGUAGGGGUGUUAUCUCCUAGGAGAGCCCUGAAGCUGGGUAAGUUCCGCCGGCGUGCAUGUCUUCGCCUCAUCCCGCUUCCAUGCACCGGCGAUGUUCUACUCGCUCCCACCAUGAUAAGCCAUCCUUUGGCAUAUGUCUUAUCCAACCCCCGACAUGUUCAUAACAGACGUUUGCCGUCUUGGCCAUUAACUAACUUGUGGGGCCACGUUGGACUCUGUUGACUGUGGCUGUGGCUUCGCUGGUUGGGUCGUGUUUGUGUUCAUAGGAUGAGCCCGUUAGUUUGUUGGUAACAAAUUAAAAAGGCCCAAUUAAAAAAGCCUGCUAUCGAUGGAUGCAGCCGGCUAUGCAUGCCGGGCUUUGGCAUCGAUGUAGCCUGCUAUGCAUGCGAACACCGACACGCACGCAUCUAGUGACCUAGACCUAAACGCAUGCAUGCACGCCGACAUGCACGCAUCCAUCCGUGUCGCAUGGUUGCCGGUGGAUUCAGUCGCUCCGCAGCAUCGUUUCACGCGUCGCAGGAAUACGUGCCGGUGGCAGAAGGGGCAGGCUACACGCACGCUCGCGCCGCACUGCUGCUGCUCGAUUCAGUUGUGGGAGGCAGUCAGCCGCCAACGCAGAGCACGGAGAAGGGGAAGGCAGGCAGCUGCCAACGCAGAGCACGCAAAGCACAUUGAUGAUCACAUCGGUUCACGCACGCACUGAGUCAUGAUCUACGCCGUUUGCCCGUGUACCCACUUCGUCUCACCCGGCUAUUUAAACUGUCAUUCAUUGCCUCUUCUUCUACAGAUCCAUCUGCGCCUCCCACUUCUCCUCUUCCCCCAAAAGCCAAAGCCGUUCCACUCAGCGAAGCGUUCAAGAUGCAGUACAACGGGCCGACGUUCCAAGAGCCGCCCACCGUGCCGGAACGGCGGUACCCUGCCAACGUCAUUGUCAAGACAUCGCUCCGUGUGUGGGCGUUCUCACGCUGGAGGGGUAGCACUGAGCUUGCACGGGGGUUCCUCCGUGCGGGCUUCCACCACCUCCCGGCGGGCUCGCCGCCCAUGUUCAACCUCAUGGAGCAGCGUCCCCACGCCAACGCUCUAGUGGUAGGGCUCAUCAUCCACUUCACCAACAGGUUCGAUGCCUACUACCUGCUCGGCAAGGUGUAUUGGUGUGGGUGCGAGUUCAUCACAUUCACCACCUAUAACAUCUUCACCGACUUUGAGAGCAUCUUCCCCGCUCGCAACCGCAUGCACAACCUCCAGUACUGAAGCCGGCGGCGAAGAAGACGAUGAAGCCGGCGGUUAAGGUGAAGACGACGGUGAAGACAUGGCGGUGUUUCCCUAGCUACCCUAUGUACUAUGUAUUGUGAGUUUGGUGUGUGUGUUGCGCGACCUAGCUACCCUAUCUUUGCAUGUAAGGUUAAUUAUUAUCUAUGUAAGAACUUAUGUUGCCCUAGCAAUUGGUGUGUCGUGUUACAUGUAAGAACUUAUGUUGCCCUAGCAACCCUAUCUAAGUUAAGUUAUGUGUGUUAUAUUAAUGCUUUGUUAUGUUUGUAUUUUUUGUCCCAAGUUUAGAAACAGCUAAUUGGCGUGGGAAAAAUUAACGAAACUAACUAAAAAUGAUGUGUUUAUAGAUGCCUUCUAAAAAUAAGAACAUAUUGUACCUUUGUACACGGCUUUGGUUUGCUGAGAGCUCUGUAUUUUUUAGGUAUUCCAAGAAUACUUUGCUUUUCAGAAAUAUUGAAGUAUCAAAUACUUUGAGAUGUUUGGCUUUAGUCAAAAGUGUAGUUUUAUAUACUUUAAUCCCUACUUUAAUAUGUAGAAAACUACACUAUGUUUGAAGUAUAUAAAAAAGAGGGUUGACCUCUUUUUCCAAUCAUGAAGUAUUGGUUCGCUAGGCAUAAUAAUACUGUGGUUUGCAAAUACUUUGAUUCUAAAAAAUGAAUGGACCCAUGAAGGAAAGCCAAAAAAAUUCCUCAAUGAGAUAGAAGAGAUUGGGCAAUCAAAUUAAUGAAAAAAGCAAUCAGAAACAAAAAAGAACAAAGCAAUCAUUCCUAAACAAAAAAAAACAUCGCUUGUUUCUGGGCCUCAUUUAUCCUUUGUGGCCCUAUUGCAGCUUGAUUCUCUUUGGGCCCGCGAACUAGGUUUUUUUUCUAGCAGAACUGACGAACUCGAGGAAAAAAGUUUGGCAAGUGCGGGAGAGAAGAGAUGAACUUGACGUAUAUCCCUUGUGCUGCUCAAGUACUGCUUACUGUCAUCUGACGAGCUAGGGUAUGAUCCAACACUCAAGGUUAUUAGCUAACAAGAUAAUCCUAUCACUGAACUGGUAGUUGUCUUCUACCGAAACUGAAAGUGUCGAAACUUAACAGUAAACUGCAUACAUUCAGAGAUCGACAGUUGCACUAAACAGAGUUGCAUUUGAGAUAAACAUACUUGGAUUGCUAAACAGUGGAAACAACAGUAGACAAACAUCUCUAAUGAGAGAUGGCCAUCAAGUAAAAAAUUCCUAGAGCAAGUAUUCCUAAAGCUAUCAGAUUGGAUUGCUUCUUCAACUCAAUCAGCUGCUUGAAGUUCUUGUUCAUAUUCUUCAAUUCCGUCUUCAGUUCGACAUCUACCACCAUCGGGUAUUCCGGACUCGCUGCUGCUACCGGAGCGGCACUGUCAUGGGGCAGAUUGAACUCGCGGAUUGCAUUCCCCCUCGAGUCCAGCAAGCCCAACCCUUGAAGCCUCUGGAUGUAAUCAUCCAUCCACUCGAAAUGGUGGCAUUUCUUCAUGAUCUGAAAACGAAAUCCAAAUCUGAUAGAUUUUUUUGAGAAAUUAGAGAUAAAGGAUGCGAGGAAAACUCAGAUCUAACCUGCCCCUCCGGCUUGCUCUCGCAUUUGAUGAACUCGCGCCCAAAGUUCCCAUUCUUCUCCUCCUUCGAAGUCAAUCGCUUCAGUGGCGUAGUCCGUGGGCAGUCGGUGCAUCGAGUCAUCGGCACUGGACCAUACACCGGCCACGUGGAACGGGGGCCUGACAAGGAGGUCUACAUAUCGCCCGAGAGGAAGAAACAAAUGAAUUAGUCGAGAGGAAGAAGAACGAGAAGAUGGGGAAAGAAAUAGAGGAAUUGCUCGAUAUGCUCGAUGCCUUUGUCUGUCAGAUGGAGAAGAGGAGAAGGGGAAGCCAUAUUGACGAUUUGCCACAUUGUAUUUUGCAGUUUGAAUAUUUGAACCAACUCUUUUCACUGACAUGUGGUGGUCAUGUGCGAAAAAUACAAUUUCAUAUGUAAAGUGGGGCAGAUCGUAAAAACCCAAGAAGGACAGUGCAGUAGCCAAUCAGGAUGCAUCACACGGAUCGCGCAUGCCUGCCCCACAUCUGAUGGGUGGUGUUUGGCGCUUGGUAGGAUCCGACGGCGGACGUUUGACGCUAGGGUUUGGAGCAUUUCUGCGGGGUUAUGAGCGAGUCAAUAGGGUUAUUAGGGUUUGACCAGAUUUCAAAUGGCCAUAACUAAAUUAGAAAAAAUCACAAAAAUAUAAAACAAACAUAGUUCGUCUAUUUAUGAGACCUAGUUACCAUAAAAAAUAUAAAGUUCGUAUAGGGACAUUUUUUAGAAAAAUCAUUUUUUGUCGAAAUCAAGUUCAAAUGUUUUUAAAAAAUUAAAAAAAAUCAAAAUGUUGUAAUUCUUGCGCACAUAGCCGUCAUAUGUGAAAAGGUUAUGAGAAAAAAAUAUAAACUUGGCGUAGGUCAUUUUCAUGAAAGAAGGCUUCACACAAAUGAGCUUCACCUAUGAACAUGUUCAGAGUUCGUAGAAUAGGGAGAGAGGGUUUAGGGUUUGAAAAAAAAUUCAAAAAAACAAUCAGAAAAAUCUCCAUAGCUUCAUUUUGGAGUGAAUAAGAAGGAUCUGAACUUACCUUUUCAUUUUCAUAUCUAAAACGUGUUAUUCGAUAGUUUUGAAUUAAAAGCAUAUUUUUUCAAAAAAAUGUAGUAAUUUGAAUAUUAAUCAAUAAAUAGUGAGACUACGUUUUUACCCUAUAUAUAUGGAACAAGUGUUAAUAAAAAUAUAUGUGUCUCAUUUAGGCAAGGUCAAAAAAAACUUGAUUUCAAAUAGGGUUGUUUACCCUAGCUUUUGAACUCGUUUCUAGCACAUUUCUCAUUCGGACUGUUCACCUAGGAAUAUUGGACUUUAAAUGCUCGAUCAAAUACACCACACAGAGCAAUGAACCUCAAAUGUUCAACUUAAACUUUGGCUCGAAUCCAAAUUUUGGCCCAAAUUCAAAUAUUGAUUUAAAUUCAAAUUUUGAAGGAAAUUUGAAUUCUCACUCAAAUAAGAAACCAAAGUAGAAGCAACAUUAUUACAACUGAUAAGUUUUCACAGUAGCUCAAAUCUACCAAGUUUUAAGAUGCCAACAUCUUAAUACAAAUCUACCAAGUUUUAAGCGAUCGACUCACCCUCAAAUUGACAACACAAACAUUUCCCAACAACUUAAUUCAAAUUUUUGACUUGCUCCUUGUGUUUGCAGCUGGCUUCACCGUCUUGCUCCUGGUUUCCCUAGUUGAGAUGCUCUUUUCUUUCACACUCUGUUCCUUUUGAUCUUGGGCUUUACUUGUGGUUUUAUCUGUGGAGGUGCUGAUGGAGUAGUUCCACUCGCCGAGCACUUGACGACCAUUUGACGGUCAUCUAUGGGUUCAGUAAUCUUUAAAGGCACGAUUGGAAAAAUUACCCCCUCCUCUUCCUCUCUUAUAGCUUCAAAACCAUCAAAGGCCAUGGUUUCAAAAUCUUCUGCUUCUUCAUCUCUUGGCCUUUUCUCCCUAGAGCUGGUAAAUAAAAUUAUAAGCCAUAGGCAAAAAAGAGAACAAAUGCAAACAAAAAGGUUGCUGCAUUCUACAAAGGGUGCAAACACAUACCAAGAUGCUUCAUUUGCUGCUGCAUUCUCCACUUCUUCAUUUGCUGCUACAUUCUCCAAUGCAUCUUCAGUCUCCAUUGCUGCUACAUUCUCCACAGCAUUGGCUGUUGUCCAUCUUUCCUCCUCUCCAAAUGAUGCAUCCACUGCAUUGGUACAAAGCCUAGCAAUAUGCCCCAGAACUCCACAUUUUUUGCAAGCAUGCUUCUUUGGUAGACGACCCUCCUCACCUGCUCUAAUCCUCUGGUUCCUUGGUCUUCCUGGUGGUCUAGUAAUGACAGGAGCGUGGAGUUUGAACCCUGGAUCUACUAUGUUCCAUUGAUCUUUCCCCAAUAGUGCAGGCACAUUGUCAGCAUAAGCAGCCAUAAAUUUGGCAACAGAGAAAUACUCAGAGAAAUAUUGAUCAACUUCACCAUCUGCACCCCCGGUAACGGUCAUCAUAUGUAGGGCAUGUAUGCAUGGCUUCCCACGGAUCUGCCAUUGCCUACAAGUACAUUCUCUAGUACUUAGCUUCACAGGAUACCUCCAUACCCUAUUUUUAGUGUCAGUAUAGGUAACCUCUCCCUCAUAUGUACCAAAUUGAAUACAUUUCAUCUUCAGUCCUCUUGCCUUCAAGUGCAAUGCCUUAAUCAGUGAUGGGAGCAUUUGAUGAUCAACAUAUUGUGUUUCUGCAAUUCUUUUGCGAAGAUCCAUCUUUAUCAUGAUCAUUUGCCUCAUCUUGUCAAAUGCUUGCCACAACAAGAGCCCUUUCACUGACUUGAACUUUGAAUUGAAGCAUUCUGCAAGGUUACUGGUCACAUAAUCUACUUUGCAGAUUUUGUUGAAUUUGCUUCUUGACCACACCUUACCAUGAUGUGCAUCCAUGUACUCCCUCACAAGAGGAUUUUGAGCAUACAACACUCUCAAAUGGUGUUCAUGCUUCCUUUUGCUGCAUGUGUAUGAUGCUGGCCAUAAGUUCUCAUCAUAAACUUUACCUUUGAACUUCUUUUUGAAAUUAUACGCUAGGUGUCGCAUACAUUCCCUAUGCUCUACUCCAGGGAAUACAAUUUCCACUGCACUCUCUAAACCCUUGCAAGCAUCUGUGUGUAUAGCUAAACCUGGGGGUGUGCCUAUAAUGUUGCGCAACUGCUGUAGAAACCAGACCCAACUUUCCUCAGACUCUGCCUCCACCACACCAAAUGCAACUGGGAAUAGCCAGUUGUGUCCAUCAACUGCAGAAGCUGCUACUAGCUGUCCUCUCCAUCUUCCGGUCAAAUGUGUAGCAUCUACAGCCAAAUAGGGCCUGCAACCAUCUAGAAACCCAUGCUAGCAAGCCUUGAAACAAACAAAUCCCUUCUGAAGCACUCCUUCUGAAAUGACUUCCCUUUUAUUUUGAAUUGAACUGUAUGCUUGUCAAUCUCUACAACACUCCCUGGACUUGCCAUCUCCACUUCAGCUUUGAAAGUGUAAAGCAGCUGAAAACUGUCAUUCCAUUGACCAUUAGUUCUUUCAAGAGCCUGUUCCCUAGCAUUGAAAAUUCUCAUGUAAGGAAUUUCUAUCUUGUACUUCUCAAAAAGCUUCCCAUGGAGUGCUGUUGGACCAAGUCCAAGUUCUUCUCUCAGCCAAUCCAAUAUAGCACCUGCCACCCACCUAGUUUUGCAAGCUUAGUUUUGGCCUUCCCCCCUCCCCCUCCAGGUGGACAGGUGUGCUUGGGUGGGUUUUUCUUUAUCUAAAACAAAAUAAAAGGGUAAAAAAACAGUUAAGAAACCUUACUCAACAAUCUGAAACUAAAUUACUAACUGAACUUGGAUUACCUGAAUAUAUAUGCUCUUUCUCAUACGAGAUGCAUGCAACUUCCACCUGCACCUAGGAUAUGGACAAAAAACUGUGAACCUUGCUGGCUCACUCCUUUUAAUCUUAUAGGUGUUUUCAGAUAUAAUGCACCAUGUUGUCACUGCAUUCCGACAGUCCACCAUUGAUUGGAAAAUGGUACCUACACUAAGCUCAAGUUUUUCCCUGUUCCACUCAAUUGUUGGCAUGUCAUCACCAUCGUAUUCAUCCUCGAUUAAGUUGUCCAUGUUCUCCACCUUCUCUUCAUUGUCAGUGUCAUCAAACCUAGCUUGGCUGAUGGGCUCCUCCAUAUAUUCGUCAUCCACUGCUUGCUGACUGGCUACAUCGACCAGUUCAGGAAACAUCAUCUUGUCUUCAUCAUCAUUUGUAGGCACUGCCUCGUCAGGUUCUGCAUCUUCUUCUACACCAACUGCAGAAGGUACACGAGAAGCAGCAGCUGAAUCGGAACCAGAAUUGGCACCAGGCAUGUUGUGGCUCCAUGAACCACUUGCUUUACUUGGUGUCGACCUACAAGGAGUGCCGGGGUGCUGGCUAUUAGCAAAGACAGAUGAUGUCUGAACUCCCUUCCCCUUCACCCGUUCUGCGCGUGGCUGAAGCACAUCGAUUUGGAGUUUACCGAAUCAGCAUCCAGCAAUCCCAGCAAAAAGCAACGGCAUAUGAUCGUCGCAAGUUAGUGGGAGAAAUCUUUGCUCAUCACUGCUGAAGUAAUUCAGUUCAACAGCAUCGGCAUCACUCCAGGGAUAGGUGUUUCUGAGCUCAGCUCGCAAAUCUUUGAAAGAUAUGCUGGUUUCUACCACUUUGGGAUAGAAAAAUGAUGAAAUCAAAUGCGAUUUAGUACCAUGCAGCACACUAGUUUCCAUUCUAAUCACCAGCCGGAAAGCCAGCGCGGGAUUAAUCCUAUUUUGUUGAAGAAAAUAAAGGCUUCAGUUAGCCGGGUAAAAUCGAGCACAAAUUCGAACGAUUCAAGCAAACAGAAGUCAAAUACGGCCUACAAUACGACUUAGAACGUCAACUCGAGAGGAAAGAACGCUUACCCAGGUUUAAUCCAUGAAUUAUCUGCCGCGGAUUCGACCCAAUCCUCUCCACGGUCUACUGCAUUCCAGGCGUCCUCACUCAACAUCGCUUUGUAAUCCUAGAUGGGGAGGUGAGCUAUAUCUAGCGGAGAUGCAGCAUCGCCGAUGAACGGAAUAGGGGCAUAGGGUGGAGGAAACAACUGCGUGGACGCGACACGACGCAAGCGGAGGGGGCGGUGCGGCGCGGUGCAGUGCGGCCUAUCUAUAUCUGUUUCAGAUUCAGACAAGCUGCCCAAUACGUGUCUCCUUGCGGUCCCACCUGUCAGCAAGCAACAAUCAGACGAAGACUCGGCCCCACUCAUCAGCAAUUAACGGUCAAUGGACGGUCAAGACGACAAACGGCCGCUAUGAGCAUUUGUGAGAGUUUUAGCUAAGGAAGAGGGGAAAAGUGAGCAAACGUUUGGAGUGUGGGGAAAAGUGAGCACAACUAAGGAACCAGGGGCACUAAUUUAAAUUUCCCAUUUAAAUAUUUGAAUGCAAGUUUAUCUCGAAACAUGGUUUAUAUCACUCUUUGAUGCAUAAAACACAACAUCCCCCUCUCUCGUACUCCUGCUCUCUCUCUCUCUCUCUCUCUCUCUCUCUCUCUCUUUGUGUCUAUGUGUGUGGGGGGGGUCUUUCUAGUUCGCAUGCAUAUAUACUCCAUCUAUAGGCCUCUUGCACACUAUGUAUGAUUCUCUAGUCCAAGCUAGAUAUCUUGGGUGCACUCAUCGUACGCACACAAAUUCCUUGGCUCAUUGCUCGUAACUCUCUCACGCACCACUCUGUUGUCUCGGAGCUCUUCCCUCUGUCUCUCAAACUCUCAAUCUACCUGGGUCACACAUACACAUGCAUAUCUCACUCGCACUCUAUAGGCCCAUCUAAAACUCUAUCUUGCUCCGUCGUUCUCUCUCCAUCUCACACGCACACACUACACAAUCUCAUUUCUAGCUAGCCAAGUAUGAUGGCCUCUCACUUAAUUGUAGGCACACGCAGUCCCUCUAAAUGUAUACGACUAGCUAAUCUUAGUCUCCAUCACAAACAUGUGCAUGGUCUAUCUUGAUUUCUCUCGGGGCAUCUUUCUAUCGCGCAUGCACCUCCCUCGAUCUCCUACCCAUACAGUCCCCUAACAAUCUUGAGGGGAUCUCUCUAUCACAAACAGACCCUCUCUCCCUCCCCAUGCGUCCAUGUUCUCCAUGUGUCCCUCUCGACCUUUGUUCCUUGUUGGCCAGACCUCUAUUGGACAUGUGCUAUAGGGUUGUCUCUCUCCGUUGCAAACAAUCACACACUAGCUUUGUUCGUGUAUCUCCUCGCCUCGCCUUUCUAUCUUGGAGAUGCAUGCGUGAUAUGUUUGCAUAAGAAAAAAAACACACUCUCUCUAAUUUAUCGUUUGUUGUCAGUUGUCACUUUCUCUUUCACACACAAACUCUUUUUGCACACUUACUCAUUCUCCUUCACACGCACUUGAUCUCUCUCGACUUAGGCACUCUCUUCGGUCCAUAGCAUAUAGAUUUAUUGAAAGUCCAAGAUCACAAAGUUUGACCAUGUACGUGGAAAAAACAAUUACAUCUAGAACGACAAACAUAUACCAUUAGAUUCACCAUGAGAUGUAGUUUCGUAUGAUGUAUCUUUGGUAUUGUAGAUAUAAAUAACAUUUGCGUAAACCUGAUCAAAGUUUCCAAAGUUUGACUUCUAAAAAAUUUACAUGCACUACAUUAUCGAGCGGAUGGAAUAGCUCUUUCCCCCUCUUAGCUAUCUGACGCACCACUAAGCCUUAUCGGGGCUCCUCUAUCUCUCUCAAACUUUAUAUCUCCCUGUUUCACACAUACACAUGUCUCGCUCACGCUAUACAUAUAGACCCAUCCAACACUCUCCACCCUUGUUCUCUCUCUAUGUGACACACACCCCCCUAAGUACUAUAAUCCCUCACUCCAUCUUAGGUGCAAGCACUCCCCACCCUAAGUAUGAUUAUCUCUCACUAGCCAUCAGGAACACACGUAUUGUCUCCUUCCAUCCAUACUUCUAUCUCGAUAUCUCUCGGGGUAUCUUCUAUCAUGCACACACCUUGUCACUCGAUCUCCCACCCAUGUAGUCCCAUCACGAUCUCCAGGGGAUCUCUCUAUGACAAACAUACACUCUCUCAUCCCCAUGUCUCCAUUUUGUCCGUACGUCUCUCAAGACCUCUCUCCCUUGUUUGUCAGACCCCUCUUGGCCACGUGCUAUGGGUCUUUCUCUCUAGAUUGAAAACAACCACACACUAUCUCCUCACCUUGCUUUCGUUGUCGAAGAUGCAUGUGUGAUAUGUUUGCAUAAGACACACACGCUUUUUCUCUACUUUUAUCGUGUGUUGUCCAUGUCUCUUUCACACACGCACACACACUUUUUUCACUCUCUCUAUAUAUAGUUAGGGACUCUCUCACGUCCAUAAGCAUAUGGAUGUUUUGAAAAGACAAACCUCAAAAAAGUUUGACCAUGUAUAUGUGGAGAAAAACAUUUACAUCUGGAACGAUCAUUAGAUUCAUCACAACAUGUACUUACUUCAUACUAUCAUUUAUCUUUGGUAUUGUAUAUAUAAGUAAUUUCUUUAUGAACUUGGUCAAAGUUUCAAAAGUUUGACUUAAAAAAAAGAUUGGAACUACAUUAUCGAACGGAGGGAGUAGCUCUUUCUCUUUCUCUCUCUGCUAUCUCUCACGGGCCUCCCUCUCACUCGAACUCUCUAUACUGACGGAUUAUACGCUCACUAUGUCAGUGUAUAGCUCUGUAUAUUGUUUUGGUGAUUGGUCAACCAGUCCACAUGCUGCCUUGUCAGCUCAUGCUCUGUAUCUUCGUGUGCUAGCCCAUGCGGCAGUGAGUGAAAAUAAGCAAACUAGAGGCCCAUCUGACACGCGAUGAAGUAAACAAAGUUGAAACCACUCGGUGUGGCACCCCGCAUGCUAGUAAAUUGAGGGUGCAUUGAGGACACACUUCUUCCGCAUGAAGGACACACUCGCGCACAAUUCACCACUAUGCGGCGGCAUGCAUAGAAGGACGCGCUCGCGCACACCCAGCACACAACACACACCAGCACACGUGUACACCAGUGUCGCCGCCGGUUGAGAUGGACAACCAGGCAGCCAACAAGCGGAGGCGGCUCUAGCCAAAAACGCAUCUGGCGAGACUGGACUUCAUCAUCAGCCUCCCCGAUGACAUGCUGGUCGUCAUCAUCGGCCUCCUCCCCACCAUAUCUGUCGUGCGGACCGUCUCGCUCUCCAGGCGGUGGCGCCCCCUCUGGCGCUGCGUCCCCCUCAACCUCACCGUCGACAGCUGCCUCUAUGACAUGGAUUGCAAAUGCAUGGCUGCAGUCUGCAAGAUACUUUCAUCGCACUCUAGGCCAGCCAUACUCCUUGACAUCCGCAUGUUCAGUACCAACUGCAAGGUCCAACCCAUGUUCGACGAGUGGUUCUUAUCCCCCACCCUAGAUCAGCUCGAGGAGCUCAGUUUUGAAGCUAGACGAUGUCGCUGUCUGCCGCCGUCCGCGCUCUGCCUCAUGCCAACACUACGCCGCGCCAGCUUCAACUCCUGCUAUCUUCCCUAGAUUAAUGCCGCGCCCACCCUUCUUCUCCCUCAACUCAAGCAGCUCGACCUUUUCGACGUUGUCAUCUCGAAGAAGGCUAUGGAGCACCUACUUCGCAGCUGUACUGUGCUCGAGUACCUUCGUCUUGAGAAGAUCCAUGGGUUCAUUAGCCUCCGCAUCGCCUCCACAAAUCUCCGAUGAUUUUAUGUGUCUUGCUGGCCCCGCAACAAGACAUCAAUUGGGAAGAGAUCGCUCCAGCUGUUCCAUGUUAUGGUUAUUGAGAAUGCGCCUUUCCUUGAGAGAUUGCUUGUAUCGGAUCUAGAAGGUCCAACAAAAAUCCGGGUCAUUAGCGCCCCGAAAUUACAGCGUUGGUGUACUCGUCUUCCAAAUUCUCCGAACUCUUUAUUGGAUCCGUAAGCGUUCAGGUACAACACUCAUCUUCUUCUCCGUCUUCUUGAAAUUCACAUUUUUAAAUUUUUCUUGAUGUAUUUACGACCGUCUUCCAGAAAAUGAUUCCCACAAGCUUGACCCAGUCUAUGCGCACAGUUAAGAUCUUGGCAAUAAAAUCUAUCGGCCUCAAUCUGGAUCAAGUUGUUGGAUACCUUACAUGCUUUCCGUGCACGGAGAAGCUACUCAUCGAGGUGAAACUUCUUUCCUAUUAGUAAAUGGUAAUCACAACUUAGCUCAAUUUUUUUGUAAUUUUCCCAAAUUACGAUGACAAGUGUAGUGUUUAAAAUUGCAUCUAUGCACUGCACCGAAAGAAAUGUUUUUAGUAUUUUUUUCUCACAUGAUUACCUGCAUCGUUUUUUUUGUUGUACUACUAUAGUAGCCUAGGCUAGUCAUAGUGGAAAGUAACUUAGACUACUCCAGUAACUCUAUGGUUACCCUAAGAGCAAGUACUACCUCUGUCCUGGUUUACUCUUCCUAUUUUGUAGUAUCAAAAUUUGACCAUAGAUUUAACUGAGAAAAUGUUAAUGCAUGUCACUAAGAACUAUAUCGUUGGAUUCGUAUUUGAACAUAAUUUCAAAUGGUAUAAUUUUAGUGACAUGCAUUGGCAUUUUCUUAGGUAAAUCUAUGGUCAAAAUUUUAUACUAAAUACGAGGUAGUACAAAAGUGGGAUAUAACGGCCCUCCACUAUGUAGGCCAAAACACGUGCCAAAUUCACUUGUGAUGCAUUCGGCAUCGAUGCCCCUCCAUUGCUCACCUGGUGCCCCAAUCUGGAUCACCUAUACUUUGCUCCGGUGCCAAAUUAACUCACGCAAUGAAAACACACUUGCGUGGGAGAGAGAGAGGACUGAGGCAAGAAAAAAACACUUGUUUGGGAGAGUGAGAGGCUGGUGUAGUUGGUUUGAUUGAUAUUUUUAUACAUGUGGGUCGGUGUGCACAACGGUGACAACUCUCUCACAUCGCGAGAGCGGUGCCAAAAUCUUUUGAUUUGACAUCGAUGCGUAUUAUGAGGCAUACUUUUGCGAAAUAUGGCAUCGGCCACAUAGUGGAAGGCAACAAAUGCCCAUGCUCCUCACGUGCUCCUAGGUAAAUGAGAUGAAAGACAAAGAGAGAGAGAGAGUGAAAAAUAUCACUAGCCAGCCAACCCUGUCGUAUGAGUGAAUGAUAUUGGUACCUCUUGAUGACACGACAAUCUUAUACGGCUAGCUGCUGUAAUAUGUUCUCUUCUUUUGCACAUAAAAAAAGACCCAAAAGUGAAAAAUGUGCUGCACUAUAACAAUAUCAUUGAAUGCCUUGAUCUCCAUCUUACAGAAAUUUAUUUGAUCGACUAUCAAGGCAGCACAUCUGAGAUUCAAUUGGCCAGGUUCUUUUUUCUGGAGGCAAGUGUGCUCAAGGUAAUUAGGUUUGGCGUUCUCUGGCGCAACAAUGAAUGGCGUGCUGAUCACCGCAAGCGUCUAAGCCUAAAUGACACAGUCUCCGCAGAAGCUGAAUUUGUUUUUGAGACAUCAAGUGGCCAGAGACUCGAAAACUUAUUUGCCCAUUAGUGACUUGUCAGGGCGCUGGAUUAUAGUUUGUAAGAUAAUGCUGCAUCCACCUAAAGUAAUGAAAGUUCUUACGUAAACCUCCUAGUAAUUCCCUCUUCGUAGGUGCAACAUUACUCCUAACAUUUGUAAUAUCAGUUUGAAACUUGUAAUAUUGAUGUGUCCUAUUCCUGCGUUUUUAACAUCCUGCGAAUCAAAUAGGUCUUGAGUUGGUGAUGAUGUUGUGCCUGCCAUCUUGCACCGAUAGCCAUCGGAUUUAGAUCUGACACAUACAAACCAAACUUCUCCAGUUUUGAAAAAAGAUGCCCGCACUUGUUCCCUAUUUACAAACAACUCCUUGUCUCUCACAAUCAGCCUUAUCUCCUCCCCACGACAUCUAGAAGGCCAUGGAAAAAUCUGGCGUGAUGGCCACUGCCGGCGCCGUCGACCCCCCAAUCUUGGUGUUCUGUGCAAUGCAUGGGCAUCUACGCACGGGAAAUUAUGUCGAACAUGGCUAGUUGUAAGAAGGCUAGGUAUACAACCAUGAUGAUAGUGACUGCAGAUGGUGAGGCUGACUAUGGUAUGCCGAACACGGCGCCUAUACUCAGGUGUCAUCUCCGGCGCAGGGUCUUGUCACUUCACUGUGAGGAACAGCACAUAAUAAUUUGACCACGGGCAGUACAGUGCUACUACAUUGGUAGUACUACUACUGGUACUAGCACCACCAUCUUGAUUUAGUAGUACUACCACGUCCAUCUGGAUUUGGUAUUUGACUAGCAAUAUCUAGUAAUGCAUGUCACAAAAAAUGUACUACUCCCUCUAUAAAUAAAUACAUGGUGUAUUGUUUUAUUCCUAUCAGCGAGAUAACUUAAUGUCUUUUUGCUACUUAAUAGGAUUACAUGCAAUGAACUAACCACUGCAUGUGAUGUUUGGUAGUCUCAAGUCAUUGAAAGCAUGCAUGGCCCACAUAUCUCAUUGGUUGAUAUGUCAUGAAAUAAGAAACGAGGAGGGAGUUAAUGUACCGUGCCUAAGUGUUUUGGGAUUAUUUGUUUUUCGUAAGGUGACUUACACAACAUUUUUGGUUACAUGCAUUAACAUUUUAUUAGUUAAAUCAAAGGUCAAAACUUGGCGGAAAAUGCAAAGGGGACCAAUAAACCAGUAAACAUCAAAGUUCUCUCGUUUGGCCCCAACUAGAGGUCCGGUGAGAUGACUAUACUGCACCAGCAUGAAGGGGGACGCAACUUCACUGACUUAAUGCACCUGCCUUUGGGUGUAUGACACGUGGGUCCAACGGGUGGCUGGCCCACCUGUCAUAGAGCCAAAGGCAGGUGCAGUAGAGGGGCGAGGAGUAGAUGGCCAACACACACGUGAAUUCAACGCAGUCUGCACUUCUCGUAUAAAGGCUCCCGCCAGUCCAAUCUACGAAAUCCUACGCACCUACGCACCUUAACCAAGGGCAAGAGUGAUCACUUCAAUCGCAAGAUCAGUUGACUACAAGCUAGACCCGUGGAGGCGAUGAGCGCGAGCAUCAGCCGGCAUGUGCCAGAUGGUCCACAACACCGUCCUACGGCCCGGCACCGAGGAACGUCUCCAGGUAGUGCUUGAGGCCGCCAGGUCGAGGGGCCACUUGGAUGACAGCUUCGUCUCCUUGUUCGACGAGGUCCUCGUCGGCUUCCUCGACAAGUUCACCGUCGUCAAGAAGCUCGCGGACGACCUUGACAUACACCUCCAGCCCACGUGCCCAGGCUCUGUGAUGCCUGCCACCCUCAACAGCCUCUAUGGUGACAACCUCUUCGACGCACUGGUGGCCCUGCGACUGCCCGGCCGCCAUCGCGCUGGAGAAUGUCCACCUCGAGGUCGCGCUCACCGCGUAGCGCCUGGCGCAGCAAGACACCAUCGACAUAAUCACCCACGUCUACACGCAAAUCGUCCAUAAGGACUACUACAUGAAAGAGGAGGAUGAGAGGACGCUGGCCUUCUUGGACCGCAGGGUAACCUAGGACGACAUUGUUCAGAAGCACGUUGAGCUUGCCGCCAACGCCGCUGCUCCUCACACGUCGGUUGGCGACCCUGUGCACUAGGGCGUGAGGAUGUCAUUGAUGGAUCCAUAUGUAUCUUUAUCUUUUCGUCAAAUCCAUGUAGUAGUAUAUGGUACUACUAGUAAUUAUCUUACCAUUCACAUAAACUUCAUAAUUUUCAUAUGUACUCCAUGCAUGAACCGCUCCAGAACUAAACUUCUCAUUACUCUAGGGAAAAUCGUUAUUUCUAUCUAUCGGUCGCGCCAUGGAGCAGAACCAAAUUUUACAACUUACAAAAUCAAAAGGAAAAGCCUGCCUUGUUCGCGUUGCAACCCAAAACGGUUGGUCCGGUACUCCAUUGAAGGGGGAAUGCAUGUUGUGUUGCAUUUUCACUUACAAGUGGGACCACAGCUGAGCAAACCGACUAUCGGCAAACCCCCACCCCACCCUCCGCGAUGGCUAAGAAAACAUGAGGGAGAAGAUAUGGUUGUAGCAUGGACCCAAGAAAAUUGGUGUCGGAUGGGACUCGUGUGGGUGGCGUGUGCCGUACUGCUAGACAUGAAUGCUAGUUAAGGCUCAUGCCACCCCACUAUAUCGAGGUGCUAGUUACGUAGAACAAAUUUCCUGGAGUCCGUGCUCAUCCCUCGUCUAUCUCUCUUCUCAGCCAUGCAGCAGACGCGCGGAACCCAUCAUCUGUUUGCUCAUAUGCGGUCCCACAUCUCAGUGAAAACGCAAGAGGACCCACUAAACCUGCACAUAUUUCACCUUGAUGUGCUGGUGAUGAAAAACAAAUCCAAUAAAGAUCUUCAGUGGCCGCUUUUGGAGUUACUCAAGAGUAGUAAUAUUCUAUUUAUAGUUUAACCCAAGAUGCACAUCACGUGGCUUCAACUACCACUCCAUUUUCUUGCAUGACAUGACCGGGAUGCUGGAUGUCCCACGUGUCGACAAAAUGAGGAAGAACUCGACCAAAUCUUCAGUUAUGCUCUCAGUUUAGACUAGUUGUGCUAACUUAAAAUUUUAUUGUGUACAAUGGAUGCAAGUUUUGGUAUUGGGAAGAAGAGUACAUCGAUAUAUUGAUACAACGCAAUUUAGUAGAUGUUCUAGCACUUUUAGCUAGCAUAGAGGCUAGAGACGAGACUAGUGUACCUGUUGAUAGAAUAGAGUCUAGACAUGAGACUAGAUGUGAGGAAGCAAUGUCUACUUCUUUACGCCCGAAGAAGAAAGAAGCACGCAAGAUCGAGCCUCCACAGAUCAACAAUGAAUGCAUCGAGAAGGCACUAAUCCAACUUACAGGAGCAGUUAUGGAAGUUGGAUAUCUUCUAAAAUGUAUUCUUGUGGUUCUUGUUUUCUUUGGUGUUGCUUUUCUAGUCAAAUUUUGGUGAUGUAUUUCCAUGUACCAAAAAUCAAUGAUGAAAAAAAGAUAUGUAUUUGCAAAGAAAUAUGUACGUGGCCGGGAUGCAUCCGCGCGUUCGGUGCACGGCCACCGCAUCCGAGAAAUGGCCCUGACACGACCCCAUUGCCCUACCUAAACGGACAGAAUCCGGGCAAAACGGAGGUCCAUUUGGGGUCAUGCGUUGGAGUUGGCCUUACAAGUGGGACCGCAGUUGAGGAAACCGACUAUCGGCAAACCCCCACCUCGCCCCACGCGCGAUGGCUGAGUUAGAGAAACGACGAGGUUGUAGAGAUUGUUGUAGCACGGACUCCAAGUAAUAUGGUGUCAGAUGGAAGUCGCACUGGUGGUGUGUGUCGUGCUCCUGGACGUGAAUGCUUGUUCUGGCCCAUACCACCCUACUACUCCUACUAUAUAGUAGUAGUAUCGAGGAUUCGAGGUGCUGGUUACGUACAGCGAACACAUUAACAUAUGGCCCACCUCACACUGUGGCCAAAUUUCCUGGAGUCUGUGCUAGGUUAAAAAGUAUUCUUUGUGAGGGUGGGUGGCUGGUCUCAAGUUUAAAACUUGUUGUAUUACGUAUACGUAGACGUAGAGAUAGUGCAGCAGUUCUGAAAGUUUGAACCCAAACAUAAGAAUGCAAUUUCUACUGGACUCAUCCGAGGACCUAGGAUGAUGGGAUUCGCAGCUACAGCAAAAACACCCGCCCGACGCGUGAAGCAUGUGAAGCUAGUACAAAUAGUGUACUACUAUUGUUGAUUGGCCUCAUCUAAUAACCUAUUGCAAUGCACGUACAAUUAUGUAUUCGAAAAAUAUUUUUUUGCCUCAUCGCAGCACCCACUCAGAGAAGCGACUCGAAAGCCAUUCAUAAAUUUAGUAAGUUUAUCACAGGCAUAUCAUUUUAUUACAUACAACAGGUCAUCAACCCACAACGACAAUGAGGAUACAUUAUAAAUACUAAAGUUUUCAUCACACAACAAAUAACAAGCAAUGAAAUGAACUUCAACUCAACCAAUCCUCGGCGUUGGAAAAGUCUUGCAUUGAACCACAAGUGAUUCUCUGGGAAGGGACAUCUAUUGUCAAUCUCGAGACCAACGCAGGACUGAUCAUAUAGGCUGAAGCGGCCUACUAUACGGAGUACGAGAUGGUAGCCAUGGACAUGGUCGGCCCUAUUUGAAGAGAAUACUAAUAAAUAACUUUGAUGUGUCCCCUCAACUCGCAAAACGACGAGAAACUUGCUUACCUUCUCCCUCGCCAACGCGUGUGCGGUGGCUCGUAGCACGAGGAGAAACUUUUGCUUACAAGCGGUGGACGUGCAACAGUUCAUUUGGUGUCAUAUUGCCGGAAGUACUACUAUAGUACCAUCAUUAUUGUUCGACGUUCAGAAGAGGAGAAGAGCCAAGCCCAAGGUCACCUACUAACCUAGUACAGUACUACUAUAGCCAAAGCUGGUCCACCUUUUUAGCACAUGGUUAAUUAAUAUAGGUGGCUAUUGUAGUGGCACAUCAUUGAGAGCAAGUACUCUCUUCGUAGGAUCAAAGGAAGUGAAACAAAAGUUGGAGUGGAUGCUAGAUUGCCAAAUAAAACAUCAUUACAUAGGAAAAAAACUAUAGCAUUCUAUCCUAUGAAUCAAAUGACCAAUGUAGGAAAAUUAUGAGGGGGGUCUCUCCAACAGUGUUCCUCGGCUCACAUCUAGCAUCACGGUGGUCGAGCUUGGAGUCAUUCAUCUGGUACUCGUGGCAUCUCAGAUCUGGACAGAAGGUGAUGCGACCUCUCACUUCGUCCGCCAUUUGAAGUGGCACGCCGGUGGAGGACUAGCAUACUCCAAUAUUAGGUUGGCUCUAUGUGAUGUGGCAACUUCAUAUACUAACCAGAUGCUAGCUAUACUACUACGGUACUCACACUCCAAGAAGUGACUCGAAAACCAUUCAUAAAUUGACUCUAUGACAUGCAUUUGCAAAUGUACCAUUCAUUACAUACAACAAGUCAUCAGCACACAACAACAACGAGGAUACAUGUUGGAUUAUAGAUUAUUUCCAACAAAACAUUCUAGUAAAUACAUAAGUUUUCGUCACACAACAAAUAACAAGCAAUGAAAUGAACUUCAACUCAACCAAUCCUCAGCGUUGGAAACGCUUGCUUUGAACCAUAAGUGCUCUGGGAAGGGCCAGCUAUUUUCAAUAUCGAGAGCAAUGCAGGACUGAUCAUCCAGGCUGAAGCGGCAUAUAUCAGGAGCAGGGUAGGGAACUACCACAAAGUCCAAGGUAUAGAUACAAUUGCUUCUCAUAAAUGGUACUAGUAACGUUGUGUCAAUAUGAUACGUCCAUUUUGCAUCAUGCUUUGAUAUUGAUAUUUAUUUCAUAUGGGUUGUUAUUACACAUUACGUCACAAUACUUAUGCCUUUUCUCUCUUAUUUUACAAGGUUUACAUGAAGAGGAAGAAUGCCGGAAGCUGGAAUUCUGGGCUGGAAAAGGAGCAAAUAUUACAGACCUAUUCUGCACAACUCAAAAUUCAUGAAACUUCACGAAGGCAUGUUUCGGAAUUAAUAAAAAAUAUUGGUGAAAGAAUCAACCAGAGGGGACCCACACCCUGGCCACGAGGGUGGGGGCGCGCCCUACCUCUUGGGGGCGCCCCCUAUCUCGUGGGCCCCCUGGCAGGCCACCGGUGCCCAUCUUUUGCUAUAUGAAGUCUUUUUCCCUGGAAAAAAUCAUAAGGAAGCUUUCGGAACGAAGCGCUGCCGUCUCGAGGUGGAACCUUUGCGGAACCAAUCUAGGCCUCCGGCGGAGCUGUUUUGCCGGGGAAAUAUCCCUCCGGGAGGGGGAAAUCUUCACCAUCAUCAUCACCAUCGAUCCUCUCAUCGGGAGGGGGUCAAUCUCCAUCGACAUCUUCACCAGCACCAUCUCCUCUCAAACCCUAGUUCAUCUCUUGUAUCCGAUCUUUAUCUCAAAACCUCAGAUUGGUACCCGUGGGUUGCUAGUAGUGUUGAUUACUCCUUGUAGUUGAUGCUAGUUGGUUUAUUCGGUGGAUGAUUAUAUAUUCUGAUCCUUAAUGCAGUGGUGAAAGCAUCACUCCAAAACCGAAACGGAACAGAUGCAUGGGCCAAAAGAGUAAGACCAGCUUCAACAAUAUGACGAUGCUUACAUUCGACUGAACCAUUCUGCUGAUGUGUAUGUGGACAUGCUAAACGAUGAGCUAUCCCAAGCGACUGAAAGAAAGAGUUGAGGUUGCGAUACUCGCCCCCCCAGUCUGACUGGACAUGAACAAUUUUGUGCUUGAGAAGACGUUCAACAUGUUUUUGAAACUGAACAAAAAUAUCAAACACAUCAGAUUUGCGUUUAAUAAGGUAAAGCCAGGUAAAGCGACUAUAAGCAUCAACGAAACUGAUAUAGUAAUUAUGACCACUGACAGAAGUCUGAGCAGGACCCCAUACAUCUGAAAACACAAGUUCUAAAGGAUGUUUCACCUCACGACUGGACUCCGAAAAAGGAAGUUGAUGACUCUUCCCCUGCUGACAAGCAUCACACACUGCUACAUCUUUAUUACUAGACAAACUAGGAAGCUCAUGACGACGCAAAAUAUGACGAACAAUAGGUGUGGCCGGGUGACCAAGACGAGCAUGCCACUGUGACAGAGAGACCCGAACUCCACUGAAAACACGAGCGACACCAGGAUGCUCCAGACGGUAGAGGCCCUGGCACAACCGCCCACUAAGAAGAAUGUCCCUCGUGCCCCGAUCCUUAAUAAAAAGAUCAAAAGGGUGAAAUUCACAAAGCACAUUAUUAUCACGUGUGAGUUUAGGAACUGAAAGAAGAUUACGGGUCACAGAUGGAACUCGAAGAACAUUGCAAAGCUGAAGACUCCUAUUGGCAUGUCUAGUGAGAAGAGAUGCUUGACCAAUAUGAGAGAUGUGCAUACCUGCUCCAUUGGCGGUGUGGAUCUUGUCGGAGCCAUGAUAGGGUUCACGAGUGUGAAGCUUCCCCAUCUCGCUGGUUAGAUGCUCUGUCGCCCCAGAGUCCAUGUACCAGUGUGGAUCGAUGGAGUAGGACUGAGUGUGUCCCUGUUGCUUCUGCGGCGCGGGACGAUCAGCCAUGGCGACCUGACGGGCAUUGUUGCGUGUAUCUUUGCCGUCAUUGCCAAGACCAAGGAAGCUUCGCUGGAAGCGCUUAUGACACUUGGAGGCCCAGUGCCCAUCGCGGCCACAAAGCUGACACACACGUGGACCGCCAGCCCCAAGGGAGACCGGGGUGAUGAAGAAGAGCGGCCACCCUUGGUGGCGGCGUUGGCCGAGAGGGAGCCAGUGCCCCUCGUGCGGCGAGUCUCGACCCGUUGCUCAGUGAGAAGGAGCCGAGAGAAAACCUCGUGUGCCAGCAUGGGUGUCGAGUUGCCCCGCUCGUUGAUGAUCUCGACUAAGGCAUCAUACUCCUCAUCAAGACCAUUGACAAUAAAUGAGUUGAACUCAGAGUCGGUGAGGGGCUGUCCAAUGGAGGCCAAUGUGUCGGCGAGGCCCUUGACCUUGUUGUAGAACUCAGUGGCAGUGGAGUCAAGCUUCUGACACUCUCCAAGCUGACGACGGAGUGCAGAGACACGAGCCUGGGACUGCGCUGCAAAGGUGCGCUCAAGGAUGGUCCAGGCCUCAUGAGACGUCUUCGCGAAGACAACAAGGCCGGCAACUGCCGGCGAGAGCGACCCCUGGAUGGAGGAGAGGUUCGCCUGGUCCUGCCCCGUCCAGACGCGAUGGGCCGGAUUGUAGACCGGACCGUGCACGCUGUCUACCAGCGCGGGUGGGCAGGGAAGCGAUCCGUCGACGUAGCCUAGCAGGUAGUGACUCCCCAAGAGCGGGAGAACCUGCGCACGCCAGAAGAUGUAGUUGUCGGCGGAGAGCUUGAUGGUGAUGAGAUGACCGAAGUGAAACGGUGGCGGCGAAGACGAUCCCAUCGAGGAGGCUGCCUGGGGUGCAAACACCAUGGAGGCAGCCGGAGGCACCGAAGCCGAUGCGGGAGGAGGCGGGACCGCAGCCAGGGCGGGCGCCGCAAAGCUCGCGGCCGGUGCGGACGCCGCAAGGCCCGCGGCUGGGGCGGACGCCGCCAACCCCGCCAGCGGGGCAGUGUGAUCCGCUUGCGGCAGGAGCGGCGGGACGACGCCUGCGGAGUCCACAGCGGACGGCGGCGCCGCGGUGUGGACCACGAGGUCACGCCCAAGCGAGGGCGCCGGCGGCGUGGAGAAGACGGAGCCGAUGCUCCUUGUCCCGAUCGGAGCCGGAACAGAGACGACAUCGAGCGGGAGGUUGAGCAGAGCCGCAAGAGAGGCCGGGAGGAAGCCCGCAGCAGUGGAACCGGUGGUGGCGGCGCUCGACAUGGCGGCGGCGCGAUCGGUGGCGCGGCGGCGGCGGUGAAGGCGGCGGCGGCUGCGGCGGCGGUGCGGGUAUUAGGGUUUAGAAGCGGAAGCGAUCGUAACCUAGCGUGAUACCAUGUAAGACAAUAAGUUUUGGGGAACCAGCACAACCCUCUAGGUACAUCGGUACAGAAGCUAUACAUAGUCUAACAGUAGACAUUGACGUGCGUUGCGAAACCAAGCCACCGGCCAGAAAGUUUCGAAGGUGUGGUCAUUCGGUUGGCCGUUGAAUUACCCUCGGUCCCGGCAAGAGCUGGACGCAGCGGCGCGCGUCGGAACUCAGGAUUGGUCUGCGAGGCAGUAAUUCCGUCCUGGUCAGCUCCUACUGUGCUAGCUUGCUACACGCGCCGAAAGAGAUGUGACGUCGCGUACGUGUAUCACUUUGCAUGUCCGGCAACCAGUGAGCGCCAUGCACGUAGCCACGUACCCUACCCUAGCGAGCACCAUAUUUUCUUCGGUCGUAUUGUAUCGUACAAUAAUCCAUGACCUCUCGUUCCCUUGUAGUACGUGGAAACGUGGAGUCGGUAACUCGGUAUGGCACGCACGUCAGUCCAUGGAUCGGAAUGCGACGAUAGAUCGAGCGGCUAGCUGCAUGUGCUAGCAUAAUCCGUGGCGUCUCUCCAAGGAUACAGUACGUCCAUCUGUCAGGGGAUUCGAUGCAUGCAGCAUGCAUGCGUACUUUUGUUGGGUGGUGCAAAGACUUUGACACUAAUGUCCGGCUGCAAUUUUUUGCUUACUGAGAUUUUUUUAGUAACUUUAAUUGGCCGGCAAUUGAUCGCGGGCAACCCAUGCUGCCGUAGAUAUGGACCUCAUAAUUCACCAGUUCAUUCUUAUUUACAGCCAUAACAUUCACCUUGGUUGGUCUCUUUGGGAAGAAAUAUUUUAGGAGACGGUCGAGUACUUUCGACGACGACCGGGCUGUCAAAGCUGGCCGAGGCGUAACGGGCACCUACUUUAUUUACUGUACGCCCGUAAGAUGCCGGCCACUGCCAGCCAUGGAUUGUUGAAAGAAGUCUGUACUUUCUACGAGUGCACGUACGCUGACGGAAUCUACCACAUGUCGAUCGGUUUGAGCCUAAUCCCGACCACACGUACGUUCCCGCUAAUUAACCACGCCCGUGCAGUAUAAUACUCCUAUAUACUAGACGAAUGCAUGUACGACGACGAGCUAAACAAUGGUUUUCGAACAAUUGUAUAGUUUCUCCAUGUUGAACAACGAAAACGACAGGAUUAAAAUCAAAUGAUCGCCAGCUAGCUCUGUCUUUCGGUUAUAUAGUCGUACUUUAGUUCAAAACCGUGAUACUUAUUUUAGAUCGGAGAGAGUAGUGAAUUUUUAAUCAGACCCAACGACACAGAUCUACGGCGUAACAACGACACAGAUCUACGGCGUAACAGACCCAACGACACGGCACGGCGUACCUCCCUGCGUCUCGCCGGGAUUUGGAUCUCGAACCAAGGAGAAUAUCUCAGAGAGAGAGGACUUGGAGAAGGGGAAAAGAGCAGGGAGGAAAGCUUGAAUAAGAAACAAUAGUUGUGAUUACAAUUCGAUGCCUCCCACACACGCCAGCCACACGCUUAUAAGCCUAAUCCACCCACGCCACACGGGCUGAGCCACACAGGCCCAAUAACACACGGGCGGGCCUGGCCCAGGUCGUUGCACUCCCCUCCUCUUAACGAACAGCUCGUCCUCGACUGUUCAUCAACCGGCCGUUGUCGUUGCAGUCACAGCUGAAGACCAUUCCCAAGUCGCCAUUGUAAUUGGGAGUCCACGCCAUGCAAUUUUCCAUUGCGUGCGUGUGUGUCCACCCACACGAACCAACCUUGUUUGAAGAAUUUGAGCCGGUUUGGACAGUUUAUCCCCCAGCAGAAAUAGAGAAUCCAUAGUGUCUGAAGUAGGGGUUGGCGGGUCUGCCGGUUUGAGCAGCGAAACGUGCACCACAGGGUGAAUCUUGCUAGUCUCUGGCAGGGCCAAACGAUAUGCAACCUCGCCGACACGUUCAGUGAUCUGAUACGGACCAAAAUACUUGAAACCCAACUUGUGGUUGGAACGUCUGACAACAGUUUGUUGCACAUAAGGCUGCAGCUUCAGAAAUGCCCAGUCGCCAACUUGAAACUGUCGAUCCGAUCGAUUAGUGUCUUCCUGAUGUUUCAUCCUGUGUUGAGCUCGCAACAGGUGUUCUCGGAUCAAUCCUUGCAUCAGGUUCCUUUCAGCCAACCAUCCAGACAGAUCAGAGGACAGAGUACUCUGAAGAUUGGCAAUGCCCAAGUGUCGAGGUUGAUACCCAUACAGUACCUGAAAUGGGGUUGUUCCAAGUGCAGAGUGGUAGUUUGUAUUGUACCAGUACUCAGCCUGAGAUAACCAAUAAGCCCACUUUUUGGGAGUUGAAUGUACCAAGCAUCUGAGAAAAGUUUCUAAGCAUUGAUUCAGUUUCUCCGUUUGACCAUCAGUCUGGGGAUGAUUAGCAGAACUCAUAUUCAUCUUGGUGUCAGUGAGUUUGCACAAUUCUUGCCAGAUAUUGCUGGUAAAUAUAGGAUCUCUGUCAGUAACCAGGACCUGGGGAAGACCAUGAAGCUUAUAGAUGUUAUCCACAUAUAUCUGUGCGACUUGUAGAGCAGUAAAGGGAUGACAUAAGGGAAUGAAGUGCCCAUAUUUGCUGAACUUGUCGAUAACCACCAGGAUUAUGUCAAAGUUUUUGCUCUUGGGGAGACCUCCAAUAAAAUUCAUGCUGACCAUAUUCCAGGCUUCUUUAGGAAUGGGCAAUGGACUUAAUAGUCCUGGUUUCUUAAUAUGCUCAGACUUUGCUUGUUUACACACCACACAAGCUUGUACAUAGGCUUGGAUAUCCUGUUUCAAUGCUGGCCAAGCAAACAAUCCCUUGAUGCGUUGGUAAGUGUCCUGGAAUCCAGAAUGACCUCCAACUCCACUGUCAUGCAAAGAAAGCAUAAUAGCUUGGUGAGCUUCUUUAUUGCGGCCCAACCAAAUCCUGUCUUUGUACCUUUAUCACUCCUUGAUGUAGAGUAUAACCUUUGUCAUUGGAACCAGUCAGGGCCAGUUCUUGCAGUAAUUCCCUAUCUACCUCGUACUGCUGGUAUCCUUCUGUCACAACAGCUAACCAUUUGGGUGUGCAAAAGGAGAUAGCAGACAACUCCAUUGGGGCAGGAGAUCUGGAUAAGGCAUCUGCAGCUGCAUUAUCCAUGCAUUUCCUGUAGAUGAUGUUGUAUUGCAGACCUAGCAAUUUAAGAAAUGCUUUCUGUUGCAUGGUACCACUGAGUUUUUGCUCUUGAAGAUGUGUCAAGCUUUGAUGAUCUGUGGAAAUAGUGAAAGGAGCAUGCUGCAGAUAAGAUUUCCAUUUUUCCACAGCAAGGAGCACAGCCAAGCACUCUUUUUCAUAUGUGGACAGGGCUUGGGCGUUGAGUCCCAGGGCUUUGCUAAGGUAAGCAAGUGGAUGACCUUCUUGCACCAGUACACCCCAAUGCCUUGAUUACUGGCAUCAGUUUCAAUUGUGAAAUGCUUCUUGAAAUCUGGGAGUGCCAAAACUGGUGCUUGAGCUAAUGUUGUCUUAAGAUGUUGAAAAGCAGCUUCAUUGGUUGGUGUCCACGAAAACACAAUAUCUUUCUUCAGUAAAUCAGAUAAACUCCUACUAAUAAUUCCAUAUUUUUUGAUGAAUUUUCUGUAGUACCCUGUGAGACCCAGAAAUCCUCUGAUAUCUCUAACACAGGUAGGCCUGGGCCACUGCUGCACAGCUCUGAUCUUAGUAGGAUCAGUUUGCACUCCUUUGCCACUGAUAAUAUGUCCCAAGUAUUCCAGCUCUGUUUGAGCAAAAGAACAUUUGCUAAAUUUCACAAAGAGCUGAUUUUCUUGAAGUAUAGUGAAAACCUGAUUGAGGUGCUCAAGAUGUGUUUUCAAGUCUGGGCUGUAGAUUAAGAUGUCAUCCAUGAAGAUAAGCACACAAUGUCUCAACAAAUGGGCAAACAGGGCAUUCAUAGCCGCUUGGAAAGUUGCAGGGGCAUUGAUUAAACCAAAGGGCAUGACCUUAAACUCAUAUAGGCCAUGAUGAGUUUUAAAAGAUGUUUUAUGUUCCUCUCAUUCAACCACUCGUAUUUGAUGAUAUCCUGAUCGAAGAUCCAGCUUAGUGAAAAAUGUAGCACCAGCCAACUCAUCAAGUAACUCAUCCACUACUGGCAUUGGAUAUUUAUGGGGCACUGUGACAGAGUUUAACAUUCUGUAGUCCACACAAAAACGCCAAGUUCCAUCUUUCUUCCUGACCAACAACACUGGAGAAGCAAAAGGACUAGUGCUCUCCUGGAUGACUCCUUGCUGUAACAUCUGAGUUACUUGUUGUUCAAUUUCAGUCUUCUGCAUUGGAUUGUAUCUGUAUGGUUUCACAUUGAUAGGUUUAGCUCCAGGUAGAAGAGGGAUUUGGUGAUCAAAGGACCUGUGGGGAGGGAGCUUGUCAGGUUCUGUGAAGACUUGUUUGUGCUUGGCCAAAAUUUCUUGCACUGCAGGAGGGAUGAAUUGAUCAGUAUCAGGGGCUUCCACAAUAUGAUUUAGUUGAAUCACUUGCUCCACUGCACCAGUGUUAAGUAACCCUUGCAAAUGCUUGCUAGUUAUGCCUGUGCAGGAAAUGACGUUCUCUCUUAUUCCUCUUAGAGUGAUCCUAACUCCUUGAUAUUUGAAUCUCAUGACCUUCUUUCUCCAGUCCACCCACAUAGGGCUCAUAGUUUCUAGCCACUGCAUGCCCAAGAUGAUGUCAUAAGUGCCCAGGGGUAGCACUUUUAGAGAUGUAUUGAAGGUGUUUCCUUGACAAAACCAUUGCAAGUUAGGAACCUGUUUAUUGCAAUGUAACAAUCCUCCAUCAGCCACAGUAACUUUAGCCGCUGGUAUUUCUUCCACUGGGCACUGUAGGUGUUUCACUAGCUCUGCACAGAUGAAAUUUGUGGAACUACCUGAGUCAACUAAGAUCAACACUUGUCUCUUACCAACCACGCCCUGUAAUUGGAUACUAUCCUUUGAAGCAGUGCCCUGGGCUGCAUGGACUGACAGUUUCAUGAAUGCUUCUUCUGCUGUUGCUUUAUCGACCACGGGCUGUUCGGCUGGCUGUUAAGUUUCAGAUUCACUUUCAAAAAUUUCAGACAUCUGUAGAGCCUCGAUCAGUUCUUCCAGUACGUGAAGUUGGACUGUUGUGGGGCACUUGUGUCCUGGACCAUAUUUCUCCCCGCACUUGAAACAUUCUCCACGCGCUCGGCGUUGUGCCCUGAGGUUAUCCACUCGAUCUGGAGCUCUUUGAUGUGUUUCCGGGGGUUUAUCUUGUGCUGGUGUUGUUCCCAUAAUGCCCUGAUGCACAUAAUUUUUGGCAUUGGCUCUGUUUUCCCAUCUUUUGCUGUAUUUGGAGGUAUCUUCAGCCAACAAUGCUUCUUGUGUCUGUGCCAAGGAGUAAGCUAGAUCCACUGAAUUAGGUUGUUGCAGCUUGAUCGGCGCCCGGAUAGCAGGUUUCAGGCCCUCAAUGAACCUGUUGAUGAAAAAGGUUUCAUCGUAGGAGUGGUUAUACACAAGCAUCUUGUGCAUGUGCUCUUCAAACGCAUGAGCAUAAUCAUCGACAGACUCAGUUUGCUUGAGAGAGAAGAACACAUCAAUUGCUCGAGAAUACUUGUUCCUGUUGAAUUUAGCGAACACGGCCACACACAGAGCGGCCCAGCUAUCAAUAGUGUGCAUUACUUCAUAUGUCCGCAACCAGAGGGCUGCAUUUCCUGCCAAGUGCAUAGUAGCGAAAUCGACCCAUAAUUCUGAUUGAACAUUGUACAUCCGGAAGUAUUUUUCACACUGUUUUUUCCACCACUUGGGGUUAUCUCCCUCAAAUCUGGGGAAAUCAGAGCGAGGAAUGCGUGCGGAGAAUUUCCCAGGGGCAGAGUGAAACUGCGACUGCGGUGAUCUCUCAUAAUCGUCAUUGUCAUCAGAUAACUCGUCAGGGAAACGAGCGUGGGAUCUAGAUUGCUCACCUCGAUUCCUCUGCUGGAAUGACACGCGCAGACCUCGAGUGUCCUAUCCUGAAUGGUGCUGAUCAGAGCUCUGUCGCUCUGUUUGUGGCGGCUCUGUCCGCCGGCCUUGAGCUGUUGUCGUGCCUGUCGGCUGCUCCAAAUUGUCGACGCGGUGUACGAUCCCGUCUAGGAACUUUCGCAUCUCGGCCAUAGCCGCAUCGAGGGAGUUGUGCGCGACGAGCACCCGCCCCAGCGUCGACUCGGUGCGGGCCAGCGAGCUCGUGGUCGUCGUGGCCAGCGCAUCGAAGGCCUUGGCCGAGGAGGAAGCGUACUUGUCGAGGGACUCCUGCAGCCCAUCCAGACGUUCCGCCGUCUUUGCGCCCGCCUCCGACACCGCCUUGCUCUGCACAAUCGUUGCCUGGACGAGCUGCUGCAGCUCGGCGAUGGUGAGCUCCGCGGCAUCCAUACGCGACGAGAGAUUGGGCUUGGUCGAACGCGCCGUUGGGAAGGUCCUGGAUCUACUCAACCCAGCGCAGGUACACCGGAGGUGUUUUGCGCGAGAUCACCCGAGGGGAUCUGCACCUUUUGCUAGGAAUUACAAGCCGAUCGAAGGAUUGAUUGUGAGCUCUGGAUGAAAAAUUUCAGAUCAGAGGAAGCGGAUCGAUACACGGCUCUGAGUACCAAAUGCUACGAUUCCGUAGCACCUCCCUGCGUCUUGCCGGGAUUUGGAUCUCGAACCAAGGAGAAUAUCUCAGAGAGAGAGAGGACUUGGAGAAGGGGAAAAGAGCAGGGAGGAAAGCUUGAAUAAGAAACAAUAGUUGUGAUUACAAUUCGAUGCCUCCCACACACGCCAGCCACACGCUUAUAAGCCUAAUCCACCCACGCCACACGGGCUGAGCCACACAGGCCCAAUAACACACGGGCGGGCCUGGCCCAGGUCGUUGCAAAAAUUAAGCAUCCAUCAUGGUUCUUGUCACGAGGAUUACGGCCGAGCGUGUGUGGAUUAGCAGGCAAAUUGUUUGGCGACGGACAGAAUUGAGCGAGCUAGCGACAGGUCAGAUCAAAUUUCCACAUGCAUCCGUCAGCUAGGGAGGUCCGCCUCCCCCUUCGCGGAUAUCAGAUUUUAUUUUUACAUUUUUUUGAAAAGAAACGUGUUUCCCCCGUCCCAACGUUUAUUGAAAAGCAAAGGCGAAACCAACACAUCCAAGACAUUGCACAGCGCUCGGCAACAACCAAAGUUGCUGUUACAGAAGAAGGGUUUUAAGCUACCCUAUUACAGCACAGGAAAAGCCCAGCCAAGAGGCUGACUAACAAAAUAUAGGCAAAUUCAAGCUAGUUCAGGAUGCAUCCCAGGCUAUUCUAAGCAAUUCCCCUCUUCGUCGAUCCAAAAGCCUUAAACACCGGAGAAGUAACGUAUCCGGGGAGUCCGAGCACAAAAUUUUUCAUUGCCUUAGUAGUCCUCCCACCAGGUCCAUGAUGCAGUGAAUAUUUCGCCAUUUUCACCCUUGGAAAAGAAAUUCAUUGCCCAAAAUCCAUAAGCCCCACAAGGUAGCAGAUGUGACAAGAUUAACAUCCUCUUUUUUCUUUCUUUGUUUUCAUAAAACAAACAAGGAUAUGAAAGAUAUAGGUAAGGUGAUACACAUCCCUUCAGAAAUUAUUUUCCAGAUUUGGACAGCUACCACCAAUUCAAAAAAUAGGUGUUUAAUCGAUUCUUUCUCACUGCAAAACACACAAGUAGGGUCUUCCACAAGUCUCCUCUUAGCUAGAUUAUCUCUAGUCAGGCAUUUAUUAUAGUAAGCUAGCCAGAGGAAGACAUGAAUAUUGGAUGGAACUUUGGUUUUCCAAAUAGUAGUUAAUCAUUUUAUAAAAAGAUUUCACUGUGUAAAUCCCAGAUGGUUCAAGAUACCAUCUAGGAAUUUCUAGGGUAGCACAGGGUGUAAAUUUUCUGACUACAUCACACAGAUCCAACCACUUGUACAUGGUGACACCAUCCACACAUCUUCUAAAAGUUAGUUGUAGAGUAUUGCCAUCCCACACCUGGGCAAUGGUGGCAUCUUGUUGUUGACAGAUGUCAAAAAGCUCCCAAAAUCUGGUUUUUAGGGAACAUUCCCCAAUCCAAGUAUCAUGCCAGAAGGCAAUGCUCUCACCAUUCCCAGGCACCCAGCUAACAAAGGUUCUAGCAGCUUCUAGAGACCAGGUUAAGCUUUUCCAAAAAGGAGAGCCCAGCCCAGACUUGCCCCAAUAGAUAUUGGGCUUAUCAGUGGCAUACUUGAGAAAUAAUGAUUUUUUUUCAAGUCACUAUCUCUCCCAUCAUGAAACCUUCUCCCCCAUGAGGCCAGAAGGGUCAUGUUGUAUUCUCUGAGAUUGGGUACCACCAUUCCCCCAAAUUCCUUUCUCUUAGUAAUUAAGCCGCUAUUGGCAAGGUGAUAUUUAUGAGUAUCUCCCAUGUUACCCCCAAAAAAGUGAGACAUCUGUGAAGUAAUGGCAUCAAUGGCCCAUUUAGGAAACAUCAUAAUGGACAUCAAAUAAGCAGGAAUGCUAGCAAUGCAUGUGGUCACCAGGAUCAGCUUGCCUCUAUAGGAUAAAUGUUUUCCCAAUCAUCCAGCUAUAUUUUUGAUGAUCAUGUCUAUAAUAUGUUGGAUGUCCUCCCUCCUCAACUUUUUAAAGUGAAGAGGUACUUCAAGGUAUUUGAAAGGAAAAUCCCCAAACUGGUAGCAAAAAAUCUUUGCAAGCUCAUUGUACAUAUGUAGAGGAAUGUUUAUAGUAGUAGAUCACUUUUACUAAAGUUAAUUUUAAGACCAUAGAGGUUUUCAAAACAUGUCAACACCCACUUCAAAUUUCUGGCAUAAACCAUAGAGUUUUGUAGGAAUAAGAUGGUGUCAUCAACAUACUGUAGGCUGAUGACACCACCAGGGAUCACUUGUGGAAGAAGACCAACAAUUAAACCACCUCUAGCAGCUUUGAAAGCAUCUUAGAAAACUCAUCAGCAACUUAGUUAAAAAGCAAAGAAUAAUGAGGAUCACCCUGCUUCCAUCCUUUGCCAGCCACAAAAUAUGAGCCAUUAGUUUCAUUAAUCUUGACCCGAAAGGUUCCUUGAUGUAGAGUACUAAACACCAAAUUAACCCAUUUAAUACCAAAACCCCUAGAAAGGAGCAUUCCUUUUAAUACCAAAGCCUUCUCAUAAUCCACCUUAACGACCAAACCAUCACCUCCUGAUCUAUGAACUUCCUGAAUGACUUCAUGAGCCACCACAACACUCUCCAGUAUGAACCUCCCGUUGAUGAAGGCAGUUUGAUUGGAAGAAAUUAGUUUAUCACACAAGGGUGAAACUCUAGUAGUCAUAGCCUUAGAAAAGAUCUUGACAACACAGUUACUAAGGCUAAUAGGUCUAAAAUUCUUCAUCUCCCUGGCUAGACGAAUUUUUGGGAUGAGUGUAAUAAGGGCAAAAUUAAGCCUAUGCAUGUCGAGUCUACCAUCUUCAAAAUCUUUGACCAUCCACAUAAAGUCUUUUUUGAUGAGAUCCCAAAAGGAUUGGUAAAAUAGAAAAGAUAAUCCAUCAGGACCAGGGGCCCCAUUGGCAUACUUACUCAGGAUAGCUUGCUUGAUCUCCUCCUCAGAAAAGGAUUUUUCUAGAUUAAUCCUGUCAGCUUAAGAGACUACCUCCUCCCCUUCCCAAAAGUUAGGUUCAAGAUGAAUAUCAGGUUUAGGAUCAAAGGAAAAAAGAUUUUUAUAAAAAUCAGUGACCACUUUCAGCAUGUCAGUUGUGGAUGUCACUAUCCCACUAGGGCCUUCCAAUUCAGAAAGGUGGUUUUUUCUAUGUCUAUGAUUAGCCAAGGCCUGAAAAUAGGCAUUAUUUCUGUCACCUUCAAGGAUCUUUCUAUCUCUAGAUAUCUGCCACAAAGCAGUUUCCUCUUUUUUCAGAUCUCAUCCAACUCUUUUUUGAUGUCUCCCAUCCUAGCAAAAUCACCAGGGGAUAAAUUGUGAGUCUCAGAAGAGACAUCUAGCAUAUCAAGGUCCAUAAGAAGGGCUUUCUUCUUUUUCUUAAUGGCAACUUCUAAAUUAAUACGCCAACCUUUAUUUUUUCCUAAGAACUCUAAUUUCAGCAUCCAAUUCUCAACAGAGGAGGUCCCAGAGGACACAAAGUUCCAGGCAUCCACUACAACCUGUCUAAAACCAGGUUGAGAGAGCCACCAUUUCUCAAACCUACCUAAACAUCUUAGGACCAACAUGUCUCCUGGCCCCUGUGUCCAGCACCAAGGGGGCAUGAUCACUACCAACCCUGGGGAGGGCAACAAGGGAGGACAUGGGAAAAUGAGCAUCCCAAUCCAAAGAAGUGAAAAUCCGAUCCAAGACAGCAAAACCUGGAUUCUCUUGAUUAUUGGACCAGGUAUAUUUUCUGUUGGAAACAAAAAUUUCCAUAAGAUUCCAACUAUUUAUCCUAUCAUUGAACAACAAAGCACUUUGUUGAUCAACAAGGCCAGUACUCUUCUCAUUGUUCCCUCUAAUCAAAUUGAAAUCACCACAAAUUAGAACAGGAUAGGAGUUGGAAACAAAACCAUCAUGUAACUUAGAAAUGCAAUCUAGUUUGAACUCAGGGUAAGAAGACCCAUAUACAAUCACCAAAUGCCAUAAAAAUCCAUAACUUUUGUUCUUAACAGUAGCUUUAAUUGAGAAUCUAUUAUUAGUAAACCCAAUCACAUCAAACUUAUCUUUUUUGAGACCAACGAAAAUACCACCAGCAGAACCCACGGCAGGAAAUAUUUCCAACUAAAAAUAUUCUUAGGAUCCAAGGAUCUAAGGAAACCGUCAGAGAUGAUUUCCUUCUUUGUUUCUUGGAAACCAAUAAAAUUAUGUUAGUGUAAGUGCAUCUAGUGCCACCGCUAGUUUAUUUUAGAGUAUUGACAUCAACUUGGUUGAGGAACUAAUGUGUUUGUGAGAAUUGCAGGAUAACACGGGUAGUAGUCCCAUAUUAACUCGGUUUACCUAGCAGAGAUGACUCCUAAAAAUGUGUGAAGACAUUGAAGACAAUGGUGGUCUGUGGAGAUAUUCACAUUGAAGACUAUGGCAUGAGAAGACAUCACAUGAAGACUAUGGAGUGCGAAGACAUGGUUGUUUCGUAGUUUCCUUUUCUUCCUUGUUGAGUCAUAGGAACCACCGUACUGUUAAGUGGGGUCCAAGUGAACAAAGUCAGAGUGACUGAGGUGAUGCUCAACCAAAUCCUAUGUCUUCAAGCGAAGACAAUGAGAGCAAAUCUUAUCUAGAGCUGGAUGAGUCAGCUUUACUUGUAGCCCAAAUUAAGCUGCCGCGUGUGUUCGAAACCUGACCGUUGGACACGUGUCCGUUCCUUAGUGACCCAGGGGCAUUUUGGAAAAAUCAGGCCGGGUUGCCUCCUGGCUAUAAAUAGCCCACCCCCUACACCAUAAAUUGGUGGCUGCUUAGAGUUAGUGCACGGCUUUUGUCAUUUGAGAGCAACCCACCUCCGAAGCCUUUGAGAGAGUAAUCCAAGCGAGGACAAAGCCUAAAACACCCAGAGCCAAAGAGUGUUAACGCAUCACUGAAGUCUUUCUGUCCGCGUGAUCUGAAGACUUAUUACACUUGAGGACUGUGAAUCCUCCAGCCGGUUAGGCGUCGCGUUCUGAGCAUCCAAGAGUCAUUGUGGAUUGCCAGUGAACGAAGUCUAUGAAGGUUUGUAAGUCUCUCUUGAAGACAUACCAGAGUGAUUGGACGAGGACUAAGUGUUCUUAGAUCAAGGGGAAUAAUGUGAAGAUGCGGUCUUCUGAGUUGAAUCUCAGCCUCCCUAACCAGAUGUGUAGUUGUCACAGCAACUGGAACUGGUCCAACAAAUCCCUGUCUUCUCCGAGCAACUGGUUCCAUCGUUUACCUCUCUUUACUUACAGUUUGUCUUCGUGAACUCAUUGCCCAUUUGUCUAAUCUGAUUGACUUCACUGAGUGAAGACUGUUUACUAUUUGGCUUCAUACUAUCUUCCAUCCUGAUCCUUACUACCUAACUGCUAAUAGUCUUCGUGCUUUCACUUCAUUGCUUACUUGACUAUGGCUUGUCUAGUGUAGUCUACCUUCCGCUGCAUAUCAAUAGGUGCAUUUCUAUUGUUUGUCUUCAAAGCAUUCAUGUUUUGAAGACUUUCAAAAAAAUCGCCUAUUCACCCCCUCUAGUCGAAUACUAGAACUUUCAAUUGGUAUCAGAGCAAGGUUCUCCCUUGUUCUGAGUGAUUCGGUUUAACCACCUUGAGUUUAGCUAUGUCGAUUGCAGGGAUAAUCAAAGUCUCUGUUGCGUGUCCUGUCUUUGAUGGUCAAGAUUAUCCCAAAUGGAAAGUAAUGAUGAAGAAGCGCCUCCUUGCCAUGAACAGUGAACUGUGGACCGUCACAGAGAUUGGUCUCACCGAUUUAUGCAAGAUGGCGAAUGUUGACGACAUUCUAAAGUACACUCGUCUAGGUAUCACGGCUAAGGAUAUCAUAUGCUCAUGUAUAUCCAAUGACGAAUUCAGGUGCAUCAUGCAUCUUUGCAAUAUGAAGAUUAUCUGGGACCGGAUUUAUGAUGUCUAUGAGGGUCAUCGAACCCAUCAAGACCCAUGGUUCUGCGAGUUCAUAGAAUCUCUUAAAACGAUGUCUUUCGAACCCGAGCCAUCUGAUCAAAACUACUGCCUCAUGGCACGUAGUGUCAAGGUAACCUCUGGUGAUUCCAAACCUAGCUAUAAGACACUUGCUAAAAUUGCAACUGAACAACAGAAUGCUAUGGAACAUAUUCAAAAGUUGUUAGACAAAAGCGAUGACCUGUUGGACGCAGAAAUGACCAGAACUCAGUCCUUAAUUGAAGACAUUAAAAUAAAGGAAAUAUGCCCUAGAGGCAAUAAUAAAGUUACUAUUUAUUUCCUUAAUUCAUGAUAAAUGUUUAUUAUUCAUUCUAGAAUUGUAUUAACCGGUAACUUAGUAUAUAUGUGAAUACAUAGACAAAACAUAUAGUCCCUAGUAUGCCUCUACUUGACUAUCUCGUUAAAAAAAGAUGGUUAUGUUUCCUAACCAUAGACAUGUGUUGUCAUUUGAUGAAUGAGAUCACAUCAUUAGGAGAAUGAUGUGAUGGACAUGACCCAUCCGUUAGCUUAGCAUUAUGAUCGUGUUAGUUUCAUUGCUACUGCUUUCUUCAUAACUUAUAGAAGUUCCUCAGACUAUGAGAUUAUGCAACUCCCGAAUACCGGAGGGACACUUUGUUUGUUACCAAACGUCACAACGUAAAAGGGUGAUUAUAAAGGUGCUCUACAGGUGUCUCCGAAGGUGUUUGUUGGGUUGGCAUAGAUCGAGAUUAGGAUUUGUCACUCCGUGUUUCGGAGAGGUAUCUCUGGGCCCUCUCGGUAAUACUCAUCACUAUAAGCCUUGCAAGCAUUGUGACUAAUGAGUUAGUUGUGGGAUGAAGUAUUCAGGAACGAGUAAAGAGACUUGCCGGUAACGAGAUUGAACUAGGUAUUGAGAUACCGACGAUCGAAUCUCGGGCAAGUAAAAUACCGAUGACAAAAGGAACACCGUAUGUUGUUAUGCAGUUUGACCGAUAAAGAUCUUCGUAGAAUAUGUAGGAACCAAUAUGAGCAUCCAGGUUCCGCUAUUGGUUAUUGACCGGAGACGUAUCUCGGUCAUGUAUACAUAGUUCUCGAACCGUAGGGUCCGCAUGCUUAAAGUUCGAUGACGAUUGGUAUUAUGAGUUUAUGUGAUAUGUUGUACCGAAGAUUUUUCGGAGUCCCGGAUGUGAUCACGGACAUGACGAGGAGUCUCGAAAUGGCCGAGACAUAAAUAUUGAUAUAUUGCACUACUAUAUUCGAACAUCAGAAGUGUUCUGGAGAAGUUUCAGAUAAAACCAGAGUGCCGGAGGGUUACGGGACCCCCCCGGGGGGGAACUAAUGGGCCUCGAUGGGCCCUAGUGGAGAGAGAGAGGGGCCGGCCAGGGCAGGCCGCGCCCCCCUGAGUCCGAAUAGGACAAGGAAGGGGGAGGGCGCCCCCUUGCCUUCCCUCUCUCCCUCUCCUUCCUCCCCCCUCCCUUCCCCAAGUUGGAAACCUACUAGGAAUAGGAUUCCUAGUAGGAAUCCUACUUGGGGCGCACCCUACAGGGGCUGGCCGGCCUCCCCCUUGCUCCUUUAUAUACAGGGGCAGAGGGGCACCCUAGGACUCACAAGUUGACAAUUGUUUUAGCCGUGUGCAGUGUCCCCCUCCACAGUUACGCACCUCGGUCAUAUCGUCAUAGUGCUUAGGCAAAGCCCUGCGCUGGUAACUUCAUCAUCACCGUCACCAUGCUGUCGUGCUGCCGAAACUCUCCCUCGGCCUCAAUUGGAUCAAGAGUACGAGGGACGUCUCCGAGUUGUACGUGUGCUGAACGCGGAGGUGUCGUACGUUCGGUGCUUGGAUCGGUUGGAUCGCGAAGACGUUCGACUACAUCCACUACAAAAAAAUACACUGCCGUGAUGAUACGUGUUUGUCAUAGUAGGUCGCGUUUUCUGUCAUGCAUGUACAUCCAUGACGAUUUUAUGACAGAAUCAAGAUAGUCAUACCUGUGCUGUCGUAGAAAUCUUCCAUGACAUUACCAAAAUUAUCAUCACGGAAGUGUCCACUUCCAUGACAAUAAAUCGUGCAUCAUAGAAGUGCUUUCGUCAAGGGUGACCGACACAUGGCAUCCACCGUAAUGGAACACCGUUAAGAUAUCGGGUCCAGUUUUGGAUCCGAUAACCCGUUAACUGCCCUAACCAAUGGGGAUUUUCCACAUGUAAAAUCAUCAUUGGCCGGAGGAAACACGUGUUGCCUCACCGUUGGGACAGAUGUCAUCCACUCAUUAGACAGGAGGCGCCUAUGAUAGGUCGACACAUGGCAUGGCCCAACAGUGGCCCAUUCCGGUGAAAAAGGCCGGCCUGGUAAAAAUUAGCAGGCCAGCCCAUAUAAGGCCUACUUGUGCCAGGUCCAUUUAAGCCCACGUCCCAUACGAGAUGUGCCAAUUCGGCCCAUCAAUGACCCGUUAAAGAUUUGACACCAUUGCAGCCCAUCGUCAGUUCAAGCCUGUUAACAACCCGCUAUAUAUUUGGGCUCAAUAUUGGCCCGAUGAGAUUUCGGCCUGUUAACGGCCCAUUUAAUGGAUGGGCCAAUUUUCAGGAUGUACAUCUUUCGGCCUUUUAGCGACCCAUUUAAAUGUUGGGCUAAUUUCUGGCCCGGUGUGUCUUUCAGCCUGUUGACGGCCCAUAAUCAGUUGGGCCAUUUGUAGUCCGACCUCAGUUUUGGCCUUUUAGCGACCCAUUUAAGUGUUGGGCCAAUUUUCGGCCCGGUGUGUCUUUCAACCUAUUGACGGCCCAUAAAUCAGUUGGGCCAUUUGUAGUCGGACAUGAGUUUUGGCCUUUUAGCGACCCAUUAAAGUGUUUGGCCAAUCCCCGGCUCUGUGUGCCUUUCAGCCUGUUAACGGGCCAUAAAUGAGUUGGGCCAUUUGUAGUCGGACCUGAGUUCUGGCCUUUUAACGGCCCAUGCCCUUCAUGGUCCAAUACCAACCUGGCUUCUCUUUCGGCCUUCUAAAGGCCCACAACAUAGUUGGGCCAUUUACAAUACGACCCGACUUUCAGCCUCUUAGCGGACCAUGCUCUUCAUGCUCCAGUACAAGCCCGCUGUCUCUUUCAGCCUGCUAAAGGCCCACAGUAUGGUUGGGCCAUAUGUAGCCCGAACUUAGUAACGGCCUGUUAAUGGCCCGUGAAAUCAAAUGGGCCCACCUGUUGCCCACUUCGAUGUCGUCCUGUUAAUGACUUGGGAGGUAAGAGGGCCGACCAUUAACUUUUGGCCUGGUAAUGACCCAUUAACUUAAUGGGCCCACUAAAGUUCAUACAUGUCUUUAGGCCAAAUUAGAUAAUUUAAGCACAUUACAACGAGCAAUUAUGCACAGGACCAAAACCGAUCAAGCAAAGGUACGACAUACAGCGAAAAACGUUGCACAACUAGCAUAUAUUACAGGAACUUACAUCCACUGGGCAACCAAAGAUUGAUGCCAGUGCAAAUAAAUGAACAAAACCUAACGAUCUACAACGUCACAAUCUGCAACCUCAGCACGGAUGAUGCCCAUAAGCAUGUGGGCAAGUUCUUGCUGCUUUGCUAUACUGUCUCUGAAAACAUUGAUCAGUUGUUGUUACGCACGAAUCUGCACCUCUGAUUCCUCCACCAUUUCCAUCAUUGCUUCUGCCAUUAAUUGGUUCACAAACAUACAUUUUUCCGUUGCAUUCGAGACAGAGGAUACUGAACAGAUUCAGAUGGCGAUUUUGGCAUGCUUGUAUUAUUGAUAGUGGAGAGUGCCUCGACUACUGCAUCAUAACAUAAAUUAGGAGGGGAACCAAACAGAUUAAUCAUGAGUUAUUGCCAUAUUACCUGGCCUAGAUUUAUUGGAAAUAAACAAUGGGGUUGCCUUGCUAUUUUUAGAGUUUUUCUUCUUAUCUUCAGCAUCCUGCACCAAAUUAACACACUACCAUUGGUAUCAUUGGCCAUGUCAGAUAAUAGGAAAGCAACAAUGGCGCCUUUAACAUUUUGCUACAACUAAUUUUAGAUCAGAUAAAGGUUGGAUUCACGCUGAUUAACAAAAUACAUGCUGAUGUAUACAACAGGUACUUACAUCAGCAUUGCAGCACAGAGAAUUCCGCAAGAUAAUUUCCUCGAAUAUAAUCGCAAUGAAGUCUUCUAUCAUUUAACCUUAUUUUCUAAAAGAGAGAUGGGUAAGAAGCAUGUAGAAAAUAUGAUCAGAAUGCUAUAAAAUUUCAUGAUGCAAGGAUACGCACACGCUUCUUAGAAUGAAGUUGACAUUCUUUUGCUGGACUGGAGCAGACUAUAGUUCUUUGGCCACUGGAAUCUCCUUAUUAUCAGUGGGAGUUGGGUUUCACUGUGCUGGAGCAGUAUCUAUGAAAAAUGGAGUUGGUUUAUUAUCACCUGGCAUUUGGAUCUUUUGCAAAGACCUGGUUUGUAACCCUUCAGAUUCUAACAUAGCCGUCUUCCCCUUGCAUGCCUUAUAUAGAAGAAUGGUGCUUCAAUUAUAAAACAUGCUACAGCAGUGAUGGAAUAGGUGCUAAAGAAUAAAAAGACAUGACAUAUUGACAUGUAUUCCAUCCAUCCGGAAAUAAAUGGAUGGGUCUACGCAUAUUUCAGUUCUAGAUACAUCCAGUUUUAUCCAUUUCUGCGACAUGUAAUCCGUACGGAGGGAGUAUGAUGUAAUAUCUAGGGAUACGACUGGACAACACAGUAAAAAAAUACUGAAAACCCACUACAGAACCAUAGUAUUCAAACACACUGAUAUGAGAUAGUACACUCAUGUAGCCCAGGAUGCAAAAAUACCAGGCAGUUUCCUUACAAAUAUCAACAUUGUGGCCUUUAAUCAUACAUUUUGCUACAAGUAAAUUUAGAUCAGAUACAGGUUGGAUUCACACCGAUUAACAAAAUAUAUGUUGAUGUAAAAAUAUAGUGAUAUACAACAGGUACUUACAUCUGCAUUGGAGCACAGAGAAUUCCUAGAAGAAUCUUUCCUCACAGACGAUACCAGUGUAGAAAUUCAUCUAUCUACUAAGCUUAUUUUCUAAAAGAGAGAUGGAUAAGAAACAUGUAGAAAAUAUGAUCAACAUGCUAUAAAAUUUCAUGAUGAAAGGAUAUGCACACGCAUCUUACAAUGGAGUUGACAUAUUUUUGCUGGACUGGAGCAGACUAGUUCUUUGGCCACUGGAAUUUGGUUAUUAUGAGUAGGAGUUGGGUUUCUCUGUGCUGGAGCAAUAUCUAUAAAAACUGGAGUUGGUUUAUUAUCUCCUGGCGUUUGGAUCUUUUGCAAAGGUCUUGUUUGUAACCCUUCAGAUUCUAACAUAGCCGUCUUCCCCUUGCAUGCCUUGUAUAGAAGAAUGGUGCUUCAAUUAUAAAACAUGCAACAGCAGAGAGAUGGAAUAGGUACUGAAGAAUAAAAAGGCAUGACAUAUUUACAUGUAUUCCCUCCAUCCAGAAAAAAUGGAUGGGUCUAGGCAUAUUUCAGUUCUAGAUACAUCCUUUUUAUCCAUUUCGGCAACAUGUAAUCCGGACAGAGGGAGUAUGGUGUAAGAGCUAGGGAUACGACAGGACAACACAGUAAAAAACACUAGUUGAAUGUAAAACUGUAUGCUAGCGGAAUACAUAUAGAAAAACUAAGGCAACAUACACAUGUAUGAUUGGGAAACUAAGAUGGCAUUGCAAUAGAGCACUAGAACAUCACUUGAAUGUAAAAAAACAUGGUAUGGUAGACAGAUGAAGUACAUACUGAUGAAUAACAAUGCAUAAGAUAUUCAGAAGCAUGACGUCCAAAUUAAGCAGAUGGCAUUGCGAUAGAGUAGAAUGACAGUACUUGAAUUUGAAAACAUGUUAUCAUGAAUGGAAUAGGUACUGAAAAACAGGAAGGCAUGACAUAUUUACAUGCAUCAUCAACAUGCUAAGCACAUGGCAUUGCAACAGAGUAGAUACACUCCAGGACAUUAUAUGCAUGUUGUACCCAUAUCACGGGCCAAGUUAGAGCAAGGACCUUGUGGGGUGAAGAGGAUUCAUCAUCUUUCUGCAAGUCUUCUGAAGAAUUGCCUUUACAUGUUCCAUCAUAUUGGGUAUCAUUGACAUCAAGUUUAUUGGCCUUUACAUUGCUCUGUGAGGUUCUUGUGGAGAUAUCAGUGUGUGCAAUUAUAUCUGACAUGCAUGGAAGACAACUAGUAUUUAGAUUUAUGUAAUGUGUGCCUAUAGGAGACGACAUAAAUAGUAGGACUGGGGUUAACUAGCAGCAACAGGUCUCAAAAACUAAAGGGAGAACACAGAUGAAAGCUGCAGAAUAUGUAUCGUUUGUACUCGAGAUUAACUAGAUGGCACAAAAAAGUAUUAAAGAACAACAUAGGUAAUACUAGAAGUGGUAUAAUACUAUAAUCACCAGCCUGUGGGAUAUCAUUGGCUGAUGGAUGAUAACUAUGGAAUAGCGUUACCUAAAGAACAAGUAUCUUAGCUGAACUAUGGAACAACGUUAACUCCUGAACAAGACCCGUAAGAGAUUAGCAUGAAUAUACAGUGAAAUGUGAUAAUCUAUUUUCCAUGAUUAGAUGAAUAACAAAGCCAUAAAUUUUGCGCACAAUAAGAUGACGGUACAACCUAUCUGGCCGCCAUCCAUAGGAGUGAGCAUCAUGUGCUGACUUGUCGAUGGCCGUGCAGUUAUUGUGGUUGUCCAUGUCGGGCACGCGCAUUCGAUGCAGGGAACUGUUGAGUGGGGACUAUAGCUCCCUUCUGGUGUAUGCUUCCCUUGUUGGAGCAGCUACGGUGAGUCGGAAGACGGUGUGGUUGAAGAUGGAGAUAACGCAUAAUGUUAAGAACGACACAUCUCUUUGAUCUGAAGAAAUACACUAAGAGAUCAACAGCAAGGUACGAGAGUGGUCACACGUCUGUUAGACUAUAGACUAAAUUGGGGUCACAUGAUUUAAGUUUAUUUUAUUUUGGUACUGUCCGAUCUACGCCAGAUGGCUUGAUGGCCGUCUUGUGGCUCUCGGCUAACACUGUUCGGAAUCUUCCUCGAAGAGCCAGCGACCAAUGGUAGAGCAGCCUGCCUCCACCGUCCAUGGCCCCAGCCAAAACCCUGCUUCCCGCCCCACCGCACUGCCGUGGUUGCCCCGCCUCCGAGCUAAUCCACAAAGACUCCCCGUCAUCGAGAUCUAACAGCGGCAGUACCUUCAACCCACGCAACCCUAAGAUAGCCAUCUAAGCGCUACUUCCGCGGCGAACUUGCGGCCCCACACCCUUACAUUAGACGCCAGCCAACCAGCAGCCUAGGACCUCCGCCGCAUCGAGGGGUGCUGCUUCCCAUUGGGAAUCGAUUGGCCCAGAAUAAAAAUUCAGACAACUGACGCCUAAAUAAAGUGAUUUGAGAUGAGGGUGCGACCUAUCUGGCGGCAUGGUGAAGUAGGUAGCUCCAGCUGCCGAGUCAGUGAGGCCGGCGCUGUUGCGGUGGCCACCGGCGGAAGGGAAGCAGCGAUGUCAUGAUGGUCGACGGCUAUGGGGAAGCAGCACUGGGACUCUGGACGGAUCCAAAGUUGGAGCCGCUCCGGUGCCGUGAACAAUGGCGCGGGUGAAUCGGCUCCGGUAUGGUUCAUGCGGCCGUCGUCGAGGCAGCUCCAGCAGCACGGAGUAAGAGGCACAUGGCCCAGUGCACGACGGCAAAUGGACAGCAUCUUCGGCAUUAGGGAGGAGGGCUGCUGUGAAAUUGAUGCGGUGGGGGUGCCAUGAAGGAGGGGCUGAGGUUUCGCGGCUCAGGAGAAGGGAGCUUCCGGGGAGAAGGUGAUUUGGCGCCCAUGAGGUAUGAAUGGGGGUGGUGAAUCGGGAGGGGAGUGGAACCAUGUCUUACGGACGCAUUUGUCUGAAAUAUGGGGGCGAGUUACAGUUCUACCCUUUCCUUUAGGCUUCUCGGCUUGGGUCUGUGUACUGAGGGUCGGGGAUAGUAGAGUAACUUUUUUUCUCCGCAAAUAGUGGGCGGGAGCGAUUUCGGGUGAGGAGGGCGUGUUUUGAAAUAUAGUGGGCGAGAGCGAUUUCGGGUGAGGAGAGCCUGUUUUGAAAUAGUGGGCGCGAGCUAUUUCUGGCAAGGAGAGCGUGUUUUGCCGACCAUGGUUUAUGAGUUAUUCGGCACAUGUCAUUUCGGCCAAGGAGAAGGCGCGCCUGGAUGAAGUUACAAACCUACCCUCGAUGUACAAUGGGCCAAUUGAUGCGUGUCCCACAUAGGACGGUAAUUUCGCAUCUCCCAAUUAUUUGCUCGGGCGAAUUCCACCGAGUAGAGGAUGUUUAACGGUUCGUUCAAAUUUUGGGAGAACGAGUAUCCACGUCUACCUUACCAAGUCGGUUCGAAUCAAAUUUUGAAAUAUUAGCUUGCCACUUCUUUUUGAGAUGGAGAGAUGAUGCUCGGGAGUAAUGUGUACAUGCUUGUUGCUAGCGACUUACUAUGUGAAAAAUAGUUGACCCACUCAAAAACUGGAAUCAAACCCAAAAUGAAAUAUCUCGAUUCAAUGAAAUAGCUCGUUCACUAGGUCAAAAUAGUGAACUAAAUCCAAAAUUGAACACCUCAAUCGAGUAGCAUGUUGUACAGUAUUAUAAUACUCCAUGAACAUGUUGAAAGUCAAAUUAAUAAAAUUGUUUGAUAUACGCAUAUAUCCGUGCAUGUGUGGAUUGCACACAACAUGUUCUCCAAUUUAAAUAGGGCUUAUUCCAUCUGUGCCCCCAAUUCCUUAGUUGUGCUCAGUUUUCCCCACGCUUCAAACUUUUGCUCACUUUUCCCCACUCCCGUAGCUGAAACUCUCACAAAUGUUCUGUCGGAGUAAUGGGCCACGGGUAGGCUAACCCGUGUCCCAGGACCUUUCAAGACAUCGGGGCAGGCCGCGCCCCUCAGGCCGAGUCCCAGACGGCGACCCCAAGACAAGCCGAGUCCCAGACGGCGACUCCAAGAUAAGCCGACUCCAAGCUGGCGACCUCAAGAGAGGCCGACUCUGGAGAGUCGGCCCAUGAAUCCUCCCUCAUCAUGAAGUACGAUGCGGGGUACGGUCACGGCAUGGCCGUUCCCCCCUGCUUACGAAGGGCCGGCAUGGCUACAGUGAGCCGUAUCGCUGGAAGAUCUCCGGCGAGGCGCGACACUGUUGCCAUGCCUGCCCGGACCUCAGCCACAGUGCGCCGUACAUUGUGCCCACGACGCCGGCCUGUACGAUCCGAAGGCGGCGGGACCACCUGUCAGUGGGUGGGCCGAAGGCGGCCUGGGCGCCCCGAAGACGGACCUUUGGGAGUCGGCCGACUCCUCCCCAGGGCCCCACGAGCCAUUAACCAGCGCCCCGAAGACGGACCUUUGGGAAUGGCGGCAGUGAUCGCCCGAUAGACGGCAGCACUGUUGCCACGACCCGAUGAUCGAGCCUGCAUCAUCAGGAGUGCCGCUACAGUAUCAAGCCUGUCCACGGGACCCGGCAGUCGGCGGGCCCUAGAAGCCGGCAGGAAGGACGGUGGCCUGAGAGGCAGACGGUUGGGACCCGCGCCUAGCCGGAUUACUAUUGUACCCCCGGGGGGGUAGGCCUAUAUAAACCCCCCGGGGCACCCAUGCAAAGGGUUUGGACCUGAAUAGAGAUAGACCAGAUAGCACGGGGAGGAGAGAGCUAGCCUUGCCCUCCCCUGCCUCCUGAAAUAGCUCCAGGAGCACCAUUGUAGUCACCUUGCAUUAGUGAUCAUGCGGAGACCCCGCAGAGCAGCUGUAGGGGUGUUAUCUCCUAGGAGAGCCCUGAAGCUGGGUAAGUUCCGCCGGCGUGCAUGUCUUCGCCUCAUCCUGCUUCCAUGCACCGGCGAUGUUCUACUCGCUCCCACCAUGAUAAGCCAUCCUUUGGCAUAUGUCUUAUCCAACCCCCGACAUGUUCAUAACAGACGUUUGCCGUCUUGGCCAUUAACUAACUUGUGGGGCCACGUUGGACUCUGUUGACUGUGGCUGUGGCUUCGCUGGUUGGGUCGUGUUUGUGUUCAUAGGAUGAGCCCGUUAGUUUGUUGGUAACAAAUUAAAAAGGCCCAAUUAAAAAAGCCUGCUAUCGAUGGAUGCAGCCGGCUAUGCAUGCCGGGCUUUGGCAUUGAUGUAGCCUGCUAUGCAUGCGAACACCGACACGCACGCAUCUAGUGACCUAGACCUAAACGCAUGCAUGCACGCCGACAUGCACGCAUCCAUCCGUGUCGCAUGGUUGCCGGUGGAUUCAGUCGCUCCGCAGCAUCGUUUCACGCGUCGCAGGAAUACGUGCCGGUGGCAGAAGGGGCAGGCUACACGCACGCUCGCGCCGCACUGCUGCUGCUCGAUUCAGUUGUGGGAGGCAGUCAGCCGCCAACGCAGAGCACGGAGAAGGGGAAGGCAGGCAGCUGCCAACGCAGAGCACACAAAGCACAUUGAUGAUCACAUCGGUUCACGCACGCACUGAGUCAUGAUCUACGCCGUUUGCCCGUGUACCCACUUCGUCUCACCCGGCUAUUUAAACUGUCAUUCAUUGCCUCUUCUUCUACAGAUCCAUCUGCGCCUCCCACUUCUCCUCUUCCCCCAAAAGCCAAAGCCGUUCCACUCAGCGAAGCGUUCAAGAUGCAGUACAACGGGCCGACGUUCCAAGAGCCGCCCACCGUGCCGGAACGGCGGUACCCUGCCAACGUCAUUGUCAAGGCAUCGCUCCGUGUGUGGGCGUUCUCACGCUGGAGGGGUAGCACUGAGCUUGCACGGGGGUUCCUCCGUGCGGGCUUCCACCACCUCCCGGCGGGCUCGCCGCCCAUGUUCAACCUCAUGGAGCAGCGUCCCCACGCCAACGCUCUAGUGGUAGGGCUCAUCAUCCACUUCACCAACAGGUUCGAUGCCUACUACCUGCUCGGCAAGGUGUAUUGGUGUGGGUGCGAGUUCAUCACAUUCACCACCUAUAACAUCUUCACCGACUUUGAGAGCAUCUUCCCCGCUCGCAACCGCAUGCACAACCUCCAGUACUGAAGCCGGCGGCGAAGAAGACGAUGAAGCCGGCGGUUAAGGUGAAGACGACGGUGAAGACAUGGCGGUGUUUCCCUAGCUACCCUAUGUACUAUGUAUUGUGAGUUUGGUGUGUGUGUUGCGCGACCUAGCUACCCUAUCUUUGCAUGUAAGGUUAAUUAUUAUCUAUGUAAGAACUUAUGUUGCCCUAGCAAUUGGUGUGUCGUGUUACAUGUAAGAACUUAUGUUUCCCUAGCAACCCUAUCUAAGUUAAGUUAUGUGUGUUAUAUUAAUGCUUUGUUAUGUUUGUAUUUUUUGUCCCAAGUUUAGAAACAGCUAAUUGGCGUGGGAAAAAUUAACGAAACUAACUAAAAAUGAUGUGUUUAUAGAUGCCUUCUAAAAAUAAGAACAUAUUGUACCUUUGUACACGACUUUGGUUUGCUGAGAGCUCUGUAUUUUUUAGGUAUUCCAAGAAUACUUUGCUUUUCAGAAAUAUUGAAGUAUCAAAUACUUUGAGAUGUUUGGCUUUAGUCAAAAGUGUAGUUUUAUAUACUUUAAUCCCUACUUUAAUAUGUAGAAAACUACACUAUAUUUGAAGUAUAUAAAAAAGAGGGUUGACCUCUUUUUCCAAUCAUGAGGUAUUGGUUCGCUAGGCAUAAUAAUACUGUGGUUUGCAAAUACUUUGAUCCUAAAAAAUGAAUGGACCCAUGAAGGAAAGCCAAAAAAAUUCCUCAAUGAGAUAGAAGAGAUUGGGCAAUCAAAUUAAUGAAAAAAGCAAUCAGAAACAAAAAAGAACAAAGCAAUCAUUCCUAAACAAAAAAAAACAUCGCUUGUUUCUGGGCCUCAUUUAUCCUUUGUGGCCCUAUUGUAGCUUGAUUCUCUUUGGGCCCGCGAACUAGGUUUUUUUUCUAGCAGAACUGACGAACUCGAGGAAAAAAGUUUGGCAAGUGCGGGAGAGAAGAGAUGAACUUGACGUAUAUCCCUUGUGCUGCUCAAGUACUGCUUAUUGUCAUCUGACGAGCUAGGGUAUGAUCCAACACUCAAGGUUAUUAGCUAACAAAAUAAUCCUAUCACUGAACUGGUAGUUGUCUUCUACCGAAAUUGAAAGUGUCGAAACUUAACAGUAAACUGCAUACAUUCGGAGAUCGAUAGUUGCACUAAACAGAGUUGCAUUUGAGAUAAACAUACUUGGAUUGCUAAACAGUGGAAACAACAGUAGACAAACAUCUCUAAUGAGAGAUGGCCAUCAAGUAAAAAAUUCCUAGAGCAAGUAUUCCUAAAGCUAUCAGAUUGGAUUGCUUCUUCAACUCAAUCAGCUGCUUGAAGUUCUUGUUCAUAUUCUUCAAUUCCGUCUUCAGUUCGACAUCUACCACCAUCGGGUAUUCCGGACUCGCUGCUGCUACCGGAGCGGCACUGUCAUGGGGCAGAUUGAACUCGCGGAUUGCAUUCCCCCUCGAGUCCAGCAAGCCCAACCCUUGAAGCCUCUGGAUGUAAUCAUCCAUCCACUCGAAAUGGUGGCAUUUCUUCAUGAUCUGAAAACGAAAUCCAAAUCUGAUAGAUUUUUUUGAGAAAUUAGAGAUAAAGGAUGCGAGGAAAACUCAGAUCUAACCUGCCCCUCCGGCUUGCUCUCGCAUUUGAUGAACUCGCGCCCAAAGUUCCCAUUCUUCUCCUCCUUCGAAGUCAAUCGCUUCAGUGGCGUAGUCCGUGGGCAGUCGGUGCAUCGAGUCAUCGGCACUGGACCAUACACCGGCCACGUGGAACGGGGGCCUGACAAGGAGGUCGACAUAUCGCCCGAGAGGAAGAAACAAAUGAAUUAGUCGAGAGGAAGAAGAACGAGAAGAUGGGGAAAGAAACAGAGGAAUUGCUCGAUAUGCUCGAUGCCUUUGUCUGUCAGAUGGAGAAGAGGAGAAGGGGAAGCCAUAUUGACGAUUUGCCACAUUGUAUUUUGCAGUUUGAAUAUUUGAACCAACUCUUUUCACUGACAUGUGGUGGUCAUGUGCGAAAAAUACAAUUUCAUAUGUAAAGUGGGGCAGAUCGUAAAAACCCAAGAAGGACAGUGCAGUAGCCAAUCAGGAUGCAUCACACGGAUCGCGCAUGCCUGCCCCACAUCUGAUGGGUGGUGUUUGGCGCUUGGUAGGAUCCGACGGCGGACGUUUGACGCUAGGGUUUGGAGCAUUUCUGCGGGGUUAUGAGCGAGUCAAUAGGGUUAUUAGGGUUUGACCAGAUUUCAAAUGGCCAUAACUAAAUUAGAAAAAAUCACAAAAAUAUAAAACAAACAUAGUUCGUCUAUUUAUGAGACCUAGUUACCAUAAAAAAUAUAAAGUUCGUAUAGGGGCAUUUUUUAGAAAAAUCAUUUUUUGUCGAAAUCAAGUUCAAAUGUUUUUAAAAAAUUAAAAAAAAAUCAAAAUGUUGUAAUUCUUGCGCACAUAGCCGUCAUAUGUGAAAAGGUUAUGAGAAAAAAAUAUAAACUUGGCGUAGGUCAUUUUCAUGAAAGAAGGCUUCACACAAAUGAGCUUCACCUAUGAACAUGUUCAGAGUUCGUAGAAUAGGGAGAGAGGGUUUAGGGUUUGAAAAAAAAUUCAAAAAAACAAUCAGAAAAAUCUCCAUAGCUUCAUUUUGGAGUGAAUAAGAAGGAUCUGAACUUACCUUUUCAUUUUCAUAUCUAAAACGUGUCAUUCGACAGUUUUGAAUUAAAAGCAUAUUUUUUCAAAAAAAUGUAGUAAUUUGAAUAUUAAUCAAUAAAUAGUGAGACUACGUUUUUACCCUAUAUAUAUGGAACAAGUGUUAAUAAAAAUAUAUGUGUCUCAUUUAGGCAAGGUCAAAAAAAACUUGAUUUCAAAUAGGGUUGUUUACCCUAGCUUUUGAACUCGUUUCUAGCACAUUUCUCAUUCGGACUGUUCACCUAGGAAUAUUGGACUUUAAAUGCUCGAUCAAAUACACCACACAGAGCAAUGAACCUCAAAUGUUCAACUUAAACUUUGGCUCGAAUCCAAAUUUUGGCCCAAAUUCAAAUAUUGAUUUAAAUUCAAAUUUUGAAGGAAAUUUGAAUUCUCACUCAAAUAAGAAACCAAAGUAGAAGCAACAUUAUUACAACUAAUAAGUUUUCACAGUAGCUCAAAUCUACCAAGUUUUAAGAUGCCAACAUCUUAAUACAAAUCUACCAAGUUUUAAGCGAUCGACUCACCCUCAAAUUGACAACACAAACAUUUCCCAACAACUUAAUUCAAAUUUUUGACUUGCUCCUUGUGUUUGCAGCUGGCUUCACCGUCUUGCUCCUGGUUUCCCUAGUUGAGAUGCUCUUUUCUUUCACACUCUUGUUCCUUUUGAUCUUGGGCUUUACUUGGGGUUUUAUCUGUGGAGGUGCUGAUGGAGUAGUUCCACUCGCCGAGCACUUGACGACCAUUUGACGGUCAUCUAUGGGUUCAGUAAUCUUUAAAGGCACGAUUGGAAAAAUUACCCCCUCCUCUUCCUCUCUUAUAGCUUCAAAACCAUCAAAGGCCAUGGUUUCAAAAUCUUCUGCUUCUUCAUCUCUUGGCCUUUUCUCCCUAGAGCUGGUAAAUAAAAUUAUAAGCCAUAGGCAAAAAAGAGAACAAAUGCAAACAAAAAGGUUGCUGCAUUCUACAAAGGGUGCAAACACAUACCAAGAUGCUUCAUUUGCUGCUGCAUUCUCCACUUCUUCAUUUGCUGCUACAUUCUCCAAUGCAUCUUCAGUCUCCAUUACUGCUACAUUCUCCUCAGCAUUGGCUGUUGUCCAUCUUUCCUCCUCUCCAAAUGAUGCAUCCACUGCAUUGGUACAAAGCCUAGCAAUAUGCCCCAGAACUCCACAUUUUUUGCAAGCAUGCUUCUUUGGUAGACGACCCUCCUCACCUGCUCUAAUCCUCUGGUUCCUUGGUCUUCCUGGUGGUCUAGUAAUGACAGGAGCGUGGAGUUUGAACCCUGGAUCUACUAUGUUCCAUUGAUCUUUCCCCAAUAGUGCAGGCAAAUUGUCAGCAUAAGCAGCCAUAAAUUUGGCAACAGAGAAAUACUCAGAGAAAUAUUGAUCAACUUCACCAUCUGCACCCCCGGUAACGGUCAUCAUAUGUAGGGCAUGUAUGCAUGGCUUCCCACGGAUCUGCCAUUGCCUACAAGUACAUUCUCUAGUACUUAGCUUCACAGGAUACCUCCAUACCCUAUUUUUAGUGUCAAUAUAGGUAACCUCUCCCUCAUAUGUACCAAAUUUAAUACAUUUCAUCUUCAGUCCUCUUGCCUUCAAGUGCAAUGCCUUAAUCAGUGAUGGGAGCAUUUGAUGAUCAACAUAUUGUGUUUCUGCAAUUCUUUUGCGAAGAUCCAUCUUUAUCAUGAUCAUUUGCCUCAUCUUGUCAAAUGCUUGCCACAACAAGAGCCCUUUCACUGACUUGAACUUUGAAUUGAAGCAUUCUGCAAGGUUACUGGUCACAUAAUCUACUUUGCAGAUUUUGUUGAAUUUGCUUCUUGACCACACCUUACCAUGAUGUGCAUCCAUGUACUCCCUCACAAGAGGAUUUUGAGCAUACAACACUCUCAAAUGGUGUUCAUGCUUCCUUUUGCUGCAUGUGUAUGAUGCUGGCCAUAAGUUCUCAUCAUAAACUUUACCUUUGAACUUCUUUUUGAAAUUAUACGCUAGGUGUCGCAUACAUUCCCUAUGCUCCACUCCAGGGAAUACAAUUUCCACUGCACUCUCUAAACCCUUGCAAGCAUCUGUGUGUAUAGCUAAACCUGGGGGUGUGCCUAUAAUGUUGCGCAACUGCUGUAGAAACCAGACCCAACUUUCCUCAGACUCUGCCUCCACCACACCAAAUGCAACUGGGAAUAGCCAGUUGUGUCCAUCAACUGCAGAAGCUGCUACUAGCUGUCCUCUCCAUCUUCCGGUCAAAUGUGUAGCAUCUACAGCCAAAUAGGGCCUGCAACCAUCUAGAAACCCAUGCUAGCAAGCCUUGAAACAAACAAAUCCCUUCUGAAGCACUCCUUCUGAAAUGACUUCCCUUUUAUUUUGAAUUGAACUGUAUGCUUGUCAAUCUCUACAACACUCCCUGGACUUGCCAUCUCCACUUCAGCUUUGAAAGUGUAAAGCAGCUGAAAACUGUCAUUCCAUUGACCAUUAGUUCUUUCAAGAGCCUGUUCCCUAGCAUUGAAAAUUCUCAUGUAAGGAAUUUCUAUCUUGUACUUCUCAAAAAGCUUCCCAUGGAGUGCUGUUGGACCAAGUCCAAGUUCUUCUCUCAGCCAAUCCAAUAUAGCACCUGCCACCCACCUAGUUUUGCAAGCUUAGUUUUGGCCUUCCUCCCUCCCCCUCCAGGUGGACAGGUGUGCUUGGGUGGGUUUUUCUUUAUCUAAAACAAAAUAAAAGGGUAAAAAAACAGUUAAGAAACCUUACUCAACAAUCUGAAACUAAAUUACUAACUGAACUUGGAUUACCUGAAUAUAUAUGCUCUUUCUCAUACGAGAUGCAUGCAACUUCCACCUGCACCUAGGAUAUGGACAAAAAACUGUGAACCUUGCUGGCUCACUCCUUUUAAUCUUAUAGGUGUUUUCAGAUAUAAUGCACCAUGUUGUCACUGCAUUCCGACAGUCCACCAUUGAUUGGAAAAUGGUACCUACACUAAGCUCAAGUUUUUCCCUGUUCCACUCAAUUGUUGGCAUGUCAUCACCAUCGUAUUCAUCCUCGAUUAAGCUGUCCAUGUUCUCCACCUUCUCUUCAUUGUCAGUGUCAUCAAACCUAGCUUGGCUGAUGGGCUCCUCCAUAUAUUCGUCAUCCACUGCUUGCUGACUGGCUACAUCGACCAGUUCAGGAAACAUCAUCUUGUCUUCAUCAUCAUUUGUAGGCACUGCCUCGUCAGGUUCUGCAUCUUCUUCUACACCAACUGCAGAAGGUACACGAGAAGCAGCAGCUGAAUCGGAACCAGAAUUGGCACCAGGCAUGUUGUGGCUCCAUGAACCACUUGCUUUACUUGGUGUCGACCUACAAGGAGUGCCGGGGUGCUGGCUAUUAGCAGAGACAGAUGAUGUCUGAACUCCCUUCCCCUUCACCCGUUCUGCGCGUGGCUGAAGCACAUCGAUUUGGAGUUUACCGAAUCAGCAUCCAGCAAUCCCAGCAAAAAGCAACGGCAUAUGAUCGUCGCAAGUUAGUGGGAGAAAUCUUUGCUCAUCACUGCUGAAGUAAUUCAGUUCAACAGCAUCGGCAUCACUCCAGGGAUAGGUGUUUCUGAGCUCAGCUCGCAAAUCUUUGAAAGAUAUGCUGGUUUCUACCACUUUGGGAUAGAAAAAUGAUGAAAUCAAAUGCGAUUUAGUACCAUGCAGCACACUAGUUUCCAUUCUAAUCACCAGCCGGAAAGCCAGCGCGGGAUUAAUCCUAUUUUGUUGAAGAAAAUAAAGGCUUCAGUUAGCCGGGUAAAAUCGAGCACAAAUUCGAACGAUUCAAGCAAACAGAAGUCAAAUACGGCCUACAAUACGACUUAGAACGUCAACUCGAGAGGAAAGAACGCUUACCCAGGUUUAAUCCAUGAAUUAUCUGCCGCGGAUUCGACCCAAUCCUCUCCACGGUCUACUGCAUUCCAGGCGUCCUCACUCAACAUUGCUUUGUAAUCCUAGAUGGGGAGGUGAGCUAUAUCUAGCGGAGAUGCAGCAUCGCCGAUGAACGGAAUAGGGGCAUAGGGUGGAGGAAACAACUGCGUGGACGCGACACGACGCCAGCGGAGGGGGCGGUGCGGCGCGGUGCAGUGCGGCCUAUCUAUAUCUGUUUCAGAUUCAGACAAGCUGCCCAAUACGUGUCUCCUUGCGGUCCCACCUGUCAGCAAGCAACAAUCAGACGAAGACUCGGCCCCACUCGUCAGCAAUUAACGGUCAAUGGACGGUCAAGACGACAAACGGCCGCUAUGAGCAUUUGUGAGAGUUUUAGCUAAGGAAGAGGGGAAAAGUGAGCAAACGUUUGGAGUGUGGGGAAAAGUGAGCACAACUAAGGAACCAGGGGCACUAAUUUAAAUUUCCCAUUUAAAUAUUUGAAUGCAAGUUUAUCUCGAAACAUGGUUUAUAUCACUCUUUGAUGCAUAAAACACAACAUCCCCCUCUCUCGUACUCCUGCUCUCUCUCUCUCUCUCUCUCUCUCUCUCUUUGUGUCUAUGUGUGUGUGGGGGGGUCUUUCUAGUUCGCAUGCAUAUAUACUCCAUCUAUAGGCCUCUUGCACACUAUGUAUGAUUCUCUAGUCCAAGCUAGAUAUCUUGGGUGCACUCAUCGUACGCACACAAAUUCCUUGGCUCAUUGCUCGUAACUCUCUCACGCACCACUCUGUUGUCUCGGAGCUCUUCCCUCUGUCUCUCAAACUCUCAAUCUACCUGGGUCACACAUACACAUGCAUGUCUCACUCGCACUCUAUAGGCCCAUCUAAAACUCUAUCUUGCUCCGUCGUUCUCUCUCCAUCUCACACGCACACACUACACAAUCUCAUUUCUAGCUAGCCAAGUAUGAUGGCCUCUCACUUAAUUGUAGGCACACGCAGUCCCUCUAAAUGUAUACGACUAGCUAAUCUUAGUCUCCAUCACAAACAUGUGCAUGGUCUAUCUUGAUUUCUCUCGGGGCAUCUUUCUAUCGCGCAUGCACCUCCCUCGAUCUCCUACCCAUACAGUGCCCUAACAAUCUUGAGGGGAUCUCUCUAUCACAAACAGACCCUCUCUCCCUCCCCAUGCGUUCAUGUUCUCCAUGUGUCCCUCUCGACCUUUGUUCCUUGUUGGCCAGACCUCUAUUGGACAUGUGCUAUAGGGGUGUCUCUCUCCGUUGCAAACAAUCACACACUAGCUUUGUUCGUGUAUCUCCUCGCCUCGCCUUUCUAUCUUGGAGAUGCAUGCGUGAUAUGUUUGCAUAAGAAAAAAAACACACUCUCUCUAAUUUAUCGUUUGUUGUCAGUUGUCACUUUCUCUUUCACACACAAACUCUUUUUGCACACUUACUCAUUCUCCUUCACACGCACUUGAUCUCUCUCGACUUAGGCACUCUCUUCGGUCCAUAGCAUAUAGAUUUAUUGAAAGUCCAAGAUCACAAAGUUUGACCAUGUACGUGGAAAAAACAAUUACAUCUAGAACGACAAACAUAUACCAUUAGAUUCACCAUGAGAUGUAGUUUCGUAUGAUGUAUCUUUGGUAUUGUAGAUAUAAAUAACAUUUGCGUAAACCUGAUCAAAGUUUCCAAAGUUUGACUUCUAAAAAAUUUACAUGCACUGCAUUAUCGAGCGGAUGGAAUAGCUCUUUCCCCCUCUUAGCUAUCUGACGCACCACUAAGCCUUAUCGGGGCUCCUCUAUCUCUCUCAAACUUUAUAUCUCCCUGUUUCACACAUAAACAUGUCUCGCUCACGCUAUACAUAUAGACCCAUCCAACACUCUCCACCCUUGUUCUCUCUCUAUGUGACACACACCCCCCUAAGUACUAUAAUCCCUCACUCCAUCUUAGGUGCAAGCACUCCCCACCCUAAGUAUGAUUAUCUCUCACUAGCCAUCAGGAACACACGUAUUGUCUCAUUCCAUCCAUACUUCUAUCUCGAUAUCUCUCGGGGUAUCUUCUAUCAUGCACACACCUUGUCACUCGAUCUCCCACCCAUGUAGUCCCAUCACGAUCUCCAGGGGAUCUCUCUAUGACAAACAUACACUCUCUCAUCCCCAUGUCUCCAUUUUGUCCGUACGUCUCUCAAGACCUCUCUCCCUUGUUUGUCAGACCCCUCUUGGCCACGUGCUAUGGGUCUUUCUCUCUAGAUUGAAAACAACCACACACUAUCUCCUCACCUUGCUUUCGUUGUCGAAGAUGCAUGUGUGAUAUGUUUGCAUAAGACACACACGCUUUUUCUCUACUUUUAUCGUGUGUUGUCCAUGUCUCUUUCACACACGCACACACACUUUUUUCACUCACUCUUUAUAUUUCACUCUCUCUAUAUAUAGUUAGGGACUCUCUCACGUCCAUAAGCAUAUGGAUGUUUUGAAAAGACAAACCUCAAAAAAGUUUGACCAUGUAUAUGUGGAGAAAAACAUUUACAUCUGGAACGAUCAUUAGAUUCAUCACAACAUGUACUUACUUCAUACUAUCAUUUAUCUUUGGUAUUGUAUAUAUAAGUAAUUUCUUUAUGAACUUGGUCAAAGUUUCAAAAGUUUGACUUAAAAAAAAGAUUGGAACUACAUUAUCGAACGGAGGGAGUAGCUCUUUCUCUUUCUCUCUCUGCUAUCUCUCACGGGCCUCCCUCUCACUCGAACUCUCUAUACUGAUGGAUUAUACGCUCACUAUGUCAGUGUAUAGCUCUGUAUAUUGUUUUGGUGAUUGGUCAACCAGUCCACAUGCUGCCUUGUCAGCUCAUGCUCUGUAUCUUCGUGUGCUAGCCCAUGCGGCAGUGAGUGAAAAUAAGCAAACUAGAGGCCCAUCUGACACGCGAUGAAGUAAACAAAGUUGAAACCACUCGGUGUGGCACCCCGCAUGCUAGUAAAUUGAGGGCGCAUUGAGGACACACUUCUUCCGCAUGAAGGACACACUCGCGCACAAUUCACCACUAUGCGGCGGCAUGCAUAGAAGGACGCGCUCGCGCACACCCAGCACACAACACACACCAGCACACGUGUACACCAGUGUCGCCGCCGGUUGAGAUGGACAACCAGGCAGCCAACAAGCGGAGGCGGCUCUAGCCAAAAACGCAUCUGGCGAGACUGGACUUCAUCAUCAGCCUCCCCGAUGACAUGCUGGUCGUCAUCAUCGGCCUCCUCCCCACCAUAUCUGUCGUGCGGACCGUCCCGCUCUCCAGGCGGUGGCGCCCCCUCUGGCGCUGCGUCCCCCUCAACCUCACCGUCGACAGCUGCCUCUACGACAUGGAUUGCAAACGCAUGGCUGCAGUCUGCAAGAUACUUUCAUCGCACUCUAGGCCAGCCAGACUCCUUGACAUCCGCAUGUUCAGUACCAACUGCAAGGUCCAACCCAUGUUCGAUGAGUGGUUCUUAUCCCCCACCCUAGAUCAGCUCGAGGAGCUCAGUUUUGAAGCUAGACGAUGUCGCUGUCUGCCGCCGUCCGCGCUCUGCCUCAUGCCAACACUGCGCCGCGCCAGCUUCAACUCCUGCUAUCUUCCCUAGAUUAAUGCCGCGCCCACCCUUCUUCUCCCUCAACUCAAGCAGCUCGACCUUUUCGACGUUGUCAUCUCGAAGAAGGCUAUGGAGCACCUACUUCGCAGUUGUACUGUGCUCGAGUACCUUCGUCUUGAGAAGAUCCAUGGGUUCAUUAGCCUCCGCAUCGCCUCCACAAAUCUCCGAUGAUUUUAUGUGUCUUGCUGGCCCAGCAACAAGACAUCAAUUGGGAAGAGAUCGCUCCAGCUGUUCCAUGUUAUGGUUAUUGAGAAUGCGCCUUUCCUUGAGAGAUUGCUUGUAUCGGAUCUAGAAGGUCCAACAAAAAUCCGGGUCAUUAGCGCCCCGAAAUUACAGCGUUGGUGUACUCGUCUUCCAAAUUCUCCGAACUCUUUAUUGGAUCCGUAAGCGUUCAGGUACAACACUCACCUUCUUCUCCGUCUUCUUGAAAUUCACAUUUUUAAAUUUUUCUUGAUGUAUUUACGACCGUCUUCCAGAAAAUGAUUCCCACAAGCUUGACCCAGUCUAUGCGCACAGUUAAGAUCUUGGCAAUAAAAUCUAUCGGCCUCAAUCUGGAUCAAGUUGUUGGAUACCUUACAUGCUUUCCGUGCACGGAGAAGCUACUCAUCGAGGUGAAACUUCUUUCCUAUUAGUAAAUGGUAAUCACAACUUAGCUCAAUUUUUUUGUAAUUUUCCCAAAUUACGAUGACAAGUGUAGUGUUUAAAACUGCAUCUAUGCACUGCACCGAAAGAAAUGUUUUUAGUAUUUUUUCUCACAUGAUUACCUGCAUCGUUUUUUUUGUUGUACUACUAUAGUAGCCUAGGCUAGUCAUAGUGGAAAGUAACUUAGACUACUCCAGUAACUCUAUGGUUACCCUAAGAGCAAGUACUACCUCUGUCCUGGUUUACUCUUCCUAUUUUGUAGUAUCAAAAUUUGACCAUAGAUUUAACUGAGAAAAUGUUAAUGCAUGUCACUAAGAACUAUAUCGUUGGAUUUGUAUUUGAACAUAAUUUCAAAUGGUAUAAUUUUAGUGACAUGCAUUGGCAUUUUCUUAGGUAAAUCUAUGGUCAAAAUUUUAUACUAAAUACGAGGUAGUACAAAAGUGGGAUAUAACGGCCCUCCACUAUGUAGGCCAAAACACGUGCCACAUUCACUUGUGAUGCAUUUGGCAUCGAUGCCCCUCCAUUGCUCACCUGGUGCCCCAAUCUGGAUCACCUAUACUUUGCUCCGGUGCCAAAUUAACUCACGCAAUGAAAACACACUUGCGUGGGAGAGAGAGAGGACUGAGGCAAGAAAAAAACACUUGUUUGGGAGAGUGAGAGGCUGGUGUAGUUGGUUUGAUUGAUAUUUUUAUACAUGUGGGUCGGUGUGCACAACGGUGACAACUCUCUCACAUCGCGAGAGCGGUGCCAAAAUCUUUUGAUUUGACAUCGAUGCGUAUUAUGAGGCAUACUUUUGCGAAAUAUGGCAUCGGCCACAUAGUGGAAGGCAACAAAUGCCCAUGCUCUUCACGUGCUCCUAGGUAAAUGAGAUGAAAGACAAAGAGAGAGAGAGAGUGAGUGAAAAAUAUCACUAGCCAGCCAACCCUGUCGUAUGAGUGAAUGAUAUUGGUACCUCUUGAUGACACGACAAUCUUAUACAGCUAGCUGCUGUAAUAUGUUCUCUUCUUUUGCACAUAAAAAAAGACCCAAAAGUGAAAAAUGUGCUGCACUAUAACAAUAUCAUUGAAUGCCUUGAUCUCCAUCUUACAGAAAUUUAUUUGAUCGACUAUCGAGGCAGCACAUCUGAGAUUCAAUUGGCCAGGUUCUUUUUUCUGGAGGCAAGUGUGCUCAAGGUAAUUAGGUUUGGCGUUCUCUGGCGCAACAAUGAAUGGCGUGCUGAUCACCGCAAGCGUCUAAGCCUAAAUGACACAGUCUCCGCAGAAGCUGAAUUUGUUUUUGAGACAUCAAGUGGCCAGAGACUCGAAAACUUAUUUGCCCAUUAGUGACUUGUCAGGGCGGUGGAUUAUAGUUUGUAAGAUAAUGCUGCAUCCACCUAAAGUAAUGAAAGUUCUUACGUAAACCUCCUAGUAAUUCCCUCUUCGUAGGUGCAACAUUACUCCUAACAUUUGUAAUAUCAGUUUGAAACUUGUAAUAUUGAUGUGUCCUAUUCCUGCGUUUUCAACAUCCUGCGAAUCAAAUAGGUCUUGAGUUGGUGAUGAUGUUGUGCCUGCCAUCUUGCACCGAUAGCCAUCGGAUUUAGAUCUGACACAUACAAACCAAACUUCUCCAGUUUUGAAAAAAGAUGCCUGCACUUGUUCCCUAUUUACAAACAACUCCUUGUCUCUCACAAUCAGCCUUAUCUCCUCCCCACGACAUCUAGAAGGCCAUGGAAAAAUCUGGCGUGAUGGCCACUGCCGGCGCCGUCGACCCCCCAAUCUUGGUGUUCUGUGCAAUGCAUGGGCAUCUACGCACGGGAAAUUAUGUCGAACAUGGCUAGUUGUAAGAAGGCUAGGUAUACAACCAUGAUGAUAGUGACUGCAGAUGGUGAGGCUGACCAUGGUAUGCCGAACACGGCGCCUAUACUCAGGUGUCAUCUCCGGCGCAGGGUCUUGUCACUUCACUGUGAGGAACAACACAUAAUAAUUUGACCACGGGCAGUACAGUGCUACUACAUUGGUAGUACUACUACUGGUACUAGCACCACCGUCUUGAUUUAGUAGUACUACCACGUCCAUCUGGAUUUGGUAUUUGACUAGCAAUAUCUAGUAAUGCAUGUCACAAAAAAUGUACUACUCCCUCUAUAAAUAAAUACAUGGUGUAUUGUUUUAUUCCUAUCAGCGAGAUAACUUAAUGUCUUUUUGCUACUUAAUAGGAUUACAUGCAAUGAACUAACCACUGCAUGUGAUGUUUGGUAGUCUCAAGUCAUUGAAAGCAUGCAUGGCCCACAUAUCUCAUUGGUUGAUAUGUCAUGAAAUAAGAAACGAGGAGGGAGUUAAUGUACCGUGCCUAAGUGUUUUGGGAUUAUUUGUUUUUAGUAAGGUGACUUACACAACAUUUUUGGUUACAUGCAUUAACAUUUUAUUAGUUAAAUCAAAGGUCAAAACUUGGCGGAAAAUGCAAAGGGGACCAAUAAACCAGUAAACAUCAAAGUUCUCUCGUUUGGCCCCAACUAGAGGUCCGGUGAGAUGACUAUACUGCACCAGCAUGAAGGGGGACGCAACUUCACUGACUUAAUGCACCUGCCUUUGGGUGUAUGACACGUGGGUCCAACGGGUGGCUGGCCCACCUGUCAUAGAGCCAAAGGCAGGUGCAGUAGAGGGGCGAGGAGUAGAUGGCCAACACACACGUGAAUUCAACGCAGUCUGCACUUCUCGUAUAAAGGCUCCUGCCAGUCCAAUCUACGAAAUCCUACGCACCUACGCACCUUAACCAAGGGCAAGAGUGAUCACUUCAAUCGCAAGAUCAGUUGACUACAAGCUAGACCCAUGGAGGCGAUGAGCGCGAGCAUCAGCCGGCAUGUGCCAGAUGGUCCACAACACCGUCCUACGGCCCGGCACCGAGGAACGUCUCCAGGUAGUGCUUGAGGCCGCCAGGUCGAGGGGCCACUUGGAUGACAGCUUCGUCUCCUUGUUCGACGAGGUCCUCGUCGGCUUCCUCGACAAGUUCACCGUCGUCAAGAAGCUCGCGGACGACCUUGACAUACACCUCCAGCCCACGUGCCCAGGCUCUGUGAUGCCUGCCACCCUCAACAGCCUCUAUGGUGACAACCUCUUCGACGCACUGGUGGCCCUGCGACUGCCCGGCCGCCAUCGCGCUGGAGAAUGUCCACCUCGAGGUCGCGCUCACCGCGCAGCGCCUGGCGCAGCAAGACACCAUCGACAUAAUCACCCACGUCUACACGCAAAUCGUCCAUAAGGACUACUACAUGAAAGAGGAGGAUGAGAGGACGCUGGCCUUCUUGGACCGCAGGGCAACCUAGGACGACAUUGUUCAGAAGCACGUUGAGCUUGCCGCCAACGCCGCUGCUCCUCACACGUCGGUUGGCGACCCUGUGCACUAGGGCGUGAGGAUGUCAUUGAUGGAUCCAUAUGUAUCUUUAUCUUUUCGUCAAAUCCAUGUAGUAGUAUAUGGUACUACUAGUAAUUAUCUUACCAUUCGCAUAAACUUCAUAAUUUUCAUAUGUACUCCAUGCAUGAACCGCUCCAGAACUAAACUUCUCAUUACUCUAGGGAAAAUCGUUAUUUCUAUCUAUCGGUCGCGCCAUGGAGCAGAACCAAAUUUUACAAGUUACAAGAUCAAAAGGAAAAGCCUGCCUUGUUCGCGUUGCAACCCAAAACGGUUGGUCCGGUACUCCAUUGAAGGGGGAAUGCAUGUUGUGUUGCAUUUUCACUUACAAGUGGGACCACAGCUGAGCAAACCGACUAUCGGCAAACCCCCACCCCACCCUCCGCGAUGGCUAAGAAAACAUGAGGGAGAAGAUAUGGUUGUAGCAUGGACCCAAGAAAAUUGGUGUCGGAUGGGACUCGUGUGGGUGGCGUGUGCCGUACUGCUAGACAUGAAUGCUAGUUAAGGCUCAUGCCACCCCACUAUAUCGAGGUGCUAGUUACGUAGAACAAAUUUCCUGGAGUCCGUGCUCAUCCCUCGUCUAUCUCUCUUCUCAGCCAUGCAGCAGACGCGCGGAACCCAUCAUCUGUUUGCUCAUAUGCGGUCCCACAUCUCAGUGAAAACGCAAGAGGACCCACUAAACCUGCACAUAUUUCACCUUGAUGUGCUGGUGAUGAAAAACAAAUCCAAUAAAGAUCUUCAGUGGCCGCUUUUGGAGUUACUCAAGAGUAGUAAUAUUCUAUUUAUAGUUUAACCCAAGAUGCACAUCACGUGGCUUCAACUACCACUCCAUUUUCUUGCAUGACAUGACCGGGAUGCUGGAUGUCCCACGUGUCGACAAAAUGAGGAAGAACUCGACCAAAUCUUCAGUUAUGCUCUCAGUUUAGACUAGUUGUGCUAACUUAAAAUUUUAUUGUGUACAAUGGAUGCAAGUUUUGGUAUUGGGAAGGAGAGUACAUCGAUAUAUUGAUACAACGCAAUUUAGUAGAUGUUCUAGCACUUUUAGCUAGCAUAGAGGCUAGAGACGAGACUAGUGUACCUGUUGAUAGAAUAGAGUCUAGACAUGAGACUAGAUGUGAGGAAGCAAUGUCUACUUCUUUACGCCCGAAGAAGAAAGAAGCACGCAAGAUCGAGCCUCCACAGAUCAACAAUGAAUGCAUCGAGAAGGCACUAAUCCAACUUACAGGAGCAGUUAUGGAAGUUGGAUAUCUUCUAAAAUGUAUUCUUGUGGUUCUUGUUUUCUUUGGUGUUGCUUUUCUAGUCAAAUUUUGGUGAUGUAUUUCCAUGUACCAAAAAUCAAUGAUGAAAAAAAGAUAUGUAUUUGCAAAGAAAUAUGUACGUGGCCGGGAUGCAUCCGCGCGUUCGGUGCACGGCCACCGCAUCCGAGAAAUGGCCCUGACACGACCCCAUUGCCCUACCUAAACGGACAGAAUCCGGGCAAAACGGAGGUCCAUUUGGGGUCGUGCGUUGGAGUUGGCCUUACAAGUGGGACCGCAGUUGAGGAAACCGACUAUCGGCAAACCCCCACCUCGCCCCACGCGCGAUGGCUGAGUUAGAGAAACGACGAGGUUGUAGAGAUUGUUGUAGCACGGACUCCAAGUAAUAUGGUGUCAGAUGGAAGUCGCACUGGUGGUGUGUGUCGUACUCCUGGACGUGAAUGCUUGUUCUGGCCCAUACCACCCUACUACUCCUACUAUAUAGUAGUAGUAUCGAGGAUUCGAGGUGCUGGUUACGUACAGCGAACACAUUAACAUAUGGCCCACCUCACACUGUGGCCAAAUUUCCUGGAGUCUGUGCUAGGUUAAAAAGUAUUCUUUGUGAGGGUGGGUGGCUGGUCUCAAGUUUAAAACUUGUUGUAUUACGUAUAUGUAGACGUAGAGAUAGUGCAGCAGUUCUGAAAGUUUGAACCCAAACAUAAGAAUGCAAUUUCUACUGGACUCAUCCGAGGACCUAGGAUGAUGGGAUUCGCAGCUACAGCAAAAACACCCGCCCGACGCGUGAAGCAUGUGAAGCUAGUACAAAUAGUGUACUACUAUUGUUGAUUGGCCUCAUCUAAUAACCUAUUGCAAUGCACGUACAAUUAUGUAUUCGAAAAAUAUUUUUUUGCCUCAUCGCAGCACCCACUCAGAGAAGCGACUCGAAAGCCAUUCAUAAAUUUAGUAAGUUUAUCACAGGCAUAUCAUUUUAUUACAUACAACAGGUCAUCAACCCACAACGACAAUGAGGAUACAUUAUAAAUACUAAAGUUUUCAUCACACAACAAAUAACAAGCAAUGAAAUGAACUUCAACUCAACCAAUCCUCGGCGUUGGAAAAGUCUUGCAUUGAACCACAAGUGAUUCUCUGGGAAGGGACAUCUAUUGUCAAUCUCGAGACCAACACAGGACUGAUCAUAUAGGCUGAAGCGGCCUACUAUACGGAGUACGAGAUGGUAGCCAUGGACAUGGUCGGCCCUAUUUGAAGAGAAUACUAAUAAAUAACUUUGAUGUGUCCCCUCAACUCGCAAAACGACGAGAAACUUGCUUACCUUCUCCCUCGCCAACGCGUGUGCGGUGGCUCGUAGCACGAGGAGAAACUUUUGCUUACAUGCGGUGGACGUGCAACAGUUCAUUUGGUGUCAUAUUGCCGGAAGUACUACUAUAGUACCAUCAUUAUUGUUCGACUUUCAGAAGAGGAGAAGAGCCAAGCCCAAGGUCACCUACUAACCUAGUACAGUACUACUAUAGCCAAAGCUGGUCCACCUUUUUAGCACAUGGUUAAUUAAUAUAGGCGGCUAUUGUAGUGGCACAUCAUUGAGAGCAAGUACUCUCUUCGUAGGAUCAAAGGAAGUGAAACAAAAGUUGGAGUGGAUGCUAGAUUGCCAAAUAAAACAUCAUUACAUAGGAAAAAAACUAUAGCAUUCUAUCCUAUGAAUCAAAUGACCAAUGUAGGAAAAUUAUGAGGGGGGUCUCUCCAACAGUGUUCCUCGGCUCACAUCUAGCAUCACGGUGGUCGAGCUUGGAGUCAUUCAUCUGGUACUCGUGGCAUCUCAGAUCUGGACAGAAGGUGAUGCGACCUCUCACUUCGUCCGCCAUUUGAAGUGGCACGCCGGUGGAGGACUAGCAUACUCCAAUAUUAGGUUGGCUCUAUGUGAUGUGGCAACUUCAUAUACUAACUAGAUGCUAGCUAUACUACUAUGGUACUCACACUCCAAGAAGUGACUCGAAAACCAUUCAUAAAUUGACUCUAUGACAUGCAUUUGCAAAUGUACCAUUAAUUACAUACAACAAGUCAUCAGCACACAACAACAACGAGGAUACAUGUUGGAUUAUAGAUUAUUUCCAACAAAACAUUCUAGUAAAUACAUAAGUUUUCGUCACACAACAAAUAACAAGCAAUGAAAUGAACUUCAACUCAACCAAUCCUCAGCGUUGGAAACGCUUGCUUUGAACCAUAAGUGCUCUGGGAAGGGCCAGCUAUUUUCAAUAUCGAGAGCAAUGCAGGACUGAUCAUCCAGGCUGAAGCGGCAUAUAUCAGGAGCAGGGUAGGGAACUACCACAAAGUCCAAGGUAUAGAUACAAUUGCUUCUCAUAAAUGGUACUAGUAACGUUGUGUCAAUAUGAUACGUCCAUUUUGCAUCAUGCUUUGAUAUUGAUAUUUAUUUCAUAUGGGUUGUUAUUACACAUUACGUCACAAUACUUAUGCCUUUUCUCUCUUAUUUUACAAGGUUUACAUGAAGAGGAAGAAUGCCGGAAGCUGGAAUUCUGGGCUGGAAAAGGAGCAAAUAUUACAGACCUAUUCUGCACAACUCAAAAUUCAUGAAACUUCACGAAGGCAUGUUUCGGAAUUAAUAAAAAAUAUUGGUGAAAGAAUCAACCAGAGGGGACCCACACCCUGGCCACGAGGGUGGGGGCGCGCCCUACCUCUUGGGGGCGCCCCCUAUCUCGUGGGCCCCCUGGCAGGCCACCGGUGCCCAUCUUUUGCUAUAUGAAGUCUUUUUCCCUGGAAAAAAUCAUAAGGAAGCUUUCGGAACGAAGCGCUGCCGUCUCGAGGUGGAACCUUUGCGGAACCAAUCUAGGCCUCCGGCGGAGCUGUUUUGCCGGGGAAAUAUCCCUCCGGGAGGGGGAAAUCUUCACCAUCAUCAUCACCAUCGAUCCUCUCAUCGGGAGGGGGUCAAUCUCCAUCGACAUCUUCACCAGCACCAUCUCCUCUCAAACCCUAGUUCAUCUCUUGUAUCCGAUCUUUAUCUCAAAACCUCAGAUUGGUACCCGUGGGUUGCUAGUAGUGUUGAUUACUCCUUGUAGUGGAUGCUAGUUGGUUUAUUUGGUGGAUGAUUAUAUAUUCUGAUCCUUAAUGCAUAUUAAUACCCCUCUGAUUAUGAACAUGAAUAUGAUUUGUGAGUAGUUAUGUUGUUCCUGAGGACAUGGGAGAAGUGUUGCUAUAAGUAGUCAUGUGAAUUUGGUAUUCGUUCGAUAUUUUGAUGAGAUGUAUGUUGUCUCUCCUCUAGUGGUGUUAUGUGAACGUAAACUACAUGACACUUCACAUUGUUUGGGCCUAGAGGAAGGCAUUGGGAAGUAAUAAGUAGAUGAUGGGUUGCUAGAGUGACAGAAGCUUAAACCCUAGUUUAUGUUUUGCUUCGUAAGGGGCGGAUUUGGAUCCAUAUGUUUCAUGCUAUGGUGAGGUUUACCUUAAUUCUUCUUUCGUAGUUGCGGAUGAUUGUGAGAGGUGUUAAUCAUAAGUGGGAUGCUUGUCCAAGUAAGGGCAGUACCCAAGCACCGGUCCACCCACAUAUCAAAUUAUCAAAGUAACGAACGUGAAUCAUAUGAGCGUCAUGAAAACUAGUUUGACGAUAAUUCCCAUGUGUCCUCGGGAGCGUUUUCCUUUAUAUAAGAGUUUGUCCAGGCUUGUCUUUUGCUACAAAAAGGAUUGGGCCACCUUGCUUCACCUUGUUUACUUUCUUUACUUGUCACCCGUUAUGAAUUACCUUAUCACAAAACUAUCUGUUACCGAUAAUUUCAGUGCUUGCAGAGAAUACCUUACUGAAAACCGCUUCUCAUUUCCUUCUACUCCUCGUUGGGAUCGACACUCUUACUUAUAGAAAGGACUGGGAUAGAUCCCCUAUACUUGUGGGUCAUAAAAACUCUUUUUUGGCACCGUUGACGGGAGUGAAGCGCCUUUGGUAAGUGGAAAUUAGUAACAAAAAAUUUAUACAAUGUGAUGAAAUUGACUAUCACUUGUUACUAUGGAAAGUAAUCCUUUGAGGGGCUUGUUCGGGGUAUCUUCACACUGACCAGUAGAGCAAAGAGGUACUCCUCAACCUACUGAAUCUACUGAAAAUGUUUACUUUGAAAUUCCUUCGGGUAUGAUAGAGAAACUGCUAGCUAAUCGCUUUACAGGAGAUGCAACAUUGCAUCCCGAUUUGCAUCUAAUCUAUGUGGAUGAAGUUUGUGGAUUAUUUAAGCUUGAAGGUUUGCCCAAGGAUGUUAUCGAGAAGAAGGUCUUCACUUUAUCUUUGAAGGGAGAGGCAUUGACAUGGUUCAGGCUAUGAGAUGAUAUGGGAUCAUGGAACUACAACCGAUUGAAAUUGGAAUUUCAUUAGAAGUUUUAUCCUAUGCAUCAGGUUCAUCGUGAUCGUAAUUAUAUAUAUAUAAUUUUUGGCCUCACGAAGGAGAAAGCAUCGCUCAAGCUUGGGGGAGGCUUAAGUCAAUGUUAUAUUCAUGCCCAAUCAUGAGCUCUCAAGAGAAAUUAUUAUUGAAAAAAUUUAUGCUCGGCUUUCUCUCAACAAUCACUCCAUGCUCAAUACUUCUUGUACUGGUUCUUUUAUGAUGAAGACUAUUGAAUUGAGAUGGGAUUUAUUGGAAAGAACUAAACGCAACUCUGAAGAUUGUGAGCUCGACGAAGGUAAGGAGUCAGGUAUGAAACCUAAGUUUGAUUGUGUUAAAUCUGUUAUGGAUACCUGUGUUUUCCGUGAAUUUAGCACUAAAUAUGGACUUGACUUUGAGAUAGUAGCUUCUUUCUGUGAAUCAUUUGCUACUCAUGUCGAUCUCCCUAAGGAGAAGUGGUUUUAAUAUCAUCCACCCAUUGAAGUAAAAGUAGUUGAACCUAUUAAAGUUGAAGAAAAGACUAUCACUUAUAAUGUUGAUCCUAUUGUUCCUACCGCUUAUAUUUAGAAAUCACCUUUCCCUGUUAGAAUAAACGAUCAUGCUAAAAGCUUCAACUGUGGUUCGUAAGAGUAAUACUAGAACACCUGCACCCCCUGAUAAAAUUAAAGUUGAACCUAGUAUUGCUAUGGUUAAAGAUAUCUUGGCUGAUAAUAUUGAUGGGCAUGUUAUUUACUUCUGUGAUGAAGCUGCUAGAAUGGCUAGAUCUGAUACUAAAAAUAAACAUAGACCUGUUGUAGGCAUGCAUGUUAUUUCCAUUAAAAUAGGAGAUCAUUGCUAUCAUGGCUUAUGUGAUAUGGGUGCUAGUGCAAGUGUAAUACCUUAUUCCUUAUAGGAAGAAAUUAUGCAUGAUAUUGCACCUACUGAGUUAGAAGGCAUUGGUAUUACAAUUAAGCUUGACAAUAGAGAUAUUAUUUCACCAGCUGGGAUUGUUAGAGAGGUUGAAGUCCUGUGUGGGGAAGUUAAAUAUCCUGCUGAUUUUCUUGUUCUUGGUUCCCCACAUGAUGACUUUUGUCCCAUUAUAUUUGGCAGACCCUUCUUGAAUACUGUUAAUGCUAGGAUAGAUUGUGAAAAGGAUAUUGUUACGAUUGGGUUAGGGGAUAUGUCUCAUGAAUUUAACUUUGCUAAAUUUCAUAGACAACCCCAUGAUAAAGAAUUGCCUAGUAAGGAUGAAAUUAUUGGACUUGCUUAUAUUGUCGUGCCUCCUAAUGAUCCUUUAGAACAAUAUUUGCUAGACCAUGAAAAUGAUAUGUUUAUGAAUGAAAGAAGGGAAAUAGAUGAAAUAUUCUAUAAACAGGGACCCAUUUUGAAACACAACUUGCCUGUUGAAAUCCUAGGGGAUCCUCAACCACCCAAGGGUGAUCCCGUGUUUGAGCUUAAACCAUUACCUGAUACUCUUAAAUAUGCUUAUAUUGUGGAAAAGAAGAUAUAUCAUGUUAUUAUUAGUGCUAACCUUUCAUAGCAACAAGAGGAGAAAUUAUUGGAAACUCUGAAGAAGCAAUGUGCUUCUAUUGGAUAUACUCUUGAUGACCUUAAGGGCAUUAGUCCCACUCUAUGCCAACACAUGAUAAAAUUGUUGAAAGACGCUAAACCGGUUGUUGAUCACCAACGACGGUUAAAUCCUAAGAUGAAAGAAGUGGUAAGAAAAGUAAUACUAAAGCUUCUGGAGGCAGGUAUAAUUUAUCUCGUUGCUGAUAGUCAGUGGGUAAGUCAUGUCCAUUGUGUCCCUAAGAAGGGAGGUAUUACUGUUGUUCCUAAUGAUAAAGAUGAAUUGAUCCCACAAAGAAUUGUUACAGGUUAUAGGAUGGUAAUUGAUUUCCACAAAUUAAAUAAAGCUACUAGAAAAGAUCAUUACCCUUUACCUUUUAUUGACCAAAUGCUAGAAAGAUUAUCUAAAAACACUCAUUUUUGCUUUCUAGAUGGUUAUUCUGGUUUCUCUCAAAUACUGUAUCAAAAGAGGAUCAGGAUAAGACCACUUUUACUUGCGCUUUCGGUACCUUUGCUUAUAGAUGUAUGCCUUUUGGUUUAUGUAAUGCACCUACUACCUUUCAAAGAUGGAUGAUGGCUAUAUUCUCUGAUUUUUUUGAAAAGAUUGUUGAGGUUUUCAUGGUUGAUUUCUCCGUAUAUGGAACUUCUUUUGAUGAUUGCUUGAGCAACCUUGAUCGAGUUUUGCAGAGAUGCGAGAAACUAAUCUUGUCUUGAAUUGGGAGAAGUGUGACUUUAUGGUUAAUGAAGGUAUUGUCUUGGGGCAUAAAAUUUCUGAACAAGGUAUUGAGGUUGAUAUAGCUAAAGUUGAUGCUAUUGAAAAGAUGACAUGUCCCAAGGACAUUAAAGGUAUAAGAAGUUUACUUGGUCAUGCCUGCUUUUAUAGGAGGUUCAUUAAAGACUUUUCUAAAAUUUCUAGGCCUCUGACUAACCUCUUACAAAAAGAUAUUCCUUUUGUCUUUGAUGAUGAUUGUGUAGAAGCAUUUGAAAUACUUAAGAAAGCUUUAAUUUCUGCACCGAUUGUUCAGCCACCUGAUUGGAAUUUACUGUUUGAAAUUAUGUGUGAUGCUAGUGAUUAUGCUGUAGGUGUUGUUCUAGGACAAAGAGUUGAUAAGAAACAAAAUGUUAUCCAAUAUGCAAGUAAAACUCUAGACAUUGCCCAGAGAAAUUAUGCUACUACUGAAAAAGAAUUUUUAGGAGUUGUAUUUGCUUGUGAUAAGUUUAGACCUUACAUUGUUAACUCAAAAGUAACCGUUCACACUAAUCAUGCUGCUUUUAAAUAUCUUAUGGAAAAUAAAGAUGCUAAACCUAGACUUAUUAGAUGGGUUCUCUUACUACAAGAAUUUGAUUUGCAUAUUAUUGAUAGAAAGGGAGCUGAGAACCCCAUUGCAGACAACUUAUCUAGGUUAGAAAAUGUUCUUGAUGACCCACUACCUAUUGAUGAUAGCUUUCCUGAUGAACAAUUACUUGUCAUAAAUGCUUCUCAUACUCCUCCAUGGUAUGCUGAUUAUGCUAAUUACAUUGUUGCCAAAUUUAUACCACGUAGUUUCACAUACCAGCAAAAGAAAAAGGUUUUCUAUGAUUUAAGACAUUACUUCUGGGAUGACCCACACCUUUAUAAAGAAGGAGUAGAUGGUGUUAUUAGAUGUUGUGUACCUGAGCAUGAACAUGAACAGAUCCUACACAAGUGUCACUCCGAGGCUUAUGGAGGACACCACGCUGGAGAUAGAACUGCACAUAAGGUAUUGCAAUCCGGUUUUUGUUGGCCUACUCUCUUCAAAGAUGCCCGUAAGUUUGUCUUGUCUUGUGAUGGAUGUCAAAGAAUCGGUAACAUUAGUAGAAGUCAAGAAACGCCUAUGAAUUAUUCACUUGUGAUUGAACCAUUUGAUGUUUGGGGCUUUGAUUAUAUGGGACCGUUUCUUUCCUCUAAUGGGUAUACACAUAUUUUAGUUGUUGUUGAUUAUGUUACUAAGUGGGUAGAAUCUAUUCCAACUAGUAGUGUUGAUCAUAACACCUCUAUUAAGAUGCUCAAAGAAGUUAUUUUUCCAAGGUUUGGAGUCCCUAGAUACUCAAUGACUGAUGGUGGUUCACAUUUUAUUCAUGGUGCUUUUUGUAAAAUGCUUGCUAAAUAUGAUGUUAAUCAUAGAAUUGCAUCUCCAUAUCACCCACAGUCUAAUGGCCAAGUAGAGCUGAGUAAUACAGAGCUGAAAUUAAUUUUGCAAAAGGCUGUUAAUAGAUCUAGAAAGAAUUGGUCCAAGAAACUUGAUGGUGCAUUAUGGGCCUAUAGAACUGCAUAUAAAAAUCCUAUGGGUAUGUCUCCUUAUAAAAUGGUUUAUGGAAAAUCUUGUCACUUACCUCUCGAACUAGAACAUAAGGCGUAUUGGGCCAUUAAAGAGAUCAAUUAUGAUUUAAAACUUCACGGUGAGAAGAGGAUAUUUGACAUUAGCUCACUUGAUGAAUGGAGAACUCAAGCCUAUGAGAUUGCCAAACUGUUUAAAAAAAGUUAAAAGAUGGCAUGACAAAAGGAUACAAAAGUGUGAGUUUAAUGUAGGUGAUUAUGUUUUGCUAUACAACUCUCGUUUAAGGUUUUUUGCAGAAAAACUUCUCUCUAAAUGGGAAGGCCCUUAUGUUAUCGAGGAGGUCUAUGGUGCCGGUGCCAUAAAAAUCAACAACUUCGAAGGCACAAAUCCGAAGGUGGUGAACGGUCAAAGGAUCAAACAUUAUAUCUCAGGUAAUCCCAUAAAUGUUGAAACCAAUGUUAUUGAAACAGUAAUCCCGAAGGAAUACAUAAGGGACACUUUAUAGAAUGUUUCAGACUCCAAAAAGGAAUAGGCAUGUGGUAUGGUAAGUAAACCGACUCCAAAACAGUUCUAAUAGCAAAUUUUCUCCGUUUUGGAAUACUUAAGAAAAGAGGAAAAUAAGAAGUNNNNNNNNNNNNNNNNNNNNNNNNNNNNNNNNNNNNNNNNNNNNNNNNNNNNNNNNNNNNNNNNNNNNNNNNNNNNNNNNNNNNNNNNNNNNNNNNNNNNNNNNNNNNNNNNNNNNNNNNNNNNNNNNNNNNNNNNNNNNNNNNNNNNNNNNNNNNNNNNNNNNNNNNNNNNNNNNNNNNNNNNNNNNNNNNNNNNNNNNNNNNNNNNNNNNNNNNNNNNNNNNNNNNNNNNNNNNNNNNNNNNNNNNNNNNNNNNNNNNNNNNNNNNNNNNNNNNNNNNNNNNNNNNNNNNNNNNNNNNNNNNNNNNNNNNNNNNNNNNNNNNNNNNNNNNNNNNNNNNNNNNNNNNNNNNNNNNNNNNNNNNNNCUCGUGGGCACCUCGUGUGCUCUCCGGACUCCGUUUUCUUGUAGGAUACUUCUUUUGGUCAGUAAAAAUUCAUUAUAUAAUCUCCCGAAGGUUUUGACCACCGUACCAUGCAAAUAUCCUCUGCAUUUGUUUUGAGUUGUUUCUAUAGCAGAUUUGGAGCAAGGUGUCAUCUCAAGAUUCCGACGGAGAGAACUAUUUCUCACAUAUCAUUGUUGAACGGAAGACCUAUGGGGAUCUAUCUCCUUGUGGUCAAACUGCGGAUGAUGAGGAGGAUGCUCAUUUUAUGAGGAUAAAUGAUUCAAGUCAGGAGGAGAAGGAUGUCCCUCUACCUCAACCUAUGGAUAUGCACGUGAAGUUCAAGAAAUCUAGUCUCCCUAAGAGGGCUAAACUGUCUAACAACCGAUCUAUUCCUUCUUGUUUUCGGCAGAAAAGCAAAAGAGAUUUAUGUGACAAGAUCUUGAAGCUGGAAUCGGAGGUCGAUGAUUUAAAGGAGGAAAUUGCUCUCCUCAAUUAUAAUAUGAAGAUGCUGAGGGCACAAUUGUCAUUGUCAUCACCAUCACCACCUCCGAAGAAAGAGACAUAAACACAUGGGUAUGGGCACUCCCCUUGGCAACUACUAAGCUUGGGGGAGGUGCCCCGGUAUCGUAUCACCAUCACACUCCUGUAUUUAUCGUUUUUCUCAGUUCGAUCCUUUUGGUAAUCUCUUGAUCUGUUAGAAUAAUGUUUUAGUAUGAUUUAGUUUUGAGUUUUGCUUUAUGAUCCUUCUAUGUAAUCGAGUCUGUGAGCUAUGUAUAUAAUAAAGAUUAGUGUUGAGUCAAGGGCUUGAUUAUCCUGUUAUGAUCUUGAGGGAAUUAAAGAAAAAAGAGAGAAUAAAAAUAAAUGACGAGAUCAUAUUGAUCUUAUGGAGAGGAAUUACUUUACAUAUAAAGAGUAUGGUGAAUAAAAGUUGUUGAGAGUUGACAAACACAGUUUUGGUCAUCGUUGCAAUUAAUAGGAAGUAAUAAAGAAAGAGAGGUUCUGACAUAUAAAUAUACUAUCUCGGACAUAUUUGAUUAUUGUGGGCACUCAUUAAAAUAUGACAUGCUAAAAGGUUGACGUUGGACAAGGAAGACAACAUAAUGGGUUAUGUUUUCUUAUGUCCGAAAUAAAGUAUAUUGUCAGAGAUCAUCGAACAUGUUGAGCUUGCCUUUCCCCCUCAUGCUAGCCAAAUUCUUUGCACCAAGUAGAGAAACUACUUGUGCUUCCAAAUAUCCUUAAACCCAGUUUGCCAUGAGAGUCCACCAUAUCUACCUAUGGAUUGAGUAAGAUCCUUCAAGUAAGUUGUCAUUGUUACAAGAAAUAAAAAUUGCUCUUUAAAUAUGUAUGAUUUGUUAGUGUGGAGAAAAUAAACUUUAUACGAUCUUGUGAUAUGGAAGUAAUAAAAGCAACGGACUGCAUAAUAAAGGUCCAUAUCAUUAGUGGCAAUAUAAAGUGCCAGUUUUAUAGUAAUCACACUUUCGAUAUCUAUGCAAACAGGGAUGCUCGAUUUUAGUGGAACUGCACAAAAAGUCCAACUGGUUCAACAUUAGGAGCAUGUUUUCUUCCAAACCUUUAUAUCCAAUUGGUGGCACUAUGAGUUGUUCAUUAUGAAGGUACAUGGUUUGCUACUACUCUUUUUGUACUGUCAUUGGAUAGUAAUACUAGUGGUUUGCAUGUGAACUUUUUGGUAGUGUGGACCUACAUUGGAGGUGCAGGACAGGAUUCAAUGAUUGGAUGCUCAAUUUCGGUUGUAUCAAUUUCACCUCUUCCAUCACUGCGAACAUGGAUAUCCUUGGUUUGAUGAAGAAUAGGCGCUAUAUUUCUGCUCUGAACCAUCAAAUCAAUUCAAUAUGAAAUUGUCCAGGGCAAAACAUGACUGUAUCAAAUUGUCCAGUGCAAAACAUGACAUAUGCUAUGCGGAAGAGACAUGUUUAAACCAAAAAUACAAGGUGGGGUAUAUGUUUAUUAGCUACUUGAUAUUUGUGCACAUAGAGAUGUCUGCCCGUUGCUAUUUGGCAAACAAACAAACAAAGUGACUGCAAUUUUGGUUGAACUGCACAAGUGAAUAGUAUAGUCACUGCAUGCAGUGCCAUUUGAAAAUAGACACAGCAAGAUUGGAUAGUCACUUCAUGGAAUGCGGAAAAGUAGUAUUGUACUAUUUAUUAGGCAACACUAGGUGCUUCAUUGCUUUGGUUUGAUUAUACAAUGGGCAUCAUUUUGCCUAAGUUAAAGUUUGUAUUCCGAAAAUAGUCUCGCCGUGUGAUCGAGAGAAGACCAAAUCAUAUUGCAGUGGAUGUUCCCCCAUCAUGUGUGGUUCAUUCUCAUGGUUCCAGCUGUUGGUGAAACCACUUACAUUUGCAAGAGGAAUUGUAGACUUCACAAACAAACUUCUCUUCCAGUCUGUACUGAAUGUUGGCCAACAGAAGCAUCCAUGUUAGUAGGAAGAACAGAUGUUUUUUCUAGAUCUUUGCUUUUGGAGUUACAUAUUUGUAUAUGAUCUGUGAAUCAUUGAGAUGCGUUAACAUGUUGAUCUUAUCUAUGGGAAUCCUACUAGUUGGUUUUAGUUGCAACGCAAGAUCCGAAGUGUCUGAUCUUUGCUUUUGGAGCUACAUAUUUGUAUAUGAUCUGUGAAUCAUUGAGAUGCGUUAACAGUUCCUUAUUUCUCUUUGCUCAAUGUUUACAAGUUACUGAUUGAUCACUAGCUAGCCUACUAAUGCGCUCCUGGCAGUUAGUUGCGACGCAAGAUCCGAAAUGGCAGUUUUAUGAAUAAAAAUACCUACCUCUGAAGAAACUGACAAGCUGCUCUAAAGAAAAUGCCAUGCGAAUCUGAAGAUACUGCCAGCAAAAAUGUUCACAAAUGCCUUAUCUCCCAGCUAACGUUCAUCAGCUAAUGUGAUCGUACAUGUACACCAUCCGACCUACUCGAUCCUACAUGUACACUAUCCGACCUACUCGAUCCUACACGGAUAAAUAGCGCAUCAUGCAUGUACUACAUUCAUUCCGGUUUGCAGGGCUCAAUUCAAGAAAUGACCUACUCGAUCCUACAUGAAUAAUAGUGAAUCACGCACGUACUAGUACCUCCUUUCUGGUUUGCAGGCCUUAAUUCAAAAAUCUAACCAACCAAGGUACUCCCUCUGUCCGGGUAUAUUAGUCCCAUGAGCAAAGCAGCAAGACCAAGGCAUGGCAAUAAUUAACUCCAUGCACAAGUUUAAGCCUAGUUAGUUCCAGCGAUUUAAGUGGCUGCAUGCAUGCCCUCGGCUGCGACUCGUUGCAUGCUGCUCCGCAUACUGGAUGCGAGCGAUUCUGAGUGCCUACAUGCAGCCGACCGUAAUUAAGGUAGCUAACUGAUGCGAAAAAAGAUGCGCUUUAAUUGUUGUGGGCCUUUUAAAUCCGUGGAAUCAUUAUUGACAAGAAAGGAGUACCUCAUCUGGAUGAUUCGAGUGCCCUCGUUUGACUUUCAUGCCGGUGUGCGGCCCAGCAUUGACGGGACGGGACGACACAGUCAUAAUUUCAGUUUCUCUAGUUUUCCACGGCAAGAUGGCACGCUAAGCCAUGCCUUAAUUGAAUUCCGAUGACCGUCGCGCUACCUUCCGCCUAUAAGUACUGUUUUGCGGCCUACUCCGGUGGCACCGUGACCCAACUUGCCCUAUCCUCAUAAGCCCCCACCGGCCCGAGGUCGCUCACCACUUAUCGUCGCUCUCGCCACGUCCGCCAUGCCCCUGCCCAUCCGCGGUAGGCGAGGACGGAGGCGGUCACCGCCGAAACUAGUGUUUAGUUUUUCACCGGAAGGCAGACGGAGGGAGGAGGCAUUCUAUCGGACUUUAGAUGGCAAUGCGGAGAUCAAGGACUUGUUGGAGCACGACCGCCUGGCGGAGGAUUAGGAGUUGUUGGAGCGCGACCGCCUGGCGGAGGAGCAGCAUAUCGCUGAUUUGCGCCGCCCGCAGGACAUGGGGCAGCAGCGUACCGACACUCUGAGUCGCUAGCAGAGCGCCCGCAAUUGGACCGACUACGUGGAGGCUGGCGCCCGGCAAAUAGCCCUGGAGGCUGUCGGGCACGCAUGCGUUCGCGACGCCAAUUUUGACUACCACCGCAUCAAGUGGGUUUCCCGCUUAGAAGCCGAAGCUUCGGUGGACCAUGCCGUUAUGGAAAGGGCCAACGCGUGCGAGCAAUGCACGCUAUCGCACCCUUGGAAAGUCUGAGGUGAGGCGGAGGACGCCGGUGCCGGCAUUUAGCGUGUACCGCAGAUGGGGGCCGGCAUCGUCUAGUUAGCUAAGAGUAAGUUAGUACUUGUACGCUACUAGAGUAUUAGUGGGAGUAGAUAGUUAACUUGGCUAUGAUGGUUAUCAACGUAGAAAUUCAGUACUCUAUAUGUGGAUCAGACCUGUUACUUUGCUCUGAAUGUUGAACUUUCCGUUUGAACGUAUGGAAUGGGUUGUUAUUUUUUAAAUGGGUUGUAUUUGUCCUCCACGGGUUUAGAGGCCAACUUCUAGGCCUACCAAGUUGACGCAUACACAAUCAUGAGAUGAUUGUACGUGGAGAGGAUGACAGCAGGGACCCGCCAAGGUCAUGGCAGUACGCAAGCAAGUGCCUCCUUAUUUCAAGCCAAUAAAAAAUGGCUCCUCCUAAUGGAUUUCUGACAUCUGGGUCUCAUGCCAUUGUCAACGUAGUCAAUAAAUGAGAUAAUUGCACAAUGAGCGGCUGACACUAGGGACCCAGUAGCUCGCCCAAUUUUUUUGUUUUGGGUUAAUUUGAUAAAUGCCACUCCAAAUCUGGUGUUUUCGAGAAAUGCCACUACAAUUUCAAAACUUUGAAAAAUGCAAUUUCAUGCCAUUUCCAGUGGCAUUUUGAAGUCUAGAGUGGCGUUUUUCAAAGUUUGCAAAUUGCAGUGGCGUUUUUCAAAGUUUGCAAAAAUUGCAGUGGCAUUUUUCAAAGUUUGGAAAUUACAGUGGCAUUUUUAUGAAUCGCCAUAAUUGGAGUGGCAGUUAUAUAAUUUGUUUUUGAGACGGAAGCAGGGUGUCAACUGGGCUGUGCGGGGCACCCUGGCCUGUCUAGACAGCCUUUUCUUUUAUGUUUACCAGAGACCAGCCUAGUAGUUUUUUUUUCUGAAAAUGGUUAGCCCAGUUUUUUUGUGAUUUGUCAAGUAAGUCGCUUUGUCAGGCCUGUUGGGCUGCAAAUCUUUCAAGACGAGGAGAGCUUCAUUCGGCUGGCCGAGAAAAUGGCCUAUAAGUAAUGAGAAAUGGGUUGUACAUUUUUAAAACACAUCAAACCAGCAAUUAGUUUCAAAUUUCCAUUUUUCAUUUCGAGAUAUUAAAUUGCAUUGAUUUUUAUGCGUGAACAAUUUGUUGAAUUUUAUAUUGAUAUACAUUUAUUUUUAAAAUCAGUUUGAAUGUGACUAGAAAUUUCGGGAUUAAAAACAGUUUGGACUGCACCGAAAUAUGCAAAAUUUCGUAUAAUUUUUUAACAAUGGCCACGAUAUGGGCUGUAAUGCUAACAAAAAGAAUAUGGGCUCAAAAAAACCUUAAGAAUUAGCAAAUGGGCUGUAAAUUAUUAGAAAUAAUGACAGAUGGGUUGUACGCUGUUUUUCACAGAUUUGAGACUUUUCUAAAAAAAGGUUGACGCACAAGUAGUGACUGUUGGAUGUCCAUCCAACGGCUGUCGUGCUUCUUCAAUCUCUGCUCUUCCUACUCCAGUCGCUCAAACAAGCGCCGGUGGGACUGCCUGCUCUCUCCUCCCCGCGGUCGGCUGUGCUGCCGCACAUGCUUCACCGCCCACCGUACUCCCAUCGCUGGCCUAGCCAUCCCUCUACUCACCCACACCUGUUGUUAUUCUUCGGCGACGACAGACAAACUAGUAAACCCUCGUACAGUCGUACACCCUUCAACGUGGGAAACAACUGUCGGGUCUUCCCUGGCUCCGUGUCGUUCCCUUCCUAGGCCUCGCCGUCGUCCACUGCCCUGGUGCUCUCGGCGCGGCGUGGUCAACGUGGCCAACGACCGACAUGCAUCUCAAGUGGACUAUACGUGGAGAGGCUGACAGUUGGAUCCACAGCCGCACGUAAGGAAAUGCCUCCUUAUUACAUGCAAAAUAAUGAUUCCUCCACCUGACAUCUGGGACCUACCGAAAGGGCCUCUAUAUUUUGUGAAAAAAUGUUACCGCCGCUGAUAGCUUGGACCCACCAGCUAUAUCUUCACACGCAAGGGAAAAUGAAUACUCAUCCUGCUAGCUGGGACCCAGUAUAGUGGGAGGCUAACUUGUGGGCCUACUAAGUUGACGGGGAUGGAGGGCUUUGUCACCUUAGUCAAUAUGCACGAUUCUAGCUCUAGUGACCGUACGAUGUCCAUCCAACGGCCGUAGUGCUUCUUCAACCUCUGGUUUUCUUGCUCCAGCCACCCAAAGCAGCGCCGGUCGUGCCGCCUACUCCUGCCUCCUGUGGCCGGCUAUGCUGCCAUGGAGGCCUUACCGCCCCCUACUACUCCCACCGCUGACCAGGCCAUCCCUCCACUCAACCACACCCCCUGUUAUUCUGCGGCGACGGCAGCCUCAUAGCGCAGCCAAACCAGUGAACCCUCGUACUCCUCUCCGCGUGGGCAUCCACUACCGUGUCUUCCCCGGCUCCGCGUCGUCCCCUUCCUAGGCCUCACCGUCAUCCACCACCGUGGUGCUCUCGGCAUGGUGUGGUCAAUGUGGUCAAUGACCGACUUUCAUCAAAAGAGUACUGUACAUGGAGAGGCUGACAGUUGGGUCCACGGCAGCCGCAAGGAAGUGCCUCCUUAUGACGCGCAAAAAAAUUAUUCCUCCACCUAACAGCAGGGACCCACCGGAUGGGCUACUGUAUUUCACGAAAAAAAUGUUUCCCUCCUGACUGCUGGGACCCACUAGCUACAUCUUCGCAUGCAAGGAAGUGCGCCCGGGCAAAAAAAUGAUUUGCCCCCUUGACGCUAGGACCCACCUGCUACAUCUUCGCACGCAAGGAAGUGCCUAACAGUCAGGACCCACCUGGUCGAAGCGUACGUAGCAUUGUCAUUCUGGUCGCGAACGUGUACGUACAUACUGGUCGAUGUAGAGGCGCGCACGAGUCAUAGUUGAGGCGCGCACGUAGCAUGUACACGUACGUACAUCGGCCAGUGUGCAAGAAAGAAAAUACGGCCACAUACGUACAUACGGGCGGGGUCUCGAACGCCUACUCGUGCAUACGUACGGCCAGGGCUCGUGUACAUGGUUGGGUCGGAACGGAGAAACUGCAUCGUCGUCGUGUUCAUGUGGCGGCAACAGAAUGCGUCGUGUUCAUCGGGAGGCAACAGAACGCGUGGGAGCCAACCGUCUUGGACAGAACAGCCGAUGGAAACGAGGCCUGGCAUACCGCAGAUCGGAGGAAACGACCUUGUGUUCGACCGGCCAUUUCCGAAACAGGAUCCUGUUCAUCGGGAGGGGUCUGGCGUACCGCAAAACAGAGAAAACGGGCUUCUGUUGGACCUCAAAAUGGGGUCUUGUUGAUCGGGAGGGGUGUGGUGUACCACAAAACAGAGGAAACAGACUUGUGUUGGAGCGCUACGGUCGAAACGGGGUUCCGGUUCAUCGUGACGGGUGUGGCAUACCGCAAAACGGGACUCCACGGGAUACUGUUCAUCUCCACCGUCGACCUCCUCUAGCCUCCACGGGCUAUUGUUCAUCCACCAUCGACCUCCUCCAACCUCCACUUGCGACUGUUCAUCCACGGGCUCCUGUUCAUCCAGCCUGCACCGUGCUAUACUACACCGGCUACUGUUCAACCAGCCCUCUCCACGGGCUCCUGUUCAACCAUCCCUCCACUGGCUACUAUUCAUCCAGCCCUUCACGGGGUCCUGUUCAUCCAGCCCCAACCGGCUCGAUCGAUCGGGGUCCUGUUCAUCCAGAGGAAACCACGGGGUCAUGUUCAUCCACCCCCACAGGGAACUGUUCAUCCAAACCCCCCAAGAAUGNNNNNNNNNNNNNNNNNNNNNNNNNNNNNNNNNNNNNNNNNNNNNNNNNNNNNNNNNNNNNNNNNNNNNNNNNNNNNNNNNNNNNNNNNNNNNNNNNNNNNNNNNNNNNNNNNNNNNNNNNNNNNNNNNNNNNNNNNNNNNNNNNNNNNNNNNNNNNNNNNNNNNNNNNNNNNNNNNNNNNNNNNNNNNNNNNNNNNNNNNNNNNNNNNNNNNNNNNNNNNNNNNNNNNNNNNNNNNNNNNNNNNNNNNNNNNNNNNNNNNNNNNNNNNNNNNNNNNNNNNNNNNNNNNNNNNNNNNNNNNNNNNNNNNNNNNNNNNNNNNNNNNNNNNNNNNNNNNNNNNNNNNNNNNNNNNNNNNNNNNNNNNNNNNNNNNNNNNNNNNNNNNNAUGCCAACUGUUCAUCCAGAGGCAGCAUCGAUUAGCUUCAGUUAGCAGCAAUAGCGAAGGAAUCACUCGGGUUCACUAAUGUAGCUAGUGCAAUCGCCCGGGUUCAGUUAGAGCCCAAUGCCUUGAUCGGGUUCAGUUAGAUCCCAACGCCUCACACACACGCGCGUACAUGUAGGAAAAUUGCCACUAUCGUAACCGAGAAAAUACUAUCUUGUGAACUCAGGCUCUACGUUUAUGCCUUAAGGUCUUUCUCCUUACCGUGGGGAGCGUACCACUUGCGUGAUUCUAGAGAAGAAGGCGGUGUCCUAACCACAAGGCGGUUAAAUUCCACUGGUGCUUGCUAGCCAGUCAAGAAUGACUCGAAGACCAUGGGAAGGAUUGCUCGGCCCCCGACCACCCACCGUAACCGAGAACUCCCCGAAAUUUUCCUCACCCUCGCUUCUACCACGGUUUUUUCCGUCAUGGACGGCCCAAAGAAUGUCAUGCAGCUACGUCUCCGGCCCGCCCAGGAUGAAAAUCCCAUUUUCUGUCAUGAUUUUUUGUCAUAGAAGUAGGAGCCCACCACAUCCAUGAUGAUACCGGGUUUUUUCACAAUUAUCGUCAUAGAAAUGUCAUAAGUAUGACAAAAAAAUUCGUUUGGCCCAAAAUGUCACGGAUGUAUCUUUUUUUUGUAGUGAUCAACCGUGUUAACUAAACACUUCCGCUUUCGGUCUACGAGGGUACGUGGACACUCUAUCCCCUCUCAUUGCUAUGCAUCACAUAGAUAGAUCUUGCGUGAUCGUAGGAAUUUUUUUUAAAUUACCGUGUUCCCCAACAUAAAAAUCUUCUUGUUAAGUACGAGGAACUUGAAAAUCGUCAUGAAAUGCUCUCAACUUCUCAUGAAAAGCUCUCCUAUGAUUAUCUUCAAAGGAAGCAAGAGCUUGAUAAAUUGAAAUCGGCUCAUGAAGAUCUUCAAAAGGAGAACGAGUCACUCCGUGUUCAAUAGAUCAGUUCCGCUCAGGAAGUAUUUGAACCACCAUGUCUAAAAUUUCUUGAGCGUGAUAAUGAUGUCUCUGUUGCUGAAUGUUCAACUGCUGCUACUGUUGCAAUAUCUUCAACUGUUAAUGUGGUAACUAACCCCUCUGCUAAGGAUACCACUACUAUUGCUGAUGAGAAUCCCAGUUAGAAGACAUUGCUUGAGACAGGAAUGUACAAAAGUCUCAAAGGGCAUCAGACACUAUGUGAUGUCGUCAAAAAACAGAUUCUAAACUGAAACCUUAGGAAAGAGGGUGUUGGGUUUGAGAGGAAAAUGAAUGUUGAUGGUUCUUACUGGAUGCCUAAGCAGUACCCCAAAACCACAUGGGUUGCUGCAAACGGACCUUCAGUGGAUCCAUCAACUUAUCUGGCUUCUCUUGUGCUAACCCAAUUAUCAUUGAUGAAUCCUUUGAUGCAACCUAUAAACUUUUCAGGAAUCAGAAUGAUGAAGUGUCUGCCAAGUAUAUUGGUACUAACUGCAGGAAUGGACCACCUCUUAAGAAGAUCUGGGUACCCAAAAGUUUUCUUGAAACUCUUCCCAUGAAUGUCAUCAUGACACCUCCGGGGAAGAAGAUAAAUCCCAGACCAAAGGCUUCAUAUGGUCGAAAGGCUUCAUACAGACAAAGGACUCACCAGAGUCACCCUAACGCCAAUGUUUUGCAGGGAAACCAUACUCAGACUCUUGAAUAUGAGCGUGUUUCGUCAAACCGCUAUGUUCAUAAGACCAAAAACUUUUCUGCUUAUUCUUAUGAGUAUUAUUCACCUCCUGCAAGGAUAUUUUCUAGAGCUCCAAAGCCGAAGUUCUCAUAUGCUUGACUUAGACUCAUUGCUUCUAAGCUUCCCCUAAAGAUGUGGGUGGUUAAGAAAACUGAACUCUCUUUUGCAGGGAAAGGUCUCCAGCUCGAAAUCAAAGGCGUCUAAUGCUUAUGCUGGGGACCUUAAACAUCUUGUGGGACGCAAGAUAAAAUGUCCAAAUGGUCUUACUAUGUAUUUCAUCUCGGGAUUCCUUGACAAUCAUCCUAUUUAUCCUAACCAAGAUCUGAACUUUCAUAUUCCGCUUAUUUGUCAAAUGUUUCUGCUUCACAAUACCCUUGGUGAAGCCUAUCCCCCAAACUGUACUGUAGGAUAUGACACCAAAGGCUUCAAAAUGGAUUAUGGAUAGUGGAUGCACUAACCACAUGACUGGUGACCGAAGUCUUCUAAUGGAUUCAACCCUACGCCCGUCUGACAAAUGUCACAUCACAUUUGCUGACACUGGUAAAAGCAAGGUAUUGGGUCUGGGUAGAGUUGCAAUAUCAAGGGAUCAACAGAUGGAUAAAGUAAUGCUUGUUGAAUCCCUUGGUUUCAACCUAAUGUCUGUCUCAAUGCUUUGUUAUCUGAACAUGAUUGUGAUAUUUGGAAAAUAUCAUUGCCUUGUGCUUAUGGAAUCUAACAAGUCUCUAGUCUUUGAAGGGUAUCGAAAAGAUGAUCUGUAUAUGGUAGAUUUCUUAGCAGGACCACAAUUGGCCGUAUGUCUUCUAGCAAAAGCUUCAGAGUGCUGGCUCUGGCAUCGGAGGCUAGUACAUACUGGCAUGAGGAACUUGUACACUCUCGCGAAGAAGAAGCAUGUCGUAGGCAUCAAGGGCAUAAAGUUCAAGAAGGAUCAUCAGUGUGGUGCUUGUGAAGCUGGGAAGAUGACUAGGGCCAAGCAUCCCUCGAAGACAAUGAUGAUGACAUCAAGUCCCUUCGAGCUGCUUCACAUGGACUUAUUCGUCCCUACUCACUACUCUACUCUUACUACCAUUUCUUGUCUCUAUGGCUUCGUUAUUGUUGAUGAUUGAUCAAGAUAUACAUGGAUGCAUAUAAUCCUCUACAAGAAUUAAGUGGAGGAUGUCUUCAGACGAUUCGCCAAUCGUGCCAUGACAAACUAUGGCAUCAAGAUCAAGCACAUCAGUAGUGACAACAUCACAGAAUUCAAGAACACCGGCCUCGACACUUAUCUUGAUACACUUGGCAUCACUCAUGAGUUCUCAGCUCCUUACACACCUCAGCAGAAUGGCAUCAUGGAGCGCGAGAAAAGAACCCUCAUUGAGAUGGCUCGGACGAUACUUUGAUGAGUACAAGACUCCAAGGAAGUUAUGGCCUGAAGCCACUGAUAGUGCAUGCCAUGUCAUCAACCGUGUUUAUCUUCACAAGCUUCUAAAGAAGAGAUCAUAUGAGUUGCUAACUGGUAAGAAGCCAAACAUCAGUUACUUCAAAGUAUUUGGUGCUAAGUGUUGGAUUAAGGAUCCGCAUCACACUUCAAAAUUUGCACCGAAAGCACAUGAAGGUUUUAUGCUUGGAUACGGAAAGGAUUCACACUCCUACAGAGUCUUCAACCUCUUUCACUAUAAAGUGGUUGAAACUAUGGAUGUGCGGUUCGAUGAGACUAACGGCUCGCAAAGAGAGCACCUGCCAAAUGUGCUAGAUGAAGUCCCUCCUAGUGAAUCUAUCAAGCUUAUGGUUACUGGAGAAAUCAUACCUUCAGAAGCUCAGGCUGAAGAAGAAAUCAUCAUUGCACCAAAAUCAACCUGAAGACAAUGGCAACCUAAAGUCAAUGCUGAAGCUGAAGACAAUGAUCUGCUAGGGCAAAUCUUUGUCCAGUACAUCGAAGAGUUGCAAAUGAAGUACAGAUUGAGAAGAUAAUUGAUAGCAUCAAUGCACCUGGUCCACUCACUCAUUCUAGAGCAACACAGCUAGCAAAUUUGUGUGAGCACUUUGCUUUUGUCUCUAUAUCUGAACCCAAGAAAGUUGCUGAAGCCUUCAUGGAACCUGAGUGGAUUCAAGCUAUGCAAGAAAAGCUUCAUCAGCUCGAGCUGAACAAUGUAUGGGAACUGGUCAAGUUUCCUGAUCCUCGCAAGCACAAUAUCAUUGGCACCAAAUGGAUCUAUCACAACAAACAAGAUGAGCAUGGUCAAGUUGUCAAAAACAAGGCUCGUCUAGUUGCUCAAGGUUACAAUCAAGUAGAAGGUAUUGACUUUGAUAAAAUAUUCGCUCACGUGGCAAGGCUUGAAGCAAUUCCCAUAUUGUUAGCGUAUGCCAACCAUCACAACAUUAUUCUAUACCUAAUGGAUGUGAAGAGUGCCUUUCUCAAUGGCAAGAUUGAAGAAGAAGUACAUGUUGCACAACCACCUGGCUUUGAAGAUCCAAAACAUCCUGAUAUGGUAUACAAGCUCAACAAGGCACUAUAUGGCCUGAAACAAACUCCUCGCGCUUGGUAUGACACACUCAAAGACUUCCUGAAGAGCGAAGGAUUCAAACCUUAUUCUCUAGAUCCUACACUCUUCACGAAGACAUAUGACGGCGAACUGUUUGUGUGCCAAAUCUAUGUGGAUGACAUUAUCUUCGGCUGCACUAACAAAAGAUACAGUGAUGAGUUUGGGCACAUGAUGCAAGAGCAAUAUCAGAUGUCCAUGAUGGGUGAGCUGAAAUUUUUCCUCGUUCUUCAAAUCAGUCAGCAGAGCAACGACACCUUCAUAUCUCAAGAAAAAUACCUCAAAGAUUGCCUGAAGAAGUUUGGAAUGCAAGACUGCAAAGGAUACACGACACCAAUGCCAACCAAAGGUCAUCUGGGCCCUGACGACAAUGGUAAAGAGUUCGAUCAAAAGGUAUACCCCUCCAUGAUUGGUUUUUUACUUUACUUAUGUGCAUCUAGGCCAGAUAUAAUGCUUAGCAUUUGCAUGUGUGACCGAUUCCAAGUGGCACCAAAGGAGUCGCAUCACCUAGCGAUGAAGCGAAUACUUCGACAUUUGGCUUACACCCCAACAAUAGGAUUAUUAUUUUUUUGACUGAACACUGUAGGGAAAGCCCGCACAGCCCUUUAUUGACUUAUCAAAAAUAAUUACAAUAAUUACAAAUGCUACCAGGAGUAGCAAGAGAAAAAGUGAAAAGCUAAAAUAAAACAAUUACAUUUAAGGAGGGAGGAAGGAGACCCAUCUAAUCAGGCCUUCCUUGUAUCUAACCUUGAUUUUAUGAGAGAGUAAAAGCAUAUCAUUCACAAAAGCUCCUCUCCACCUAUUAAAACUAGGCCUUUCCUUUCGAAAAACCUUUCCAUUCCUGAUGAUCGAAAUGUUCCAGCAAGCAAUAAAGACCACUUCAGCAAAGAAAGGAUGAGCAAAGUUCCUCCUUGAAUUGAGCACAAUCUGACUCAUGUCAUUCCCAGCUUCCCAAUCAAUCUGGAGGAAGUUCCAAACCCUCUGACUGAAAUUACAAUUGAAGAAUAGGAGAUCUCUAUUUUCCCUGGUGUGAGUGGGACAAAGCACACAAUUGACUCCAUCAUCUAUAUGCCAAUGCCUUCUUUCCACCAUAUCCUUGGUGUUGAGCCUAUCCAUUAUUAACAACCAAGCAAAUACCUUAAUCUUCAUGGUACAACAGCUCCUCCAAAUCCAAGUCAAAAAAGGAUUAAAAGUAUGAUGAAUGAACCUGGAUACAUAAAACUGUUUAGGAGUAUAGUGUUUGUGAGAGCCAUGCCAAUACCAAACAUCCUUCAAGUCAGAGUCCCUUUCAUGGUGCAACAUAAGAGAUUUCAAAACCAAGAGCUCAUUGUGAGCCUGCUCUGAAAGUUGAAGAUGGAACCAAGAGAUCAGAUCUAGGGCAGAAAAUCCCUCCUUGACUGUAACCAGAGCAUCUUUGACAAAAGAAAAUAACCUAGGAAACCUGUGCUGCAAAGGCCAAACAGAGUUUCCAAUCAGCCAUUUAUCCUGCCAGAAAAGAGCAGUAUCCCCUUCAUUAACCUUGACCCAUGUGACUUCUCUGAAUUGAUCCAAAAGUUUAAGGACAUCCUUCCACCAAAAAGAUCCACAUGGUGCAGUUCCUUGUGGGAUAAGAUCAUGGUAAUAUGAGUUCCAAAUUAGAUGAACCCAAGGAACAUCAGCCUUGUUGAGGAACUUAUUCACAUGUUUCAGAAGAAGGGCCACAUUUUGAAUGCCAAGAUCCAGAAUACCCAGCCCUCCUUUGUUUUUGGGUCGACAAAUCAAAUCCCAAGCAGCAAGAGAAGGAGCUGCUUCUUGCCUAUUUUUCCUCCACAGGCACUGCCUUUGAAUUCUCUGAAGUUGCUUCAAAAUACCAGGGGCAAUGAGCAAGCUGCAAAGGAAGAAAAUAGGCAAGGAGGACAAAGCAGAAUUCAAGUACUGUAAUCUUCCACCCUGAGCAAGAAAAGAUGAACUAGCAGACAUUCUUCUCUCCAUACAGGUAACCAGAGGCAGCACAUCAGACAUUGCAGGCCUGGAAGUUCCAACAGGCAGACCAAGGUAUGUAAAUGGCAUCUUGCCCACCUGACAACCAAAGAGGGAUGCCAAUCUUUGGGUUUCCUCCUGGGAAACAUUUAUUGGGAUCAUGGAAGACUUAUGGUAAUUAACCUCCAGGCCAGUGGACUGUGAAAAACCCAGCAAGAUUUUUUGAGAGCCAAGAGCUGAGCUUCAUCAGCAGGAACCACAAUCAAGGUGUCAUCAGCAUAUUGCACAAUUGGAUAGUCCUUGUCAUGAGAAGGAAAAGGCAGUUUAAUUUCCCCUCUGUUGUGCAUAUCAUUUACCAUAGAUUGCAAGAGAUCUGCAACAAGAACAAAAAGAAGAGGAGAUACUGGGUCUCCUUGCCUGACACCUUUUUUACAUACAAUUUUUUCCCAGGCACCCCAUUGAGCAGAACAGAGGAAGUCCCAGAAGACAAGAGAGAUUUAACCCAACCAAUCCAUUUGUCAUUAAAGCCCUUGUGUCUCAUGAUUUGAAAGAUAGCUUCAUGUUCAAUGGAAUCAAAAGCUUUCUCAAAAUCAAGUUUGAGAAUUAGAAUUGGCCUUUUAGACUGGUGACAUUGAUGCAGAUAUUCCAAAGUCCACCCAAUGCAAUCUUGUAUGGUCCUAGAUUUAAUGAAACCAUACUGGUUCUUAUGGAUGCACAUCAUUAUCAAUUCCUGAAAUCUAUUGGCCAUCAUUUUGGACAAAAACUUAAUGCCCAUGCCAGUCAAAGAAAUAGGCCUAUAAUCACCAACCAAUUCAGGUGAAAGUUUCUUAGGAAUCAAGGUGAUGAAAGACUCAUUGAUGUUCUCCAAGUUGGCUUUGCCAUCAUAAAACUCCUGGGCUAAAGCAUAAAACUCAUGCUUUGACAUCAUUAAUGUAUCCAAAGGGCUCAACAUUUGAUCUGAUUGGAUAUUCUGAUGUUGAUUAUGCUGGUGACAAGGUUGAUCGCAAGUCCACUUCAGGAACAUGUCACUUUCUUGGACGAUCUCUUGUUUGUUGGUCUUCAAAGAAGCAGAACUGUGUAUCAAUCUCCACUGUUGAAUCUGAAUAUAUUGCUGCUGGAUCGUGUUGUGCUCAGCUCCUCUAGAUGAAGCAAACUCUCAAGGACUAUGGCAUCCACACGAAGAAUGUGCCACUCUUCAAUGACAUAGAAAGCACCAUCAAGCUUUCCAAGAAUCCAGUUCAGCACAUUCUGAUCCGUCAUCACUUUAUCAGAGAUCAUGUCAACAAAGAAGAUAUUGAUAUCAUUCGCGUCAACACUGAAGAGCAAUUGGCAGAUAUCUUCACAAAGCCCUUGGAUGAGAAAAGGUUUUGCAUGUUGCGAUGUGAGCUAAAUAUCUUAGAAUCCUUAAAUGUCAUGUAGUUGGACACACAUCCUAACGCUUAUGCAUGUUGGUGACUUAGAUGUGCAACACACGAAGUAACAUAUAUCUUCAAUCAAUGAAGACCUACCCUUUGAGUGUGAAUACAUUAUCAUGGAAUUUGACUUCGGAGCGCCAUGAUAAUUGUGCGCCCUGGGUCUAAUACUUCCUAUACGGUGGGUAACGCCACCACCAAAAUUCUUAUUGAAGUGUUUCUCUUGGCAUCAUGGUUGCAUAGUCUUCGCAUUUGGUUUGUCUUCAACAUUGAUUUGACUUCAAGGUUUAUCUUCACCAUGUUGAGUUGAUAUAUAUAUAUAUAUAUAUAUAUAUAUAUAUAUAUAUAGUUGGUUGUGUUCUGUCCUCUACAACAUUCACUUAUAGCCAUGUCUUCAUUCUUGAAUCUUUAUUGAUGUAAGUGAAUAUGAUUGGACCCUAACCUAUUCUGUGCUUCUACCUCAAAAUCUAUCUGUCCAAAUCAUAUGCAUUCUAUUGAAAGUUGUCAGUUGUCUUCUCUAAGUCCUUGUCAGCAGAAGACAACGUGACAAACAUUUAAAUCUGCUUUUAAUGUUGUAUCCUUACUGCCUGAAUACCGAAGAAGCUGGAACGACCACCCAACAAUCCAGGCAUGCGUCGGAACAUGGAAAAACUUUCAAUGAGUUGCAUGCAUGCCAGGUGUCCCUCACGUGUGAACCGCGAGGGGCACCUGAGUAAUUGCGCUACGCCGCCUGUUGGGGAUAUUACCACUAGGCGUAAACCGGCCUACUUGGGCCGGGUUAACUUCAUUAGUGGUAUAAGCAGGUGAAGGCCCAAGGCCUAUAGUCGCUUUAGAAUCUGUAGCCGUAAACCGACCUGAUGUAUAACUUGUAUUGUAAGUUAGGAAUAGAGAGAUACCAACCGGGAUAUGAAUAUGAACCGGUUGGGACUCUAUGGACCGACGGGCGUCACCCGUGUAUAUAAGGGGGCGACCCGGCGGCGGUUCAGGACAGACAACGACAACUCGAGCCUGUGCGAAGCUUGUUUGCUCCCUAGCCAUCGAGACCAUAUCAAUUCCAUCACAACUAGACGUAGGCUUUACCUUCAUCGAAGGGGCCGAACUAGUAUAGAACCCUCGUGUCUUUGUGUCCGCUUUAACCCCUUCAAGUAAACCCGUGGCGAUGGCUCCACGACUAAGUCCUUUCCCUAGGACAUCUGCCGUGACAAAUCCACGACAGUUGGCGCCCACCAUGGGGCUAUCGCACGAUGGUUUGACGAUCUUGGAGGGCAAGCUCAAAGGACUCGAAGGCUAUGCUGUGGGCCAGAUGACCAAGAAUCAUCGUGGCAAGAUCUACAUCGACGACGCAGGAUGGGGUCCCGAGGCCGAUUCGAUUGAGUACGGGUACCGGGUCCCCUUUGGUGGCAUACACGUUUUCAUCGGCAAGAUCGGUAAGCCGGGGCCUGAGCCAGACAUCUGCAUCGACCUCGUCGAGACAGCUCAGCGUGCGAGAUCUACCCAGGCUAAACCGGCCGUGAAGCGUGCCUUCGUUGGAGUCAUCCACGGAGGAGGGCGUAAGGACGAGUCAGAACACGGUAGCGAGGUAGUCGUCUAUUCCGGCGACGAGUCCUCGACCGGAGAGACCGAAUCACUAUACCAGUUACAAGACGACCAGGUUAGGGGCUGUUCCGAUGGCGACAGUAUUCCGGACCCCCCAGGCCAGGUCAACCGGGUUGGAAUAUUCAUGGCCGGCACACAGGCGGCGAAUCAUUCUUCGACCGCCGCAGCAAUGCUCUCCGGAUCAGCAGGGGCAGGAGGCCUUGUGCGCCCGCCGGUUCAAGUUCUAUCUGAUCUAUUUGAUACACUAGCCGCGCUCAUGGCAGAGGACAAUCCGGCGGAUCAGGAGGCCCAUAAUACAGAAAUUGCAAAGGUGAGAGAGCAGAUCAUGCAAGCGAAAGGGGAUCUGGCCGCAGAAAAAGACAGGAUGGCCGCAGAGCGGGCCGCUUUGGACGCCCAGGCUUAUAAGCUCAUGCUUGACCAGAACGCGUCAUAGGAGGUCUUAAAGCGGAAGCACAGGUCACGCCUGCCGUUAGGGUUUGAUCCCCGGAAUCUCUUUCACACUCCAGGAGCUGGACCCAGUAAUCCGCCACGGCACCUGGAGACAAACCGGAUUGAGGCACCAAGACCAGGGGGGACGGUCCAACCUCGCCUGAUGGAACCUCCUCCCCAGAACAUUGCGAUUUUCCGCCGGUCCAGACGCCCCCAUGUCAUUAUUCUAAUCCUAUGGACAACCUUGUUGCGGCCGCCGCGCGAUUAGAGGCUAUCCCAGUCGAAGGGGACUCUCCGCAAGCGAUAGAGACGCGCCGGGUUAAGGAGCUUCUUCGGACCGCGCUGAUUCAGCAGGAAGCAUACUCGUACAGCCGUGAUCGGAUUCACUCUACGCCCCGUCCAAGCCAGAGCUAUAGCAGGCGCAUGGAUGAACCGGCCAUAUUGAGCAAUGCGCGAGGCCAUGAAGCAGCCCAUGGCAAUAGCCCGGCAGGCGGUGUUCGCGAUGCUCAGGAUGUGGUGGACCGGGCCCGGGCACGGAGGGAAGCCGAGUUAGCAGCGCAGGAUGAUGCGGAUCAACUUACACCGGUUCGCCCUACCACCUUCGCCGGACUAGGAGUCGCAUCCGCUUUGGGAGUGCCUUGUUUAAUCCCCGCUUUACGCAAUGUGCGCCUGCCCAAAGAUUUCAAGGGUCCACGAUAGGUGCCGAAUUACACCGCUGAUUUAUCCCCUGAAGCGUGGAUAGAGAGUUAUGAGAUGGCCAUGGAGAUGUUAGACGUGGAUGAGACCGCAUGUGCAAAAUACUUCACCAUGAUGCUUGAAGGCACGGCGCGUACCUGGUUGAAGAGCCUACCGCCCAAUUCUGUCAGCUCAUGGGCCCAGUUGCGGGCCCGGUUUAUCCAGAAUUUCAAGGAUACGUGUAAGCAGCCCAAAUCCAUAGUAGACCUGGCGGCUUGUGUCUAGGGGGAAGGAGAAUCAACGACCCAUUGGGUGCACCGCGUUUCAGAAAUUUUGCACUCGUCCGACAGGAUUAAUGCUGACUCUGCGAUCUUAACCCUGGAAGGCAACUGCCGGUUUGAGCCUUUAAAAUUGAAAUUGGGACACAUGAAGCGGUUCUGUAAUGACAUGGGAACCCUCAUGGCUGCGCUAGUGAAGUAUGCUGAUUCAGACAGUACCAAGGAUCCCGAGACUGAUGAUGAUGAAGCAGGGAAGGGAAGGAAGAAUAGCAACUCCAAACAGCAGCAGUAUAAACUGGCGGGUCAUGGAAACGGAGGCAAGCGCAAGGCGGAUGGCAGCAUGGACUUUGUGGCCAACACUAAUGCACAGGACAGGGGGCAGCGGCGCAGAGGUAAAGUGGCAAAUCGUAAUGGGGCUCCCAAUCCUAACGCAAGCCGCUUGAGUUAUUUGAUGAAUCAGCCUUGCCCGAAGCACGGGACGAAGGAGGCGCCGGCUAACCAUCUUUGGAAGGAUUGUUAUAUCAUGCAGGAGUUUAAAAACUCUAAUGCCUUCCGGUAUGAUCACGGGUCAGGUUGCGGUUCAGGAUCCGUUUUUCGUGGGCCGGAUCACGAUGGAGCUUCCGGUUCAGGUCGCAAUCAGGGCAGUCACAAUCACCAGAAUAAUCAGAACGGCCAGCAGCAGCAGCAGCAGUCGGGUUAUCAGAGCCAGCCAAAACAGUUGAACAAUGGGCAAUAUCAUGUUUUCACAACUAGCUUGGAUAAACGCGACCGAAAACUCCACAAGCGAGCGGUGAAUUCUGCUGAACCGGCCUUACCACGUUACUUGCGCUGGUCGGAACAACCUAUCGUGUGGAGCAGAGAGGAUCACCCGCCCCGGGUUGAUAAUCUGGGCCAGCUAGCAUUAGUGGUAGACCCUCAGGUGGGGGGUUAUAAAUUCACCAAGGUACUCAUGGAUGGAGGAAGCAGUAUUAACAUACUAUACUAUGAGACAUUCCAUCGCAUGGGUUUAACAGACAAAGAUCUCAGACCGUCUAAUACGGUGUUCCAUGGUGUGGUGCCUGGCAAAUCUGCAUAUCCUGUUGGUAAGAUAGCCCUGGACGUGGCUUUUGGGGACGAGCACGACUCCCGGUCGGAAAAACUAACAUUUGAGGUGGUGAAGAUCGAGAGCCCAUAUCAUGCCUUGUUUGGCCGGCCGGCUUACGCCAAGUUCAUGGCGCGGCCUUGUUAUAUCUACUUGCAGCUCAAGAUGCCGGGUUACAAAGGGACAAUAACGGUUCAUGGGAGCCGUAGGGUCGCUUUGGAAUGUGAGGAAGGUGAUGCGGCUUAUGCAGAGUCGGUCUGUGCCACGGAGGAGUUGAAGUACUAUAAGGACAAUGUUGAUCCAGCGGAUAUGACCCCUUUGAAGAAGCCAACUACAGAGCAUGAUUCGGAUCUGAAGUUCAAAUCGGCAGCUGAGACCAAGCUUGUUGACUUCGUGCCCGGCGAUUCGUCCAAGCAGUUCACUGUCAGUACCAAUUUGGAUCCCAAAUAGGAAAGCGCGCUCAUCGAGUUCAUCCGUGAGAAUCGGGACAUCUUCGCAUGGAAACCAUCCGACAUGCCAGGUGUACCAAGGGAACUUGCUGAGCACACUCUUAAUGUGGAUCCUAGGUAUAAACCGGUGAGGCAAUUCCUCCGCCGGUUUAACGAGGAAAGGCGAAAGGCCAUUGGAGAGGAAGUGGCCAGGCUUUCGGCAGCUGGCUUUAUCAUUGAGGUGUUCCAUCCAGAGUGGCAUGCUAAUCCGGUGCUGGUUCUUAAGAAAAAUGGCACUUGGCGUAUGUGUGUGGAUUACACAGAUCUUAACAGGGCCUGUCCAGCGGAUCCUUUUGCCCUCCCCCGCAUUGACCAGAUCAUUGAUGCCACAGCGGGUUGUGAGCGUUUGAGUUUUUUGGAUGCAUACUCUGGAUAUCAUCAGAUCAAAAUGGCGGUUAAGGACCAGGAGAAAACAGCGUUUAUUACUCCCUUUGGAGCCUUCUGCUAUGUAUCUAUGCCCUUCGGACUCAAGAGUGCCCAAGCCACCUAUCAACGGUGUGUACAGAAUUGCUUGCAUAAACAGAUCGGUCGCAAUGUGCACGCUUAUGUGGAUGAUAUUGUAGUAAAAUUAAGGCAGAAGGAGACGCUGGUGGAUGACUUGAAGGAAACCUUUGACAACUUGCGGGUUUACAAGAUGAUGCUUAAUCCGGCCAAGUGUGUUUUUCGUGUUCCGGCAGGCAAGUUACUAGGUUUCCUGGUGUCUAAUAGAGGAAUUGAGGCUAAUCCGGAGAAGAUUACAGCUAUCACCUCCCUGGCUAAACCGAAGUGCAUCAAUGAUGUUCAGCGCUUGGCGGGCCGAAUCGCCGCACUAAGCCGGUUUAUCAGCCGCCUCGGAGAAAAGGCCAUUCCUUUGUACAAAAUGUUGAGGAAGACAGACCAUUUCAUUUGGAGUCCGACUGCUGAUGAAGCAUUUGAGGACUUGAAGCAGCAGUUAGCCAAUCCUCCUGUCCUUGCAGCUCCGGUUGACAAGGAGCCACUAUUAUUAUACGUAGCAGCCAAUGCUCGGGCAGUUAGCGUGGCUAUUAUGGUGGAACGCAAGGAGGCAGGCAAGGAGUAUCCGGUUCAGCGUCCGGUUUAUUAUAUCAGCGAAGUGCUUAUUGAAUCCAAGCAAAGGUAUCCGCACUGGCAGAAGCUGGUCUAUGGUGUUUUCAUGGCCAGUCGGAAGUUGAAGCAGUAUUUUCAAGGGCAUCCCAUCACAGUGGUCAGUUCAGCUCCCUUGGGUGACAUCAUACAGAACCGGGAGGCGACUGGCCGGAUUGCCAAGUGGGCUAUAGAGCUUGGGCCACACGGACUGAAGUAUGUACCUCGGACGGCGGUGAAGUCUCAAGCACUUGUUGAUUUCAUCAAUGAUUGGACGGAGUUACAAGCACCAGAGGAGAAGCCGGAUCACACAUAUUGGACUAUUCAUUUUGAUGGAUCCAUGCAACUGGAAGGCUCGGGGGCUGGAGUCGUAUUAACUUCCCCACGAGGUGAUAAGUUUUGUUAUGUUCUCCGCUUAAUGUUCCCUUGUACUAAUAAUGCAUCUGAGUACGAAGCCUUGCUCCAUGGUCUCCAGAUGGCUAAAGAGAUGAACUUAAGCCGGGUUAAGUGCUUCGGUGACUCGGACCUCGUGGCUCAACAGGUGUCUGGCACUUGGGAUUCUAAGGACCCGCUCAUGGCUGCAUAUCGUCGGGAGGUGGAUAAUAUUGCGGGUUGUUUCAAGGGUUAUCAAGUGGAUCAUGUGGACCGUCGGAAGAAUGAAGCGGCGGACGCUUUAAGCCGGUUGGGUUCUCAGCGUAAACCGGUCCCGCCUAAUGUCUUUCUGGACGUGUUGCACAACCCGUCAGUCCAGCUCCCAGGGGAAGCGGAUUUGGCUAUUCCUGAUCCAGAGGCUCAAUUGGUGGCAGCAUUGCAUGCUAUUCCAGAUUGGGCGGUUCCUUAUCUUACGUACAUGAACCGGGGGGAGUUACCAGAGGAUAAGAUUCUAGCCAGGCAGAUAGUCCGGCGAUCCAAGUCUAUGACGAUUGUUAAUGGUGAAUUGCAUCAUUGCGGUGUAUCAGGGGCGUUUCAACGUUGUGUUUCUCCUGAGGAAGGCUGUGAAAUAUUAAGAGAAAUCCAUGAAGGGGAUUGUGGACAUCACGCCGGUUCAAAGUCUCUGGUAGCAAAGGCGUUUCGUCACGGGUUCUACUGGUUGACAGCGCAUGCUGACGCGGAGGACUUGGUUAAACGGUGUGAUGGAUGUCAGAAAUUUUCAAGGCGUGCUCAUGUGUCGGCUUAAGAAUUGAGGAUGAUCCCAAUAACGUGGCCGUUUGCAACUUGGGGGCUGGAUAUGGUCGGACCUUUUAAAAGAUCCAAGGAUAAGAAAACCCACCUUUUGGUGGCAGUUGAUAAAUUUACCAAGUGGGUUGAAGCGGAGCCUGUCAGCAAGUGUGAUGCAGCAACAGCGGUGCAGUUCAUCAAAAAGGUGAUUUCCCGGUUUGGUUUUCCACACAGUAUCAUUACUGACAAUGGUACCAAUUUAUCCAAGGGCGCUAUGAAGGAGUUCUGUGAACGUGAGCACAUCCGACUUGACGUGUCGUCAGUGGCACACCCCCAGUCCAAUGGACAGGCAGAACGAGCUAAUCAGGAAAUCUUGCGAGGCAUAAACCCCGGCUUAUGGUCCCAUUGCAAAGAAAACCAGGAUGUUGGGUUGAAGAGCUACCAUCUGUGUUAUGGAGUACCAAUACUACGCCAAACCGGUCCACAGGAUACACACCAUUUUUUAUGGUCUAUGGAGCAGAGGCAGUUCUCCCUAGUGAUAUCCGGCACGAUUCGCCUCGUGUGGCAGCUUAUGUUGAAGCGGACAAUGAGACAGCACGGCAAGACGCUUUGGACCUAUUGGACGAGGAGCGUGAUAUAGCGGCUGCCCGUUCGGCGAUUUACCAGCAAGAUCUUCGUCGCUAUCACAGUCGCCGGGUUAGAACCAGAACUUUUGAAGAAGGAGAUUUGGUGCUUCGACUCAUCCAAGAUCAGACGGAUAUGCACAAGUUAUCCCCACCUUGGGAGGGACCUUUCGUGGUCAGCAAGAAUUUGCACAACGGGUCAUACUAUCUGAUUGAUAUUCGAGAGCAUAAAGACUCACGUACAUCAGAGGAGGAGACCAACAGGUCGUGGAAUAUAGCUCAUCUUCGGCCUUACUACACUUGAGCCAUCGGCUCUAUCUAUGUACAUAUCAUGACAGUGUAUAUAUUAUCUUUGAUAUAAUAAAACCGGAGCCUCAGCUAAAGCGGGGUCUCUGUCUUUCUUAUCAUGUGUGGUUACCUGGAGUGGUUCUGUUUUUAAAGCGGCCUCCGGUUUUCCCCUUGACAUUUGCUUUUUAUAUAUCACUUGGGGCCUUGGUCGUGUCCGAACCAACGCGACACCUUUUGAUAGGCGACAACCACCAUAUCACUUGGGGACAUGGUCACGUCUAAACCAGUCACGCCUCUUGAUCGGCCUAAGGCCACAAAAUCACUUGGGGGCUUGGUCGAACCCGAACCAUUGCCACGCCUCUUGAUCUAGCAUAUAUGCCACGAAUCAUUUGGGGACCUGGCUGACUUGAAUCAUUGUCACUCCUAUUGGGGGCUUGGUCCUGUCCGACCAUGCUAACACCAUCUGAUCAGCUCAGUAUAGCAUAUUUUUUGCAAAUGGUUUUUAUCAUUGCAUUUGCUUCCAUGUUAUUUUCAUGGUUUGUUUGUUCUUUGUUUUUGUUGGAUUUCUUUUAUGUCAGCAAACCCCCUUUUUCCGGUUCAGCCGAUGGAUUUGUUUCCCCUUUAAUCCGGAGAAGUAUGCCCGGUUUACCUUUUCUUUUACGGGAGCUAUUUUCUCCCCCCUUAUUGACGGUAAUGGUUUAUAAAACCUCCGCUUCAAGCUUGGCUAAGUCAGCUUCAUGCCCAGACAUGGCAGGAAAUAUGAAUUGAAGUUUUUCGAACAAAAGCUUCAGUACUUAUGCGCGAAGGCAUAUUCAAGGCAGAAGUAUUAACUAUUCUAUUACAAGGCAGCACGGUGCCCAAAUAAGAUCGUUGUUCUUUUGGAAAGAUGCCAAAGACAGCUAUCCAAACCGGCUUCCGGUUCAAGCCUGCUCCUCAUCAUCCACCACUUCAGCUUCCUCGUCUCUACCCAUUGGCUGGAAAUCAACAGUGGUCCAGUCGAUUCCCAUUAAAGCUUGGAAAACAGCCUCUUCAUGGAUUAGGGAAGACGGUUCAAUAUCAGGAGCGUAAGUGUGCUUAUGGAUUGGACGGAUCAGAUUCUCCGCUUCAAGAGUUGGGGCAGGCACUCGCUUGUUCUGGUCAUUGUAUUAUGCUUGAUAAUGCGUCAAGUCUGCCUCUUCAGCUAGCUGACAAGCCAGAGGGCGCACUGCACGGUUUAUUGCCCUUAAAUCCUCUUCGUUAAAUUCAGAGCCAUCUUCCUUCAGGCUGGGAUAGCCUUGAGAUGCUUCCACAGGGUCGAAAUCUGGCACCCAUGCCUUUGCCCGGAUCAAAGCGUUAAUAGCUCCGGUUCGAGCAGCAGAUUUCUUCAGCUCCUCCAUCCGGGCCGGAAGCAUCGACAACCUGUUAAGAGUGUCCUGGAUUAAAGAAGGUGCCGGGUUAUUAUGAGAGGCUGUGGUGAUGAUCCGCUGGGCUCCGGUAUAUAAUUGUUCCACUAAGGUGUAGGCAGCCUUCAGUUUCUUCCGCACAUCAUUUCCUAAGUGCCCAAUGCGUGUGCCUACAACAAUACAGGGACGGUCUCACACCGGAUUUACAUUACAGCAGGUUCAAAUUAUCACAGAAGUUAAAAGGAGCUUACCAAAGAUUGCAGCGGUCAUGGAGUGUAUUUGCUGCUUUACGGUCGUAAGUUCAUCCACCACCGGUUUAAGGGCAGCUUCAGCAUUUUCCGCUCUUUUGGUUAAAGCAGCCUUCUCAGUGGCCCAAUCAGCCCGCUCUUUCUUGAAGCCCUUAUUCAGCUGUUCAGCGGUGCUCAAGGCGCUGGUAGUUCUUCCUUUGCCUUGUCUGUUUCAGCCUGUUGGGUUUUCAAGGCCUCCUGCAAAUCGGCAAUCCGGUCCUCCUUGAUUCUCACCUCAGCCUGCAUACAGACAGCAUUUAGUUUUCAAACAAACGGUCCAAAGAAAUUGAAGUAUCAACCACAUAAACAAAGUUAUACGCCUGAUACUUGGGGGCUAAUGCACCUUCAAUUUUCAUCAAGUUAUUAGAUUGCGAAGUCCCAAGCUCAAUACAGGUAUUCAACUUGGCACUUGGGGGCUAUAUUAAUGGAUUUCAAAAGUGUUGGGGAUCAUAUUCAAGUCCCGGUUUGACAAAAGCUACAAACCGACCCUUGGGGGCUAGGAGGAUUGGUGCAAAGGCAGGCAGUAAAGAAGUAAGUUACCUCAAAUUUAUCCCUCAUCAUUUUUACCAGACCAGCUUCACAGUCACGGCUAGUAUAAAGCCGGUUUAGAUAGCCGGAAUGAAGAUCUUGGGCGCUCAGAGCAGCAUAUGUCUCCAGUUCAACAACCCAUUUUUCUUUAUUCAGAGCGGAAAAAUCCUCUUUUAUGGUAUGCUUGGUUAAGGUGACAGGAUUCCCGGGUUCAAAGCGGCCUACACCGGUAAUCACAACAUCAUCAUCUUUGGACUCGCUGGUUUGUGUGAUCAGUUUGUCAACAGGACUGUGGGAUUUCUCAAUCCGGACGGAGCUGACAGGCGGGUCAGCAGAGACUGAAGUAUUAAUAGGCCUCUCUUCGGGAAUAGCAUCGUCUUGUAAAGGAGGAUCAUUGGGAAUAUCCUCAAGAGCAAAUGCCUCAAGAUCUGGCGUUUUGUCAUGUUCUUGGGCUACAUCCUCUUCGGCCGCUUUAUCCAGGCGGGCUUUCUUGCUCGGUUUAGGUUUGUCCCUGAAAGAAAACCAAAGAGUCAAGGAAAAGCAUAAGCCAUUACACAGUGUACUGGAAACAUAUGUUCAGCUUAGCUUACCCAAGAACCGUUUUUAACGGUGGCAGCUGAGUGGCCGAUGAUUCACCAGAAGAUGAAUGAGAAGUAACCUGAUAAUUGGAGUUAGAUGGGUUAAGAGGUUGACGGAAGAAACCCGCUUUAGGAUGUAAAUCAACAAAAAGGUCAGAGACAUCGGAUAACCGGACUGUUUGGUAAACCGGUGGAGGUAACUACCUGGCCAUUGUGCCGGGUUGUGCGGCGAACUUCAUGUUGCUGAAUCUUCAUAUGAAAUUUAGGAUCCAAAUAAGCAAGAGGAUGAGAAAAUUUAACUUUCCGGUUUGCCUGUCGAAGUUUUGGCAAAGGCAAGAUUUCUGAAUCGGAAGAGAGAAUAGUUACCUCAACGAAUUCCGCAUUGCUGGCUUCAACGUCAUCCUGACAAGCAUCAUCAUCAAUAAGGCGUGUAAAAAAUAAGCCAAGCGAGUCAAGUUCUACCUCAAGGUCCGGGUUACCCACAUCAUCAUCAAUAGCUGGAUCAGAUGAAGCGGUGGUUUUUCUCUUAUGAGCUCGCUUAUUAAUAACCUUGGUCUUGGGACGGAUUGGCCGCCCUGCUUUCUCCGUUUUUUCUUGAGGAAGUUUCUUGCUCCAAAACGGAUUAUCGCCCUGGAUCAGCAGUAAUUAAAUGUCAAACAUAUAAAGCAGUAACCGGUUCAACAAUAGAGCAAUUAAAAUAUUACCGCUGGCGGUUUGUUGGUGGUGCAGUAAGGAGGCAGACCGCUUUGAGCACAGAGGUGCUCCGGUUCAUUCAGCAUCUUUUUCACAGAUUAUGUGACUUCGUCAUAGGGGAGUUGGAUUUUAGUGUGUCGGAGUGGGUCAUCGACACUAUCAGUAUACUUGCACAUCAAAUUGGAGCGCCGGCUCAGAGGCAGUAUGCUCCAUGAUAUCUAGCAGCGUGCAAGAUCUAUUCCCGUUAAGCCGUUGGCCAUAAAAGCUCGGAGUUUGGACAGUUGCGGAGCGUAUUUAAUUCUUUCCUUGGCGCUUAGUCUAUGUGGAAAAGGGUGCGUGUUGCUGAGCCGUUCCGGACGGAAACCAGGCAAGGGAUUUUCAUUGUCAGGGGAGGUAUCCUUGCAAUAAAACCAAGUUGCAUUCCACUCCUUGGGGUGAGUAUGGAGUUUGACGUGGGGAUAAGUGAUUUCCUUCCUCUUCUGAAUGGCCAUACCGCCCAAUUCAGUGUUGGGGCCAUCGGUGAAUUCAGUGCGACGGUUUAAAUGAAAGAGGUCUCUAAACAAUUCGACUUAAGGCUCCUCUUGAAAGUAUACCUCAGAGAGCACUUGAAAGUGGCAUAGAUUGGUAACAGAGUUGGGGCCAAUAUCCUGUGGACAGAGCUGAAAAUUGGCUAAUAGAUCCCGGUAAAAUUUAGAGCCGGGCGGUUUGAAGCCCCGGGCCAAGUGAUCUGCGAAGACUACAACCUCUCCUUCCUGGGGGGUAGGUGGACAUUCAUUUCCAGGAACCCUCCAGUGGAUCGUACCUUUACUGUCUAAAGUGCCGAUCAAGACUAGAUCGUCCAACUGUGAUUCCGUGAUGCGAGAAGGAACCCAAUUGCACUCAUACACUUGUUUGGCCAUGGCGAGAUCUACAAGAAAUAGAUGAUCCGGUUCAAGAAAACGCUGGGUAAAAGAAGGUGUUGAUCUAAACUAUGAUAAACCGGUCUUCCACAAUGCGGCAUCAUGUGGAUUCUGGCGGUUCAACCAGGGGACUAAUGGUAUACACCGAUUUAGUAACUUUUUUCUAUGAUAAGUUAAACCGCCUGACCUAAGCAUCGGAAGAAAUUGAAGCUAUGGACAACUAGGUAUAUAGAAACAGGUUUCACAAGAUCUUAUUACAGCCACGGAUCUACAGCGAGCUCACAAAAACAGAAAAUAUUCCGAAGAGUAAGGCGGAACGGAAGUGAACCAUUGAGUGGGUAUGUGCGUGAGAUCUAUGGGCUUAGAUAAGAAAUAACAGGCGGAUGCUUAAAGAUUACUACUGAACACAGCGGGAGUUUACAAAUUCACCCAAGAGUCGAAAUACAAGUAUGAGCAAGUGACGAACACAGCACGAACAUGGAACCCUAAGAACAGAUCUAGGUCAAGAAGAGGAGAAAGCUUACUGGGAACGGAGAAGAUGCGGAACGAUACCGCAGUGCUCUGGUGCGCUCAGGUUGAUGCAGCGGCCCAAGACGAAGCAGAGGUCGACGGUGGCGGCGGAGCUCCGAGGCUGGCGACGCAAUGAAGACGAAGAAGAGAUGAGGGGAAAAGAAAGGAGAUGACCCUUCGGUCUUAUUUAUAAGGCAACAGGGUUAGGUCAAACGCGCAGAUCCAGGAGCUGCCGUUAACAGAGAGCGUUAUAAAUGACAAAUUUCAUGAUGACGUCAUGCCGGUUUACAACAACCAGAAAUGAUGACAACAUGGCGGUUUACCAAUUACCAGAAGAUGUCCAAGAUACAAGAUUUUGUGAAGGAUUGACAUGAACCAGUUCAAAUCAAUCUGGGGCCUAAUGUUGGGGAUAUUACCACUAGGGUAAACCGGCCUACUUGGGCCGGGUUAACUUCAUUAGUGGUAUAAGCAGGUGAAGGCCCAAGGCCUAUAGUCGGUUUAGAAUCUGUAGCCGUAAACCGACCUGAUGUAUAACUUGUAUUGUAAGUUAGGAAUAGAGAGAUACCAACCGGGAUACGAAUAUGAACCGGUUGGGACUCUAUGGACCGACGGGCGUCACCCGUGUAUAUAAGGGGGCGACCCGGCGGCGGUUCAGGACAGACAACGACAACUCGAGCCUGGGCGAAGCUUGUUUGCUCCCUAGCCAUCGAGACCAUAUCAAUUCCAUCACAACUAGACGUAGGCUUUACCUUCAUCGAAGGGGCCGAACUAGUAUAAAACCCUCGUGUCUUUGUGUCCGCUUUAACCCCUUCAAGUAAACCCGUGGCGAUGGCUCCACGACUAAGUCCUUUCACUAGGACAUCUGCCAUGACAAAUCCACGACACCGCCCUUCUCCUUCCUAUAAAUACUCACCUGUGUAGUCAAUAUCUGUUCUUCCACCUCACCAUCUCGCACAAACCCUAGCACCUCCGCUAGCUCGCGUCGACGCCGAAGAAGAAGCGCUUAGCUGCCGUGACUUCUUCGAUGUCGUCCUCAUGCCGGCUGCGGACCUCGUCCUCUCUGCCGCCGCUGUAGGAGUCUUCUCCCGCCAAGUUAGGGCGCGGGAGAUUGAACUGCUCGGCCUCUCUUCCAACCUUGUCUAGCAGUUCGUCAGCGGUAAUUAAAUCUCACUUUUUACUGCCUUUUGAUCCAUCAAAUCCGUCCACUUCAACCAGAAGUGGUUUCUUCACUUCCAAAUAUGGAUAUAUCUUCUCCUGCAUCUCAUAUCAUGCCAAGUAUAUUCACUUAUGCUUCAUAACUGGUUAGAUUCCUCACUUGUACUUAUUCAUGGAUUCGUACAAAUCUGGAACCAACUCUCUCCAAAUAAGUGAAUGUCUUCGCACAAUGAGGUCAAUGUCUUCUAAACUGAUUUAUCUUCCAAAUCUUCUGAGAAUGCAUAUGACCCCUUCCCCUUUCCUCGCAUCUCUAAUGCUGUCAUAGGUACAUGUCCGUGGGAGAAUCCCUUGGUUCUCAUAGUCUGCAUUCAUUUGCAGAAUAUUUACAGCAUCACAUCGAAUCUCCCGAAGCCAGUUCUUGUCUGACCAGCAGACGGAAGCCUUUCACUGUGUUGAAGCCAACAGUUUGAAUAUUAUGGCUUCAGAAAAGUCUGCAUGCAAAGGUGGCAGGAAACACCGUGGCAACACUGCACUAGAUUUGCCUCCUAAUCUGUAUGAACUGUAUAAGUCAAAUCCCGAGGAACAUUACAAUCAGCACAAGAACCGGAUUAAGUGGAUCAGAAGAUAUUGGGCUGAGGAAUGGUUCAAGUACAGGUUUGUAAUGCCUGAAUAUGCUGAAAAGAAGGCCAUCAAGCACCCAUGGGGUGACUGUCUAUAGCAAGGCUUGGUGCCAAAGAGCAAGGCUGAAGCCAUUGAGCGAAAGUUCUAUCCUUGUAUGGUCACAGGACCACGGCCUGAAAACGCCGACCCAUCUUCUCUGUUAUGGUGUCAUGAAGACAAUCUUUUCAAGCACAACUAUCAGCUUGCAAAAGAUUCAGCUGUCAACUUCAACCCUGGCCCCUCCGCUCAAAGAUCUGAUGGGACACAUGAAACUAAUUAGAACAGGAUUGGCCCCUUCGCCAAUUUUGAUGGGCUUCUGUCUCACAUUGCUGCCCAGAGAGCAGCUAUGGAGCAAUCUGCUGGAGAAGCUGAUUCUGAAGAUGCUCCCUCACCUCCAAAGGAGAAAAAGAAGAAGAAGGUAAAAGCUUCAAGACCAUCUGCUUCACCAAAAGCUUCAACUAGGAAGACUCUGAAGUAUGCACCACCCGAAUCCAGUGUGUAGUCUGAAGAUUUAUCUUGCGUGUCCAAGAGGACCAAGAAGCCAUUGCCCAAGAAGGCCACUGGGCAACCCCUGACUCCGUUUGCCAUUUUGUGCAACGAAGAUGACACCAUUGAUCUGUCCAGCGAUGAAGAUCUUGGUGAUGAUGCUCUUGAUAUGCUUAUCAAGAGCAAGCAAGAGGCAGAAAUUUUCAAUGACCUACCCCUCUUUGAUGUUGACAUUCUGAACAACUUCAUUGAUGAGUGGUUCGAUGACCAGCGCAUUAGUAUUGAUGAUCUUCAGCUUUCGGUGGACAUCAACGUCACAUUCCAUGGAGCCAUUGCUAGUGAGUUGGCCUUGGACCAGAAGAUUGUCGAGCUCAAGACCAAAAUUGAUUAUGAGAAGGCUCACUUCAAGAAGAACAUGGCCAAGCUCAGUGUGGGAGAUGUUCAAAUCUUCAAGAAGAUGUUGCAUGACCUCAAGGAAGAGUUCCACAAGAAGCGCAAUGAAGCUAAAGGUUCUCGGGAGCACAUAAAGUACUUCGCUCAGAAAUGCGUUCAAGCACAUAAUGAAGCUGAGAAGCGCAAAACUCUUGGGUGCCUUGGCAUCGAUCCCAGGAUGGCUGCCAAACAAAAUAAGCCUGCUGUGACCCAAACUGAAGCACCAAGGCAGGAAGAACCUCGCAUUGUCUUCCCUGUCAGCAUGAUAGGCUCGAAGACCAAGGUCCCCUCGACAGCUUCAGAGCUGAAGAAGACAAGGGCAGCUGAAGAUGAAUCCAAGAAGCGCAAGAAUAAGGACGCAUCUGACGAUUCCCCUUCCAAGAAAAAAAGUUGAAGACUAAGGGAACUAAGUCUUCAAAGAAAGAGUGUGUUGCAGCCUCUAAGCCUCUCAUUGUUGAACCUAUGUAAGUCGCCCCUCCAGCUGCCACCAACAAAGAUCGACGUGUUGUGAUCCACUAGCCUGCUUCCACAGAGGCUCAUGAAGAUGAACAGGUUCCAGCUGUUGACCCCAACGCAGCUGAAGACAUUGGUCAUGAAGACAAUGUUGUUGAUGAUGAAGUCCUUCCUCAACUUGAGCACCACUUGGUAUCAUCGUGUGCUCCAACGAGCAGUGAAUACAUUAGCAUUAGUCAUCCAUUGACGCCAAUCGCUCAAGAUGAUUCCUGGGCUGAGCAUCCUCAAGAAGAAAUACAUGUUCAAGAUGAAACACCCCAUACUCCAUGAGCGCAAGUCACCAAUCUAGUACUGAAUGACGACAACUACAUGGAGACCACUCCAUCACUAAAGGCAUCACCCGUGUUUCAACAGCUUCACAAAGCUCUCAUGCCAUCCGUCUCCAUGUCAACCAUGCCAGAAGAAGAUUCACAAUAAUCCAGCUCAGUGGCACGUCAAGUGUUCCCUGAAGAGAAUCCUUCUGUGACGGUUCCAGAGUCUGAAGCUAAAGUUGUUGAAGACAUACUGGCUGCAUCAGCUGAAGAAGAAUAAAGAAGAGAAGCAAGAGUUGCCACAGACCAAGUCAUUCUCGAGGAGAAUGUGAUUAUGCCAGACCCUCCGGUCGUUGACCAAAUGGAGGUUGAGAACAAUGAGGUUGCCACAAACACUGCUGAAGCCAAUGACCCUAUCUUGGCUGAAGAACAUGUGGAGCAUGUAGCUAAUGUUGUGCCUGAAGUCAAUGUGAAUCCUGAAGGUUCUGUGACGUCAGUCCCCACUGACGGUGCUAUUCCUCCCCCAAGGCCUCACACUAUGGAAACGACUUUCAAUCGUGAUGGGGAGUUGGUCACGGUUCACUGGCCAAUCAUGGUUCCUCCCACUGCUCCCGGACCACAAUAUGAUUAUCAUGUGGAACAGCGACCACAAGUUCAGAAGCCAAAGCCGAGGCUGCCAACGCUUCCAGGUGCUGCUAUAUCGCCAGGAUCAUUUAGCGUAAACAGCUUCAAGGCACACAGUACCUUCUUUGACAAAGACAAGAACCCAUACUCGAAGCCAAAAAUCUCUUCAGAUCACUCUUGGAGCCAUCAACAUCGCAGCUACUACUCUUGUAUCCUCUACAACCGAGAGCAAAUCUUUCCUCACAUGCGUCUUGAUUGUGAAGCUGUUGUUGGGCUGCCAUGCCUUGAAGAAGCUCUUGACUUCUUUCGGGAUGCUGGUCUUCUUCAAUUUGUCACUACCAAAGAGCACUGGAACGAAGAGCUCCUACUUUAGUUCUAUGCUACUCUUCACAUUCGUGGCUACAACAAGGAUCCGAAGACAUGGAUCCUCGAGUGGAUGACAUGAGAUGUGCACCAUGAAGCCAAAGCUCAAGACAUCAUCGAGCUUACCUCCCUGCCCACUCCAGGUGAAUUGUAUGAGCCUGGAUAUCAGCGUCACAGAGAAGAAUUGUAGAGUAUCUUUCAGCGGCCUGAACCCAAUAUGAGUCACAUGCUCAGUAUGAUGAAGCCAUUGCCUCAAGAUGCAGAAUAUCCCAAGGAAUUCUUCAUCAAGGACCUCGAGUACUUGCCCCGCACAGUCUAUCAUAUACUGAGGCAUACUCUAUGGCCAAUCAAGGGACAUUCUUCUGAAGCCAAACUUGAAGGAGCCAUGAAGACCUUGGUAUUUUAUAUUGUCAAUGGCAUCAGAUUCAACUCCCAGGAUUUCAUCAUCAGACAACCUGCUGCAUCUGGGAUUGAUCUAUUUGGCCUGAAGUUCUAUGCUCCAUGGGUGAUACGCCUGAUAAAACUCCACUCUUCUGUCAACUAUCACCCCUCAUCACGCAAUCAUCUUGUCUUUCUGCCUGAGGUUGAUCUGUCAGUUGAAGCCAUCUACCCCGAGCCUGCCAAGGAGCCUCUAUAUCUUCAUAAUGUUGAUCAUCAAAGCUUCACACAACCAAUAGAAGGUGUUCAUGUCACCAAUGCUACAUCUCCUGCUUAUCCUCUGGGUGGCAAUGUGCAUAUGCCACAUCAUGCAAACACUGAAGCCACUGCUAGUACGAUUGCCCAAAGGCCUCAGAAGCGUUCUCGUGUACUCAAUGAUCGAGAUCUCCUUGUGGCCUUACAUCAGAAGUAGGACAAGCACCACGACUGGCUAAAGCAUCCAAUGCAUAGUCUCUUGGUGGAUGUCAAUCGCAUUCGCAACCUGGCCACCAAGAACUCAUUUGUUGCCCAUGAAACCUCACGGCGGUCCUGGAAGAGCCUCACCCUGCAGCAUUCUGAAGAUGAUCUUUGCGCAGAUGGCUUCACCCAGGGCUUCAAGAUUGAUUCCAGGCCUCCACAAAAUGCAAGUUGGUGCCGCACUCCCUCACUUGAAGAUUCUGAAUAUUCAUCUUCGGAUGCAACUAUUGUUGCGAAUGUCGUCGAUGAAGAAGACGACGCCACUUCACCAACCAUGGCUCCACUUCAUCUCGACACUGCAUCAGCCCCUUCUGCACCACCAAACUCCAAUGUCGACCCUGUUCCAGCUUCUGCUCCUUCUGGGAACGAGUAGAUGCUCUAUGUCUUCAAACCUUUUAGGUCAUUACUGACAAAAUGGGGAGAAGCAUAUGAGUUGAUAGUCUUCAAGCGGGUCCUUAUGGCUGGUUGCAUUAUUUUGUCAAGUAUUUACAACUCUCUUCUUUUGAUACAUUUUGUUCUUUGAGUUGUAACACUUAAACUCGAUGGUCGUCUACUCUUUUUCUGAUACUCUAUGAUGCGAUGAUAAUUCCGCAUGAAGUCAUUCUGAAGACGUCAAUUUUCCAUUAUGCAUAUCAUUAUCUUAAGUAUCUACUUAUAUGCAUAAUGUAUUGUCUUCACACUUUGAAGAUGGCCUCCACAAAGCAAAACUUGCCAUGUGCAUUUGCAUUCAAAAGCAAAUCAUUUGUAUGCACAUCUUCUGGGGGAGCCUCAUCAUAUGUAUGAAUACAAUACUCACAACACAAAACUUUCACAUACUUUUAUCCCUGUUGAAAACUUCAACCAGUUUGUCAUCAAUAACCAAAAAGGGGGAGAUUGUAAGUGCAUCUAGUGCCACCCCUAGUUGGUUUUGGAGUAUUGACGACAAACUUGGUUGAGGGACUAAUGUGUUUGUGAGAAUUGCAAGAUAAUACAGGUAGUAGUCCCAUAUUGAUUCGGUUUACCUACUAGAGAUGACCCCUAAAAAUGUGUGAAGACAUUGAAGACAAUGGUGGUCUGUGAAGAUAUUUACAUUGAAGACUAUGACAUGAUAAGACAUCGCAUAAAUACUAUGGAGUGCGAAGACAUAGUUGUUUCGUAGUUUCCUUUUCUUCCUUGUUGAGUCAUAGGAACCACCGUACUAUUAAGUAGGGUCCAAGUGAACAAAGUCAGAGUGACUGAGGUGUUGCUCAAACAAAUCCUAUGUCUUCGAGCGAAGACAAUGAGAGCAAAUCUUAUCAAGAGCUAGAUGAGUCGGCUUUACUUGUAGCCCAAGUCAAGUUGCCGCGUGUGUUUAAAAUUUGACCGUUGGACACAUGUCAGUUCGUGUUGCCUCCUGGCUAUAAAUAGCCCACCACCUACACCAUAAAUUGGUGGCUGCUUAGAGUUAGUGCACGAAUUUUGUCAUUUGAGAGAAACCCACCUCCGAAGCCUUUGAGAGAGUAAUCCUUGCAAGGACAAAGCCCAAAGCACCCAGAGCCAAAGAGUGUUAGGCAUCACUGAAGUCUUUCCGUCCACGUGAUCUGAAGACUUAUUACACUUGAGGACUGUGAAUCCUCCAGCCGGUUAGGCGUCGCGUUCUGAGCAUCCAAGAGUCAUUGUGGAUUGCCGGUGAACGAAGUUUUUGAAGGUCUGGAAGUCUCCCUUGAAGACUUGCGAGAGUGAUUGGGCAAGGACUAAGUGUUCUUAGAUCAAGGGGAAUAAGGUGAAGACGCGAUCUUCUGAGUUGAAUCUCAGCCUCCCUAACCAGACGUACAGUUGUCCCAGCAACUGGAACUGGUCCAACAAAUCCAUGUCCUCUCCGAGCAACUGGUUCCAUCUUUCAUCUCUCUUUACUUACAGUAUGUCUUCGUGAAGUCAUUGCCCAUUUGUCUGAUCUGAUUGACUUCAGUGAGUGAAGACUGUUUACUGUUUGUCUUCAUACUAUCUUCCAUCCUGAUCUUUACUACCUAGCUGCUGAUAGUCUUCAUGCUUUCACUUUAUUGCUUAAUUGACUAUGGCUUGUCUAGUGUAGUCUACCUUCCGCUGCAUAUCAAUAGGUUCAUUUCUAUUGUUUGUCUUCAAAGCAUUUGUGUUUUGAAGACUUUCAUAAAAAUUGCCUAUUCACCCCCCACCCUCUAGUCGAAUACUAGCACUUUCAGUUAGAUUUAGAAAUCACAUCACACAUGCACUGAACUUUACCAUGCUUACUUAAACCUCUAAUAUUCCAAAUAAGACCUAUCAUGUCAAGGAAUUCUCUAAGGGUGAGACAAGCCACAAGGCUUAGCUUUAGUGAGGACGGCAGGAGAUCUAUCUAUCACAUCAGUAGUGCCAACUGAUGCAACAGAGGGUUCUCUAGCAGGGGUCCCAACUAGAUCCUCGUGAGUUAAGUCAAUAUUAGUAGGUAGGACAGUUUUAGGAUGAUCAUUAGCAAAAGCAAUGCAUUUUUCUGUUCUCUAACAACCAGAUCUUCAAUAAUUUCAUACAUGGUAUCAAUAUUACUACUAAUAGUGAGACGAACCUGAUUAGCUUGAGUAGCAAUUUGAACUGGACUAACAGUGGGGAAAGAUUUACCUUUAAAGGUUUGAGGAAUCACCAAAUUCUUCUUCAUCUUAUAGUUGGUUGCUUUCUCAAUCAUGUUCACAUAACCAUGAAGCCUAGUGCCAUACUUUUGAACCAGAACUAGCCCCAAUUUUGAGUGUUUGUCUUCUUUUUUGCCUCCAGAUUGUGCUUGUUCAGUGUUUCUAGCAGAGAGUGUUUUAGACCAUUAGAUUGCAGUUUUUGGAUUGUAUCAGGGGAGAGAACUCCAACUUCCACCUCUUCUUCACUUUUUUCAUCAUCAGGCAUAGACAUGUCCACUGAUUUCAGUAGAUCCAAGCAGUAGCUCAUACUGCCACUCCUAUCUUCAUCAUCAACUACCUUGCGACACACCAUCUCAGGAGUAAAAACUCCACUCAUUUUGUUGAUUGUACCAUUAGUAUUAGGAGACAACACCUUCUCACUUGCAAAAUCAUUCAAAACAUUUUCCAUUUUGCCUGAGAUACAUUCUAGGAUGAAGUUUUCAUGAUCAAAAUAAGUGCAGUCAUUCAGUGUGUUAUAGGUUGUCUUUCUACCAGUAGAGCCAUUACCAUUUUUAGGGGUAAGGUUUUCUUUAUCAAGCUUAUCAAUGGCAGUGUCAUCAUCAAGGAGAUCAUCAGUCCCAUCAUCCUUAGGCAGCUCAUGAUUUUCCUAAUUUCCAUUGUCUUCAUUGGUACCCUCAUCAUCUUCCUCAUCUUCAAAUUCAACCACAGAGCCCCUACCUCCAACCUGCUCAAAGCCUUCCACAGUAAAUCCAAGAAGAAAUAGCUUUUUCUUCAUUUCAAUCAACCUCUCAAAUGGGAUUUUACUAGGGUCCCUGUAGGCUAUCUUGAUUCUCGCAUUUACAAAAAAAGUUCUGAACAUACCAUUCCAGUCAACAUCAGCGAGAACACCAAACAUAAAAGCAAUUUGUGCAAAAACCUUCUAGGAACACCACUUAGGAGGAAUCCCCUCAAUCAACACCCAAGCUUCAGUCAUCUCCCCAAAAGGGUCACAGGUCCCAGUCCAUUCGGUCAUCUUGAAAGAAACAUCUUGAGGCAAACUGAAGCCAGGAAGUUCAAUCAAGUCCUCUAUUUUCUCCCAUGGGGGAAAUCUGACUAGAUAUGUUUUACUAGUCAAUUCCCUAAUUUGCCAUGGCCAAUAUCUAGUUUUACAGAAAGUGGCAGUUAGAAGACCCAUCAAUUUCUCUUUAUCUACUUCUCCUUUGGUAAUGUUGACCACACCAUAAUUCUGAAAGUUAGGCCACUUAGAUUCACUUGUCACAGGCACAUCGACAUGGUAGAAACCAAUACCGCUCGCACCACUACCAAAAUAAGCAGCAGUGGGUUGACCCCUAGCCCAAGCGGAGCAGUUGUUGACAGUGCAGUUUUGCUGGCAGAUAAAGAAAGUUUUAGGUUUAACACACUUCCCAACAUAGUGACCAGGGCCUCCACAGUUAAAGCAAAUCAUGUCCUUAUAUCUAUGGUCCAAAGGUUGCUCUAACUCUACUUCACUAGCUUGAUAUGAUUGAACUUGAGAGGAGGUGGCAGUGGACCCAGUAGAUCUAGUCGGCCUUUGAGGAGGAACGGUCCUUACCAAAAGCAGAUGGCUGCUUGGCUCCACCAGCACUAGAGGCAGGUUUCUGCACCGUUGUCCGAGCAUGGCCAGCGGCCCUAGAAGGGUUAGCUCCUCGACGAUCUGCCAUCUUCAAGCCUCGUUUGACCACUUCAACAAAGGAUAGAGAUCCUCGCUAAUUCCUUCAUGGAUCAGCUUGAUGGUUUUCGGAGUAGGAUCAAAAGCACGGCGGAUAGCGGGGUAGCAAUCAGAGGCCAGGUAUGACCUAUUUGCCACAAGAUCUUUUCGGAUCCAACAAAGGAACCUAGUGGGAGCAGAAUAUUUACGGGGUGGGAGGGCAGUGUUAGGUAGACAGCAGCGUGGGGGGAGGAAUGAGCCAUAACUGGCCGAAGUGUUCCUAUAUUUCUAGGUUUUCCUCCGUAUAUGGACACAUAUUUCUAAAAAACCCUCUUCCUCUUGACAACACGCCCUCUGAAAGAAGGACCCACAAGUAGUGGGGAAGCGGGGCGCGGAGUCUGAAGCACACAAUCCCCUGUUCUGCAUGCAUCAGCCUGAACACGACUUGCUGGCAGCGAGUUCGCCAUGGCAGGCAGCAUCUCCUUACUAGGCUCAGCCGCAGAAGCAGCAACCAUUUCCAUGUUGACAUUUUCAUCUAUAGGGACAACCCUAGAACUAGUAUCAUCAGCAGUUUAAGCAAUGGGGGGAACGCAUUUGCGAGAUUUGAGCAAACUCUCAUGGAAAGCAAACAAGCAAGAAUGAAACAUGGGAGGAAGGAGGAUAAGAGGCAUACCAUCCUCACCAGGCCAAGAAGGGGCUUUAAUGGUAUGUUGGCGCAUCCGCCCCUGCUUCGAGUGGGUCAGAUCCGGUGGGCAGGCGGUUGAAUCCCCGGCGGCAGAGCCCCGAGCAGAAUGUUGGCCAGCGCAUCCACCCGCGGAGGGUUGAUGUUGAGCCGCGAGGGAUUUGCUGUUCGGUAGAACGCCCACCUCGCCGCCUGCUCUGGAUCCGCCGAUUUGGCCUCCUGAAUCGCCCAGAAUAGGAACUCCACAUCGUCCACUCCCUCGUCGUCGAUGAACCGCGACUCUUCAAAUUUCACAAAUUCAAUUUCUUCCAAUCUCCUAAGUUGAUGAUCCAUGCUUUUUGGCUGCGCCAUCAAGGCAAACAAGCACACCAACACACAAGCACACAAGAAGCAAGCGAAAAAGACGAAUGGAAGAGGGGCAAAGAAAAGGCAAAAAGAAUUGAAAAUCGUUUUAGAAGUGGGGGAGAGGAAAACGAGAGGCGAUGAAUAAUGUAAUGCAAGAGAGAAGAGUUUAUGAUGGGUACUUGGUAUGGCUUAACUUGACGUAGAUCUCCCUGGCAAGGGCGCCAGAAAUUCUUCCUGCUACCUCUUGAGCUUGCGUUGGUUUUUCCCUUGAAGAGGAAAGGGUGAUGCAGCAAAGUAGAUUAAGUAUUUCCCUCAGUUUGAGAACCAAGGUAUCAAUCCAGUAGGAGACAACGCACAAGUCACCGAAUACCUGCAAAAACAAUCAACAACUUGCAUCCAACAUCAUAAAGGGGUUGUCAAUCCCUUCAUGGUUACUUGCAAAAGUGAGAUCUGAUAGAGAUAGAUAAACGGUAAAGUAAUAUUUUUGGUAUUUUUGGUUUAUAGAUCGGAAAGUAAAAGAUUUCAAAAUAGUAGAUCGGAAACUAGUAUGAUGUAAAAGAGAUUCAAUAUAAUGGAAAAGAGACCCGGGGGCCAUAGGUUUCACUAGUGGCUUCUCUCAAGAUAGCAAAUAAUACGGUGGGUGAACAAAGUACUGUCGAUCGAUUGAUAAAAGAGCGCAUAAUUAUGAUGAUAUCUAAGGCAAUGAUCAUGAACAUAGGCAUCAUGUCCGUGUCAAGUAGAUCGAAACGAUUCUGCAUCUACUACUAUUACUCCACACAUCGACCACUAUCCAGCAUGCAUCUAGAGUAUUAAGUUCAUAAAGAACGGAGUAACGCAUUAAGUAAGAUGGCAUGAUGUAGAGGAAUUAACUCAAGCAAUAUGAUGAAAACCCCAUCUUUUUAUCCUCGAUGGCAACAAUACAAUACGUGUGUUGCUGCCCCAACUCUCAUUGGGAAAGGACACCGCAAGAUUGAACCCAAAGCAAGCACUUCUCCCAUUGCAAGAAAAACCAAUCUAGUAGGCCAAACUAAACCGAUAAUUCGAAGAGACUUGCAAAGAUAGCAAAUCAUGCAUAUAAGAAUUCAGAGAAGACUCAAAUAAUAUUCAUAGAUAAUCUGAUCAUAAAUCCGCGAUUCUUCGAAUCUUGACAAACACACCAAAAAAUAAUAUUACAUCGAAUAGAUCUCCAAGAACAUCGAGGAGAACAUGGUAUUGAGACUCGAAGAGAGAGAAGGAGCCAUCUAGCUACUAGUUAUGGACCUGUAGGUCUAUGGUAAACUACUCACGCUUCAUCGGAGAGGCAAUGGUGUUGAUGUAGAAGCCUUUCAUGGUUGAAUCCCCCUCCAGCAGGACACCGGAAGAGGUCCCCAGAUGGGAUCUCACGGGUACAGAAGGUUGCGGCGGUGGAAAAGUGGUUUCGUUGCUCCCAUGGAUGUUUUCAGGGUAUAAGAGUAUAUAUAGGAGAAGGAACUAGGUCAGGAGACCCACGGGGGGGCCCACGAGACAGGGGGCGCCCUACCCCCUGGGCUCGCCCUCCACCCUCGUGGCUGCCUCGUUGCGUCUCCGAGUUCAUCUCCAGGUCUCCCUGGUUUGCUUCUGGUGCAAGAAAGAUCAUCGCAAAAGUUUCAUUCUGUUUGGACUCCGUUUAGUAUUCCUUUUCUGCAAAACUCUAAAAUAGGCAAAAAAAAUAAACUGGCACUGGGCUCUCGGUUAAUAGGUUACUACCAAAGAUAAUAUAAAAUAGCAUAUAAAUGCCUAUUAAACAUCCAAACAGAUAAUAUAAUAGCAUGGAACAAUAAAAAAUUAUAGAUACGUUGGAGACAUAUCAAUGAGCUCCAGGUUCAUGGCUCACCAGGCUCCGUUGGCUUCACCAACAGCUGUCUGUGAGCACUUGCAUAGGUUAGCUGAGAUGCGUCACGUCCCCUCUCUGCUUUAUCUAGACAGCUGUAAAAGUAUGGUCAAAAAUUAAAGAGGGGAGCCAAAUGGGAGCACGACUUAGAAAUAGCCAGGGUAGACCAAGGUUAGCCAGUGUAGUCCACUGUCAAAUUUAGGAAAAUUUGACAAUGGAUUCAGUUACUACGCAAGUAUGCACAUUAAAUUAAUAUAAUGGGAUAUUUUCCCAUGCCACGCACACACACUCGAGGGCUGGACGCGAGUACAUGAUCUAAUCAAUCCUGGCCCCCUUGUGUUGUGUCUUGGGGUGUGAUAAGAGUUUCGGAGGAUCAACAGAGUUUAGCAACAGAUAGCAGAGUUUUGCAAUAUCUGCGCUUUCAGAAGGGGGAGGGGGGGUCGAUGUCCCGUUUCACCUCCACGAGGCUCCUCCGGUGCUAGUAUGUGACUUAGCAGUCUCUAUAAUUGGAGGAGACACUCUCAAAUAUAGGCAGUGCCAUCUGCGCAAAGAACAUACGCAUGAUAUAGGGAUAUCAAAUAAAUAAUGGUAAUUAGAUCCAUGUCGUGGGAUGAUUUAAACUCCAUUUAUUUGAUAUUGUGAAGGUAGGUCUCUUUAGAAAGACCAAGCAUUAUACAGAUUUUCUUUCUGUCUUUCCACAGUAUACGAUCGUAUUAGUCUUGCCUUCUGAGCUACUCUUGCUAUGAUUCACGCAUACUCGAUGGCAACCUGAUUAACCAGAGACUGAGCAUCUCUUAUUUAUCACUAUGAUUGUUUUUUUUUAAUUCCUCUCAUGUAUUGUGAUCUCAAUUGCUUUAAGCAGUUCCCCCUGACCUUACAUUUUGUGUUCUUGGGUACUAUAGGAAACCCAACGUGUGUUCAGGAUACCACACAGAACGGUUCUUGACAGCCUCCUAGCACACCUUGGUUUAUCACCAGCCGGGUGCGAGCAUGCUGUUCAUGAGGACGGCAAGAUCCAUGUAACCGUCUCUUUCAACACCUCUAGAUUGACCUUGGGGCACCGAUCAGUGACAUUUCUGUGCCAGGGUUUUAUUGCACCGACGAUGAGGCUGUCAAGGAUACCGCUGCAAUAAAGGCUAUCAGAUACAUAGAGGAUAUGACUAACACGGUUGCAAGAGACUUGAAAUUUGCUUUGUCCAAACGACAUCAGCACCGUGCCGAGCGCUUCCGGCGGUAGUUAGAGGAGUGAAGGACCAAUAAGAUGAUGCUUGCUAGAGGUUGGCAUCUUGCCGUCAGAUACAUGCAUUACUUUUCUGUGCACAUUAGGAAUGUGGUUGCCAUGGACUACUCUGUUGGAGAUCUUCCUAACAUGAUGGAAGACACAAGCAGCCGCUCCGAAGGACAUCUGGAAAAGGCCACACUAUUAGAUGGCGCCUCUCCUAAUUCACAGCUUCUCCUAUGCCUACCAAAGUGAUUUCGUCUUACUGUACAUAUAUUACACUUUCUAGAUGCUUGAGUGCAGAACUCAUUGUACUCUAUAUAUCUUACAAUUUGUUUGUAUCAGGUUACGUGUGAGGUGGUCCCUGUGAAGUACAUCGAUAAGGAAGAUGAAUUACAUGGGUUCGUAGUUGGCUCUUCUUAUGUGUUCUCGCUUUUGGUAUCCAACUUCGUGUUGAAUAGCCGUCUUUUGUGGUUGGAUAAAUGCACCGAGCUUGAUCAUGUCUUAUAAUCUGAUGUUGAUCUUGAGAUCCAUUGUGUUUUACUUCUAUCACAAUUGAAUGUUUCUUUAUCUCAUUAUCAUCCUGUAUAAGUACAAAUGAUAUACUUGUGUUUCUACUGGCAUGUUGUUACAUGCUUCGGCAAAACGUUGAGACCGGCACCCUUGCGCCAAGGCACGGUUCCGAUCUAGUAUGUGAACAGGCCGCUAAUCGAUUGAUCGUGGUCAUUUGUUUUUUACAGUCCUAUGUACACCUUUCUUAUAUACCCCUAAAAAAUAUACUACCUCUAUAACAAAAUAUAAAAGCGUUUAGAUCACUAAACCUUUCUCAUACAGUCUCUUUGGGAGUAUACUUUAGGAGACGGUCGGGCUGUGAAAGCUGGCCGAGGCGUAAGGCCAACUCCAACGCGCACCCUCAUCUGGUCCCGUUUCAUCCGUUUGAGACAAAACACGACCCAACGGGCAUACCCAAAUGGACAAAGUGGUUCAUUGGUGUCCACUUUUGUCCGGCCCAACCCCAAAACUAGACCAAACUUGGGCCAUAAAUGCAGCUGGACAGACGCGGCCGGACGCUCCUCUCGCUCCUUCUCGUCCGCUUCUGUCCGUCCCGUGGCCCACAUAUCAGCGACCGCAAGAGCCCUACCUCGAUUCCCACAGCACACGCUGUGCAUCUCGUCGCCACUACCACUGCAGCUCACGGCGGACAAGGGCUCCUCCGGGUACUGCCGCACCAGGUCCGCGGCCUCUCACGCGAGGCAUAGGGCACGACCAGCAAGGCCAGCGCGCCGAGCACGGCAUGAGCGCGAGCGCGUCGAGCAUGGCCAGGGGCGGCGCGCUCUGGCGGCGUUGCGGCGGGGCAACGCUGCGGGGCAGGGUGGGCGCGCUCCGGCGAGCGCGGGGCCGCGGGGCAGCCGGGGAUCUCAGGGCGGUUGAGGGGCGGCCGGGAAGCUCGGGGCGGGCGCACUCCGGCAAGGCAGGUUGCGACGGUGAGGCGGAGAAGCUCGGCGCGGGCGGGGCGGGGCGGUGGCAACGAAGGAGCUCGGGGCGAGGCGGCGGAGCUCGGGGCGGGGAAGGACGACGGCGAAGCAGAGGAGCUCGCGCGGGGCACGUCCGUUUGGGGUCGGGACGUCUCGUGCACGUUGGGCGCGGAUGCUCCAGGCGCAUGUCGGCCCCCCGGACGUCCGUCAAUUCGCACCCCAAAUGGACAGAAACGACGUCCGUUUGGGGAUCUGCAUUGGAGUUAGCCUAACGGCAUGUACUCUAUUUACUGCUGGGGAGAAUAUCAUAUGGUCGUGCCGGUCAAGGGUUAUUGAAAGAAAACUACAUUCUGGUUUUAUUUCUACGGGGAAAAUGGAAAUCUGCAUUAUGUGGGUGUGUGCAAACGAACGACCCGACAGCGGUAUAGACCAAAGAAAUGACCACCGAUCGGUAUUACCGAUCCUAAUCCCAGCCACGUACGCCCUCAUUGUUAGCAGCAAGCCAUGCCGAUGUGUGUGUGCGUGCGUGUGUGGCAUGGUCGCGUGUGUAGUGUGUCUGGCCAUUGUACGACCGUGUGUGUUUUAGCUACAAGGGUGGCCGUGCAUGUAGCUGGCUGGCGGGUUGUUAGUGCGUGCGUUGGUCAGUUGGCGAUGGAGCCGGAGGGUGACCGCGUCCAGGGCUGUUUGAUGGCCGCGUCGUCUGUUUACGGGCGCGACCAGAGCCCAAGCCAGGUACGGCAUGGGAUGCGGGGCGUGGGCGAGUGCGUGCGUACAAGCACACGUAUAAAGCCCAGGUGGCCUCUGUGUAUCGCUGGCUAUGGCCGGGCUGAGUUUGUGCUCAGGGGAAAAAGGUGUUCGUGCGCCUGGAAACUUGCCGUGUCCUUGUUCUUCCUUCUCCUUCCUCCUUCUUCUUGUGUUGAUCUAGUUCAGAGAAAGAGAGAGAGGUGCAGCGUGAGAGAGAGGUAAAGCUAGGGCAUAGCCACGGCAACAACAAUUGGUAUACAGAGCCACAGGUUUGGGGGGCGGCCCUGGCGUGUGGCCGUGUCCGCGGUGCGCACGGCGAGCGUGACGGAGAUGGAGGCUGCGGCCACGGCGUCCGCGGCGAGCGCGGCUGACAUGGACGUGUCGGCUGCGAUGCGCGGCCAUGCACGGUGAUGCCGUGCGCGCAACGAGCAGCGGCAAUCUCGGAGAUGAGGAGGUCGCAGAGGAUCUGCGUGGUGGCACAGAGGCCGCGAAGGCUCGGCGCGACGAUCGUGGAGCCGCUGCGCUGCGGUUGACGGCGCAGCGGUGCAAGGGCAAUAAGUGCCGCGGCGAGCCGGGCGUGACCAGUGCGUGUUAUGGGUGCGCACUGGACGCGUCGGGCACGUCGGGACUGCGGGAGUGGACCGUGUCGAGGCGCUGGACCUGGUUGCGCAGAUCGCGUACGUGCACGGAGGGAGCGCGGGCCAGGAGCGCGGGGACAUGGGGAGUGCGCGCGAAGGGCACGGCAGCACGGUGGCAGGCGUGGCAGCGACGUCGGGGCGGUGGCGGCUACAACGACGACGACGUCGACGGCGCGGCGGAGCGCGCACUGCCGGCGUGGCGAAGGCAGCGGAGGACUGACCGCGUCAGGGCGCUAGACUCGGGCCGUGGCGACUGCGUGCGUGCGCGUCGUGUACACGAGUUUGGGAGCGCGGGACGUGCGGUGCUGCGCGGUAGAGGCGGUGCGACGGCCAUGGCGCGACGUCAACGACGAGCCUAACAUGUGCAAGGUCAUGGCUUGGGGCGUGAAUGUUAGCAGCAAGCUAUGCCCAUGUGUGUGUGCGUGCGUGUGUGGCAUGGUCGCGUGCGUAGUGUGUCUGGCCAUGGUACGACCGUGUGUGAUUUGGCUAGGUGGUUAGCUACAAGGGUGGCCGUGUAUGUAGCUGACCGGCGGGUUGUUAGUGCGUGCGUUGGUCAGUUGGCGAUGGAGCCGGAGGGUGACCGGGUCCAGGGCUGUUUGGUGGCCGCGUCGUCUACGUACGGGCGUGACGGGAGCUAGCGCGAGCCAGGUACGACAUGGGAUGCGGGGCGUGGGCGAGUGCGUGCGUACAAGCACACGUAUAAAGCCCAGGUGGCCUCUGUGUAUCGCUGGCUAUGGUCGGGCUGAGUUUGUGCUCAGGGAAAAAGGUGUUCGUGCGCCUGGAAACUUGCCGUGUCUUUGUUCUUCCUUCUCCUUCCUCCUUCUUCUGUUGAUCUAGUUCAGAGAAAGAGAGAGAGGUGCAGCGUGAGAGAGAGGUAAAGCUAGGGCAUAACCAC
rnacentral:lncRNA from 1 species